rnacentral:lncRNA from 1 species
CAAACCCACAGCUCUUGUGUGUGGCUGCUUUCCUCGCUCUCUCGAGGUCGUUCGAGCUUCGCCUCCUCUUUUUUGAUCCGUUUCUACCACCUUCGAUUCCAAAGAUGGCGAGAGUUCCAGGCUUCCGAUUUGCCACCGAGGUCGCUCCGCCGCAGCUGGUCGCUGUUGUGAAGCCAAGGGCGUCGAAGAUCUUGGACACGAUUCCUGAGGAGGAGAUGGAUUCCAUCGAAGACCAGUCAUGCUCUUCCGAGAGCAUCCCUUUGUGUGACUGGUUGGAGGAAGACCGUGAUUGGUUGGAGGAAGACGGUGGAGAGAGGAGAAUUUUGGCCUGAAAUUUGGAUCUUCUUGUCCAUGUACAGUUCCUGACUCUGUGACGUUAUUAGCUGUGGGAUUUCGAGGGAAGGAGAGCUCUUCUUUCUUUGGGUGUUUGUUAUUGGAAUUUGUUAACCAUCUUUGUAGCACUUGAGCUUUCUUUCACGAGAGAGAGAGAGCAAGGUGUCGAUGGAGAUGUUUAGGAACAUUAGACUAGGAAAAAGUCUGUUCCCCUGAAGGUUUAACUUUCAAUUAAGGCCUAUUGGAUUGUGCCAUUCCAGUGUUUCUUUCUUUCUUUAAGGUGUAUGCGAGCAGAGCUUUAUUGAAUCCUGUGGUGUCACAAUUACCUGCUCUGAAGCUGCUGAUUGUUUCUUUUUCCAACCAUAGCAUCGAUUUGCCCUUCUGUUCCCCCUUGAAAUUAUAUGAUUAUUGGCAUGUCAAACAAUUAAGAGACCAUUGCUUAGACUACCCAAACAUAAGGCCUAUCAGAUACUAUGUGAACUUUUAUCAAAUGUCGAUCUGAUGAUGUUUUGAGAAAACAAGAGAAAAGAAAAGGUGGAGCAUCAAUUUGAAUAUCGUAUAAGAAAAUUUUCCCUUCACCAUUAAUAUUAAAAGGCUGAAGGCAAGUGGGGAGAUACUCCAUCUUCACCAGACCACCCCCUAGACGGGAUCCAAGCAUACUAUGCACGGGCACAGCCAAUCACCACAGACCAAGACAGACUGCACCCGCUAACAAUCCAAAGGUUCCCUUUAGUGCUAAAUAUCUAUAUAACCUCACGGUAUAAAAGCAUCCAAACACUUGACACUGAUAUGAUAAAAAAUCUAAUAGUAUCAACAAAACAAUCAUCUUCCUAAAAUGCAGCUCUCAUUUCAACCAAAAUUUGAACUCUUUUGUUUAAAGAAAAAUCUCUCCUCCAUAUGCUACUUUCUUUAUACCCAAUUCUGGCAUUCUUGUUACUUUUUGUUUUUUGAAACUGUAGCAGUGCAGAAGACGUGACCAGAUUUUCUGUUGAACAAUCUGAAAAAGGACAUGAAACUUAUUUUAAUUCAAGCAAGAAUGUGUGUGUGUGUAUUCCAAAAUAAGAUGCAUCAAGAAACUGUUUCUAAUGACCAUAGGUUACAACUUGCAGCUGUCAACAGAUACACCAUUUGAAUCCUACAAAAGGAUUCUGUACAGUCUCUCCUUUGCCUCAGAUUCCUCCCAAGGUAUCAGGAAAUUUUGGAGUUAGUUUGCAGCAUAAGAACAGUAAUUCAUGAAGCAAACUUGGGUAAACCAUUGAGAUUAGCCCAGAAGGAACAAAGAAUGGGUCAGAUCAAGAGAACGGUCAGUCCACCAAUAAAUACAAUGACUGAGCGAAAGAAAUAACACGCCGUGGUCACGGUUUUUACAUACCGCUAUCCACAGAACCGAAAGGAUUCACGGUUACUUAAGAUUCGCUGAUAGAUCACACACUUCAUCAUCUUGAGAAGCCACACCAACAGCUUCAAAACCAUUAAAUGUUGCAGCUGCUUCAUUUCACCAUAUCAGCAACUUCUUAAACAUUAAAUAACAAAGCUAGUUGAUCAGCAAAGACUAAUUGUAGACCUGACAUCACCAGGAAAACACUACGCCACAAGUUCAAUUCUUUAGUCUUUUUCAGACAGCAGAAAAACAGAACACAUUCUUCAUUUAUUAUCCUGAAUCCAAUCAAAAGAGAGAUUUUUUUGGCGGAUGGAAACAUGUAACCCACUAAUUCUUAACGAGGAAAUCAUACUUGAUUUUGGAUGCUGCCUCGACAGAAUCUCCAUGAACCAUCAUCUUGCCUUUUCAAAAUAUAUUUAACUUUGUAUGUACUGCAAGAAGACAAUCCCAAAUAAAAAAAAAUGAAAACCCAAAUUUUAGACCAAGCAUGACACUGACAAAUAUACUGAAAGGAAUAACCUGUAAUAACUUGGUUUAUUCAGCUGAGACUCAUCAACAAGCUCAGCAGCUUCUUCUAGUACACCCUCAAUUUCAGCAAUCUCACUACCAACUCCAUCUGAUAUUAUAUCAGCCCGCUGAAUAGACAGAUGCAGUAAAACAAAUCUCCAAAAACAUGACCUAGCUUUUGCUGAAUGUGCUAAAUCUUGCCACUGUCCAUCAAAAAAGGAACAAUGAAGAAUACCCAAAAAAAAAAAAACAAAGUUACAACAAACCAAACAAAAAACAAAUACAAACAUGCAUUCACCUUUGAAAGCAUAGACUCAGCAAGAAUCUCUGAGAGUGCUUGUAUUUUAUAGCUUGGACCCAGUGCCACAGCUUUGAUGUCUUGCCAUUGCUUCACCAGGGCUUCUGCUUCUUCCACAGCCAUUUGUUCCAUUUGUAGCAAAUUACCAGCAACAGCAGGUAGAAGUGAGAGAUCAUCAGUGGGCCAUGAAUUCUGCAAAGUUUCAGCAUCUUUUUGAUGCUUAAGGUGUCUCCUGAAUGGAAUCAACAGGUUCCUAAGCUGGGCCCAAAUGUUUCUAUCAAUAAAGCCAGAAGCACUUUUUAAGCCUGAAUGUUGACUCAUGGUCCAGGCGAGGGCUUCUUGGCUCAUUGGGUGACCAGAGUGCCAUUUAUGUGAAAACUUAGUGUGAAUAAAUUGCAUAUUGAAGAGCUUAAAGGCACCGAGUAGAAAGCAUCCCGCAAGAGUAGUACUUACAGCUUUCCCUGCUAUGUCUCCUACCAAAUACCAGCCUUUCAAACUUUCUGUGUGAUUUAUUCCAAGGUUUCUCUUUAGCUGAAAACAUGCGCCACUAGGGCUACCAGGACCCUUAACUAAAGCUGGUUGACUCUGAAGGUCAGCUGGUGCAAGUUGCUUGACAGCUUCACCCAGAUGUCUAGUUGAAUUAAUAUGUGCCUUCUGCUCUGCAGACGCUCCAUGGACAGGAAAAAGAACAAAGGAUGGUGGUCGAUAACUAGUAGAAGGGACCCUUUUCAUGUUUCCUAUUUUUUGCUUGCCAACACUUAGAAUCUGCUUUGGGCCCCCAAAAACAUUGGCCUAAAAUCAAUAAAUAAGAUUUAGAACAUUCCUAAUCCAAAGAGCCAUGCUUUGUCACAUAUCCAUCCGGUACAGUACUAACCAAUGAUGGAGAGCAAUCUCGUGUAUCGGGAAACAGACAUAGAACAGCAUCCUUCAGCCAUGUUUCCUGAUAAAUUUCAGCAGGUCGUCUGGCAUAAGACAAUUUCAAUCUUAAGGGAAGUUCUCUGAUCAGUAAUAGCUAUGUUUGCAACAAGAAUCUAGGUCAUCUACCUUCCCAAAUUGCCCCUUUUGUCUUGGACAGCAAUAAGGGUAAAGUUAGGUUUUCCAUAACUUCCCAGUGUCAAGAGUUCAUAGUCAAAAGAAACUGUGCACCAAUUGCUGAAUUGCAACAAGGAAGUCACAAUUUGUGAUGAAAUGAGAUAGUUUUUAUUUUAUUUUUUUAAAUUAUAUUUGAAGGUAUUGCUGCAACCACUAAAUUUUGGAAUUGACAUCAGACAAUUUGUUUAUCCUCUAUUAAAAUGGAAACGUAACAACAUGACAUCAGAUAAUUUGUUUACCCUCCAUUAAAAAGGAAACGUAACAACAAGCAGACUUACAUAAAACAUAACAAGAGUUCUCAACAUCUUAUGACAAUUUACAACCAGUAAGAAAACAACAAAAGAACAGCUUUGCAAAAACAACUUUACAAAACAUAUUAUGAAGUAGCACAAAGAAAGAAGAAUAGCUACACAAGAACAACUUUGCAAAACAGACUUGUAAAGCAAGACAUGGUUCAUUAAUUAAAAUAUGAUAACUUUUUUUGGUAUACAAUAAAGGGCAUCUAGAGGGAUAAAUUUCUUGAACAACACAAAGACAACAGUGAAUCUGUAUUUCCUAACAACAUCGCCUACAAGUUUAUCAGCAAAAGUGAAUGGAGGUAGGUGAGCGAGAAAUAGCAGGGGUGCAACAAAGGAGAAUGCAUUUAUGACAUGUGACUGAGCACCUAAGAAGUUAUAGUACCAUGUAUAUCGUUUUAUAAUUGCAUAUAUGCAAGUUUGUCUGUCUGUCCAUCCAGUAAGCAUUCAAUUCAUUGCAUGUAUGUACAUAUCUGCAUACGUAUAUAUGUAUAGCAGCUCCAGUCAUAAAAUAAUACAUUAAUGAAACGCAUGUAACAUUCAAUUUAUUGUUGCUUAAGUCAUAUUAUAUGGCUCGUGGAUCUUUGCAUACAAAAUGAACAUCGUAUUAUGCCCUAUGUUAUUAAUCUUAGGAGUAAAAUAUAGUUUUGUGGUACCAGAAGUUAUUGUCUUCUAAAAGUGUAGACUUGUGUAUGAGUGUUCUCGCAGCAUAUUUGCAUACACAUUCUACCCAAUCUUCAAAACUAAACAGCAGGUAUACGUUUGUAAGCAUUCAAAACAUUGGGAACUCAGAGGGUUGUCGCUGUAGUGUCGAAUGAGCAUCCCAAGACAAGGGAUGAGGGUCAUUUCACCACUUGAGCCACUACCAAAACUCCAAAAGCAUUUGGAAUAAUCAGUUGGUAUACAAAUAAUUGGUAGGCAUACAUAUCUGAGCAUUCAAAGUAUUGGGCAUGGAAAGAGAGAUUGCAACUGAAAGCAUUGAAUUAGCAUCUCAAGCUGAGGGAUAAGGUUGUCAUUUCACCGUUCCAGGCUUUGAGCCAUUAGUGAAAGCCCUUACAGUUGUUGACAGUUCUAAUAGAACUCAAGAAAUUGAAACGUUCCAACUGAAAGCAACAAUAUGGAACAUGUAGCAUGAGUUGUAACCAGAGAAAUUUUUUGAAGCAUUAGAUCAGACAUCUGACAGAGGCAUGUGAAAAACUUUUUGAAGCAUUAGAUCUUUGGAACAAAAGUGUGGCAUUUGCAACUAUGGGUACCUAUAAGUGAAUAAAAGCUCAGGCACAGAGUGCUCUUCUUAGCUUGUUUAUUAUUAACUUUUUUAAUGACCGAAUGCUGGAUAUGUCUUUUAUUCCCAAAUUGAGAGGUGAAAACCACAAUUUAUCUUGAAGGAUGUCCACUCCCUCCUUUACUUCCCAUAUCACAAAAACAUUACGCCAAUGUCCAUUUCAUGUCAAUACCAUGCCCCCCUUAGUCCGGUCAAUUUACCAAACCUACUUAGCAGCUUUCUUUUCUUUUCUUUUCUUCUCUUUAUUGAUAGGAACUCAACAGUUCUUUUGAUGGCAGGCUUCUUUUGACGUCAAAUUCCAGUAGACCACUACAAUCUCCUCAAUCAUCUCUGAAGGUAUCUUAUGCUGACAUGAAAUACCUAUACAGAUUGGAGAAGGCAGAAUUGAUAAGGAUUAGCAUUACUUCAAUAUUUUUUCCUUGCAUCUCUCUCUCUCUCUCUCUCUCUCUCUCUCUAUGUGUGUGUGUGUGCGUGUGUGUGUGUGCUCUUGCGCGUGUGUGAAAUAGGAUCUCAAAUUGACUGAGAAGACAAAGACCCAAGCGAUCUAUAAAUACAUCACCAAAAUCAGUAAAUCAGUUUCCAAAAGAAAAGGAAGUAUAUGAAUUUUAGCAAUCUCAGUGGAACAGAUAUAAAUAAUGCAAUAUAUGGGUUUACAGAGGCCACGUACCAGAAGCAGCACCACCUAAAUAAGUUGAUAUCUCACUUGAAGGGAAAAAAGGGCUAAGAUCACCAGCAUUGGAAGCUGUCUAAAUGAAUGUAAUGUAGUGAAUGCAAGGUUUUUGAGUGAACUUCUACUAUAUUUAUAUUGACAUGAGAAAACAAGCAGAAAAACUAUAUAUAUCUGUAUUUCUUUAUUAGUUACUCCCAUUAUCUCUUCUGUUUUUCAAUGCCCGCGAUCAGCUAUUUUCACAUUCAGCAUUCAUUCCUAUGAAGACAUGAGACCUUAGUCAUUGUAAUUCUUCUACCCUUUCCCUUGUAAUCAAAAGGAAAAUAGCUAUGUACUGCAUAAAUUUCAAUAUCACUUGAAAGAAAAGUGUCCACAAUGAAUACUGAAGUAAACAUUGAAGUUUCCUCAAUUGAUUGACACUUGAGUCCAAUAAAUCAACACCUUCAGGAUUUGUUCAUAUUUUUAGACAAAAAGAGAAGAGAAAGCCCGCAAGGGGGGGGGGGUGUUGUUGGGUGGUGGCAGGGGGCACAGAUCUUCAAUGGCUAACACUUUCAAGAAAAAUAUAUGAAGAAAACAUAAUAAAUUGUCAGGAUAAACCGGCUGCAAGACUAAUCUAAAAGCUUCCUAAUCUGUUCCUACCAAAAAGAAAUAAUGUGCAGCAUAUGACGUACCAACAACUGAUUAACAGUGCCCUUGACUUUGUUGUCUCUUACUGUAGUUGGAUCAAAAGUCCGUAAAGUUGAAUUUCCAUUGACUUCAAGUUGGUGAAGUUUUCCAAUAGCUGCUGUCCCAUCACCCUGAGCACCAACAGUUAGUUUUUGUAUAUCUAAAUGCAAAACAAUACAAAUGUCCCUUAAAAAUUUACCUGCCCAAGAAGAAAAGAGCAGAAGGCUUCCUCAAAUUUUAAAUCCACACCAUCUGAUGCAAGCAAACACUCACAGAUGGUUUUUGCUCUAGCGAUCUGCAUCACAGAUUACCAAGAGUUAGACCAUUGCAUUGAGACAAUAAAAUUAUCGUCUUUAGCUAAGAAAAGGAUACCUUAUCAAUUUGUCUUUUUGAAAAUCCAAGAGCAAUAUGAGCUAUCAUCCCCAUAUAAAAACAAUUAUAAUCAAUUACAGCUCUCUGAUUCUGUGAUUCUAGAGAUUUCUUGUUCUUGCGACUAACAGCCAAGCUGUCCCAAGAAAGAAGAUCUACUAUUUCAGUAGCCAUUAGCUUAUUCAUUGCCUGGCUCAAGAAACAAGACCAGUCUUGAACUCUACAUGAAGAUUCAACAUCAAGACCCUGUCUAAGCAAUUCACGCAAGGCUGAAAUUGCUCCUCUCCUACGUUCAGCAUUAUCAGGAGUGCGAGGCAUGUCUAAUAUCUCCAAUGUGCAAGCAGGUGCAAGCUCCUCUAAGGAUUCUUCUAUCUAGAAGCAUACCAAACAAAUCCAGUUAUUUGAAGGAAUGCGUGAUGAAUGGAAAUGGACAUGUAAGGUGUUUGCCUGUGAUAGCAAUGGCAUUUUUCCUAGAGAAAUUUUGCUCCUCAAUAGGUAUUGAGCACGAGCUAGAGCUUCAAAUCCUUCAGAUACUUUGCUUUUUUCAAAACCAGUCUUCGCAAUUGAGCACUUCAUCAAAAAAAAAAAGUGAGAAGAUAAUUGACAGAGUGAUAAAUACUGACACAAUUAAAAAGCAAUGCGUAAAAUGAUUUAUUUAAAAAAAAAAAAAAACUUGUCAAUACUUCAGAUAGUGCCAUGGAGACAAGCAAAUCAUGAACAUAUGGUUUAGCAUCAGGAAGUUGCACAGCUGCUCGACCAAUAUCCAAUACCAGUUUUUCCUGUCCCACCUGUAUGAAAUAAUUAGUCUUCUGUCACCUCUAAUUGGGUUAAAUUAUAACACAUAAAUACCUUAGUGUAGCAAAUUAGUAUCAGAUUUUGGAAACUGAAUUUUGACGUAGUAUAAUAGACAUAUUCCAUGCAUAUCAAUCAGUAUACAUAUCCCACCUCACAGGGUGCCUUUCUUGAAUAAGAAUCAAUGCAUAUAGCAACAUCCAUAUAGGACCUUUCUACAUUCCAAUAUUCCAAGCAAAAUUGGCAUAUAAUUAAAUGAAUUAUCAUUACGAUGCAGAAAUGCUUCAAGUGCACAAACCUUCUUAGAGGUUCUAAACAUAUAUAUUCAAGCUCUGAAUCAUAUAACAGUGCAGACAUCACUAUACAUAGGUGCAAUUGUGUUGAUAACCAUGUUAGUACAUCUUGAAUUGCCUUUUUUAAGAAUUGGAGGUCCCAAGUGAGAAUAACUUUGAGGAAGUAUUUGUUACUGCUUGAUCUGUUUCAGCUGACCAAAAGCAUGUGAAAACUCUAUGCAUUCCUAUGGAAUACCAUAAAAUGGAUUCGGAAACCAAGCGUAUAUCUAAAUUAGGAGGGCAGGUAAAUUCAAAUAAGCGCAUCACUAAUUAGAUGUCUUAAGAAUAUUAACCCUAUAAUCAUGACAGCUCUCUCAAUUCAGAUGACAGAUUUCCUUCCUCACUGCUAAGUUGGAGUUCACAACAUUGGCAAAGUCGUAGCAAAUUUGACCAACCAAGGUAGAAGCUCAACCUAAAUUUUCCUAAAGCUUAAAGCAGAAAGUUGGUGCUAAUUAAUAAUUCAACUUUCUGACUAAAUGGAGAGGAAUUAUUGAGGAUAUGCGAUCAGCAUUUCUAUUAGAGCUCUAAGAUGGCUUUUCAAUCAUAUAUUUCUCUUGUACCAAAUUCUCGAAAUCAAAGUUUGACCAAACCAAGCAAUAAACAAUGUUACGAAACUAUAGCAAGCAAAUGGGAACCAGGGGGCCACCUAGUGCCUAUGCAUCAAGCAGUUGCAUAGGCACGUGUUUAAACCUAAAAAGACAGAUAUGGCACAACUUACCAUAUACAGCACAUCAUUGGGAACUACUAACUUGCAACAGCAAUACUAAUUUAUAAAUCAAUCUAAAUCUCCAUACUCAAAAUGAUGCAAAAUGUUAAGGGGUGAACCGAGGCAGCUCCGUCUAGGAAGACCAUCUCGGCAGCCAUCAGUGUUUUAAGAAGCAGAUUUGGUAUUCAAGCUGCAUAUGUGAGUGCAUAUAUGGCUGCUCUUUAUUAACAAUUUAAAUGAAAUAUAAUAUUAAUUAUUAAAACAACAACAACAAUAAUAAUAAUCAUAUAAUAACAACAAUUUUAAAUGGAUGGAUAAUAGCAAUAUUAAUAACAAAAAUAACUAACAAUUAGUGCUGAUUACCUAGUAUCUUACGACCAAUAGCAAUAACUAUAACAGAAUCAACAUUUUACCACCAUUACUACUCAUAUCAGGCCUACCUAAAAUCCACAUCAAACCUAAUCAUGAGCUUGAACCUGCUUCACCUACAUGGGUCCACAAAAGAGUAGGUUGUAUACAUAGUCCGAAAAUGCUAUGUUGGCUCACAUAUGCAGUCAUAUGAUAAUAAGCAUGCCACAUAUACAGCCGUUCAAUCAUAAGUUGGCCAACUUUUUGAUCCAUGGGUGGUAUGAUGGCAUACGCUACUGCAUAUAGACAAUGUGGUGUGGUCAAAGGACAGUGUUGAUGCAAAAAUCCGCCGACGUCGGAGAAGUUGGAGUCGAGGGAGUCGCGGUCGCCGCUGGGACCUGCAAAAAAAGUCUAAACCGGAGUUGGGGGUGCUCCGGCAAGACCUUUCGACGCUCAAGUCAGUUCUCUGCCUCAACAAGAAUGGAGUGCUCGAACGAAAAUUUUUNNNNNNNNNNNNNNNNNNNNNNNNNNNNNNNNNNNNNNNNNNNNNNNNNNNNNNNNNNNNNNNNNNNNNNNNNNNNNGUAGCAGAAGCUCGGAGUAUAUCGCUUGUAGCAGAAGCUCGAUGUAGAUCGCUUGUGGUGGGGGCUCGGAGUCCGGCCCUUGUAAGAAUUCAGAUGAGGUCUACCUGCAAUGGGAGCUCAGGGCUGAAGUCCGACUCCCGUAGGAGCUCAGACGAAGUCUCCCUGUAGUAGGAGUCCGGAGAAGAAGUCCGGCUCGGAUGAAACCCAGAAGGCGGUCGACCGCCGUAGAAACUUGGAUGGAGCCCGUCCGUCGUGGAGAUCUGUUGUUGGGAAAGUUCGGCCACUGACGAACUGACGUAGUUCUGGAAGAAAUUCGGAUUGGAGUCGAUCGAAUCCUGUCGGAAAAGAUCCGGAAGGGGUCCGGAGAACGGUUGACCCUUGUAGGAGAUCGGCCGAUGGUAGAAUCCAGAGAGCACUUGGAACAGCCUGAUGGACAACCGAAGAAGCUUAUCGCUGGAGAAGCCCGGGAGAUGCAGCAGGAGUUCGUCCGUCGGGAGAACCCGGUCGACACUCGUGGAAGAAGCUGUGGGAGUUUAUCCGUCGGCAGAACUUGGAAAUAUUGCGGAAGCUCGACCGCCGGAGAGGUUCGAAAAGAUGUCGCCCAAGGUUGGACGUCGGCAGAGUCCCGGGAGGAUCACUCCUGGUAUGAACUUCGGCUGGGGGGGUAUUUUAUACCCAACAGACAGCAUAAACACGUGCAGGCCUAUAUGCUGCAGUAUGCAAUCCAUUUCAUAACACUGACAGCUAUGUUUUGAAACAUUGCCGAUACAGUGGAUCUGAGCUCAGCUAUUAUUUUUAACACAAGUUUAACAGUGUUGUUUAGCUGAUCAACUUAUUAAAUGAUUGUGAGAAAAGUUAAACCCCUUUUCCAGAUGAAUGCAUCAGCAUGUUAGCAUGAAAAAGGAGCACUGAGAUCAUUACAUCAGCUUCAUAAGGAAAAUAAAAGUUCAUAACUACUCAGAUUGACAGAUGUUUGCCUUCUUCUUUAGCCAUAUUGCACGAUGAUUUAAAUAAAAAAGUCUAUAUACCACAAAUUUUGGCAAGAAUACCUCCUGUAGAAGGCAAAGGGCACCAGGCAGCCAAUUCCAAGGAAUAUGAAGAAUAGAUUUUGGUGGAAUAUUUUCCUUUAUAUUGCCAGCAUAGUCCAGCUCAAAAAGAAGUUUAUCCCUCACAUCCAUCAAAAGAUCCUGUGAAUCAGCAACAGAAACAACCAGAUCUGAAACUUUUGGAAUUUUCCUAGAAAAGACAACGUAUAACAUAGAAAUAUUAAUACCAAACCAAAUACCUGCCGGGAAAUAAUGACAUCUGCUGUGUAUCCAUCUUCAAUCUGUGAAUUCUUCAGCUCCAUUGCUGCUUUCACAAUCUCAUCCUUUUCAGCUUGCUCAGGUAAGCCAAGAAUCUGCAAAAUCAUUCAGAAGGCUGCCAUCAUGAUAAUGAAGAUAAUGAGUUAAAGAUAUGACAAUUCAGUAUAAAUCAUAGCACGGGUUACUGUGCACCACCUUCUUGGGAUGUGACCUGUAAAAGGACCAGCAAAAAUAGUAUAUUAAAUAAGUACAUGGGUAUAGUUGCUUAUGUUAAAGAAGAAUAUUAGGGUUCUAGGGCUGUAAAAGGACCAUUUGUAAGUCUCUCCUGUAACCAAUCUCACAGCAUCUUAACAUCACGAAGGCAACACUCAUCUCUUUGAUACAUACCUCAUCUUGAUUUGUCUAAAACACAUCAGUUCACUUCUCAAACAGCUUUUCCGUUUUAGAACUAAUAGCAUAAUUGUUUCCCAAAUUCUAAUUUUAUCACCUCCCUUAUUCUUCCUAAUAUUGUACAGUUUCUUAGUCAAUUGUUGUUUUAUUGCAUGGUUAUAUUUGCAGAAAUGAGACUAAAAAAGCAGAAGGCAAGAAAUCAAAAUAAUCUCAAGAACUGUGGUAUCAGAAUUCCAGGGUCCACUGAUUGGUAUUUAUCAUUUAAUUGAGUCUCUCAGGAGAUGCAACUCUAUUAGGAUUUCUUUCUAAGAUAUUACAAAUCAAAUUAAGAGCGCAAGGAAAUACAUCAGAAAGUAUGCAUGGCCUUAAAAGGUAACUUAUAAUGCCUCCCCUUGGCAAUGAAGCACCCAUAAGGAGGUUCAUGGGGAAUCAUAGCACAAGAUUUCGACCCACUAGUAAAUCAUAGAGUGGAAUGAUGAUUACGGGACCUGAGAUUGCUUUUGGAUGCAAAUAUUCGGAUCAAGCAAAUCAAAAGGCAUUCAAAAACUCAUUUUACUUCGAAAUCAAAUACACAAUACCAUAAUUCUUCACACCCCCACCAAAACAAAACAAAAAAAAAAAAACAAAGAAAUCAAUACAUGCAAUGGGAUAAUAUUCCAAGUAAAUAUGUCGCCAUCCUCACCUGAUAACAAGUGACGGGAACCUCAACGCCCGAUCGAACCUGGCCAUUUGCCACGGCCGGCCCCUUCAUCACCCUCACCCUCGCCUGCCCGGAGAUCUCCCUCCGGAAGGAACGGGAUCUAGUCUCCAGAGAAACCUCGUUUUGAACUCCGCCGUUCCCCUUACAACCAAGCGAGGCCACGCCGCCCGAAGCCAAGGCCUUGCGCCUCUCACUCAGACCGCAAUUCCCGAAGCCAGGGCCCGGCCGGGGCAAGCCGAGCACCAGAUGAGCAAACGUCAUGCCCAAAACGAAAGCCCAAUCACCUCUCCUUCUCCCGCUCCUCCCCCAUUUCCAUGGAAAAUAACGAUCGAGUGGAGGGGAGUUGUUACAAAUCCUUGGCGACGGUUAGGGCUUUUUUUUCUUGCAUUGUCGGACAAAAUUUUGGAGAUAGAGAUGACACAAGGGGGUAGAAGAAAAAGGCCACGGCGGAGCGAGAGAAGAGAAAAAGAAGAGGACGGGAAGCCUUGACGCCCAAGCUUCGGUGCGUUUGAAGAGAGGGAGGAGCGGAGCGAGGAGUGAAACGGGAAAAGGGACAGCUGGGGAGACUAAAAGCGGAUUGCUUUCUUUUUUUUUUUUAUUUAUUAAUUUGUUUUUAUUUUUAUUUUCCUUGAGCACAUACGGACUAACGGUCCAGAAUCCUAUGAUCGGGGAAAGUUCGAAACAAAUAGAGUUCCUUUUGUAAAGAGUCCCCUUGUGCCAUCCAGCCACUGGUCCUGUUGACUUUCCAGUACAUACGAUGAAUACCAAUAAAAUGAUAGUUCCUCGUCACACACCAAAUAUCAUGAAUAAAAAGAUACAGCAUCAAACGAUUGUCCUUACAAUCAUAAUGGUCGAGACUCCCUCGAUCAUCAACCUUUCAAAUCAUCUAUAGCUCCACCAUCUGAGCCAUGCUGUCAAUGAGAUGACACCCACCAGCAGUCAAAAAUUUAAACUCAAAUUUGCAAAUUACGAAUCAUAUAUCCUCUUUACUGCUUCUCAUAUUGCCAUCAAAAUUGCUCUUGAAAUAUUUGAACAUAGAAACUCCUAAGUGAUAAAUACUGAAUCAGAGUGUUGUUGCUUUAAGAAGCAAACAAAUGGGCAUCAUAUUAAAUUUUUUUAAUAGAUAAAAUAAUAUUUUUUUGAUAAAAUACAUAUAUAAUUUUAAUACUUCCUGUAAAGCAAUAUGAGAUAUCUACGUCAGUAUAUUGCCACCCAAAUAAGAACGGGAAGGGAACCAGCAAUUUCAAAAUAAAAAUACCAGGAGGCCCACCCCUUGCUACCUUAUAUGAUGGAAUUGCUGGCUUACAACAUGAUAAAUCCACCAAUCUUCUCAUGCCAGUGGCAUGCCAAAGUACCAAGACAUCUUUUUGCCAACAGGACUUAGCUGUGCAGUCUUUCUCAUUUUGAAAUGUUAGGCUUUUUCCUGAUGUUAUAGCUGAUGAAGGCUAAAGUAUCAAAAUGCCAGAUUAUGCAAUAAAUUGAGACUAUUUAUUUCUUCAAAGGUUGGUUUUAAUAGAACUUGAGUAAGAAAGCCAAAAAAUGAUAUUAUUGAUUUUAGGCUGAUAAUCUAAAUUUAUAUCAGCCCAGACACAAUUGUUUUCCCGGUUCUGAUAAACUGCUAAUAUUUGGCACCCUCCCUACUUAGAAGAGAACAAUUUAAACACGAAUCAAUAUCUGAGCCAAACAAUUGAAAACAAAUCUCUCACAGCACUGCAAAUUUGCUAAGAUGUAGAAGAGUUUCUGAAGGUCCCACAUGUCAACCGUCGGGCUCAAGGUUUGGUAGGGGCUGCCUUGGAACCCUCCAGCCCGAGUUCAACCAUACCUGACAGCUAGACAAGGAGAAUGAAUGGAUAACAAACAGAAGAACACAUCCUUUCAUGUCUUCGAGGUCAACCUCGAUCAAAACCACACUCACAAGGAGAUUAACACCGAACUACUCACAAUAGAAAACCCUCAGGCACCUCCAGGAGAGCAACACUGAAGCACAUUCACACAAUACGUACAUCAGUAAAAGCAAAAUAUGUUUUUUCUAACCCUUCGAACAGUCAGUAUCUGAUUAGUCCGGCACUACCAAAAAACCGAGACGGCCACCUUCCAUCACCCCCCCUUGCAGAGACCAAGGGCAUUACAGUUUUUGUACUACAUUGAAUAUCACCAAAUCAAAAGAUUGAUCCUUCACAAAAAAAAAAAAGGAUAAAAGUUAGAAGAAUAGAACUUCAAAAUAAACUUAAAGCCAAUUUUCCAUUUGAGAACGGUCCAGAACGAUGUAUUCCAAUAAACACAUCCACAUAAGAAAAUGGCUGGCCGCCCAGUGGAUCCAAAAUUUACAAAGAUACUGUCAUAUAAGGAGCUCUACAAAAAGCCUCAACAUCUGUCAUACCACAGCAAAAUGCCGCACCGGCCAAAACAACAACAGACUGAGAUUACAAACUGCAAAAGAAGAGGAACCAAUUGAGGGGAUAUGACAGAUUACUUAGCAACAAAACAUCAGGAUAUUGCUGUGCCGUCUAUCAUAAAUGCCCAUUCCAGAAUGAUAAAUCAAAAUCAGGUCAACAACUGUCCUACAGUUAGUCAUCAGCAUCAGCAGAUGAAGUUGAUAAUGGCUGAGAUGACUUUAACUCCUACGAUGCUGAUGCAGUUGGGUCUCCAAUUUCCUGUGGCAGAUCUGUUUCCAUCAUGUGUUUCUCUUCAUCUUCAGAUUCUACUAUAGGUUCUUCAGAUUCAGCCUUUGACCUGACACAGUACAGCGAAUUAUAAGAUUUGAGAUUCCAUAACUGUUUCCAGUGGAAUGACCCGGUAUCCUACAAGUGAAGGUGCUCAUAAAAAGCCAUAUCUGUUCAAGAUUUUCUAAAAGCAACACAUUUGAUUGAUCAAAGCAUCAAACCAUCGUGUCAAUCAUGUUCAAGAUCCAAAAGAACCACUAGUCAUGAUUGGAGGUCCAUGAAAGGCACAGGAUCGAAUUUAUAGAAGUCUAGUUAUAUCUCAGAUCAAGGUUUUAAAUCCCACAAAAUGGGGCUAUCUCGGUUUUUCCAUGAAACGAGACGCGUUGUCGUCCCGACAUUUGGGACAAAGAAUAUCCCAAGACGUCUCAAUCGGGACGUCCUUGUCUCGAUACAUAGGAUGGUACCCCAUCCCCGUGUCUUGUGGGACGUCCUGUUGGGACUUGAAUCCUCAUCUUAGAUAUGAAGGAUAGUAGGAAUUCUUUAUAAAUCAAAGGUGCAUUUAAUCAAACCCAUACCAAGGAUCCCCUACAAGGAUAACCGUGUAAGAGAAGAUAAGGGGCAAGAAAAGCUCAAGAGCCACGAAGACUAAAAGCACAACAAACUAUUCACAGGAGUUGAACUAAAGCAGGAAAACGAUAAGAUGGCUUUAAAUUCACCUUGGUUAAAAGCAAAAAUGCAGUGAUAUGAAACACUCACCUUGGUUUAAAAUUACGGACUUUUAAAUCCUGUAUAACACGGAUGAAUGCAUGAAGAGCCAUUUUCUUAACCUGGAUCAUGUUCAAUAAAGUUAGAAACCAUAACAGGAAUUGGAACAAAAUCUUCAAGAUGCAUAACAACAAACAAAUUUAAUAGAAGCAUGAAAAAGCACAAUUAUGGAUUUAUAGGGAAGAAGCAUAGGACCAAAUUAGUAAACCUCUAGCUUAUCUUCCUUAGCCCUGUGCUCUUCUGGAAGUACACGAAAUUCUUCUGUUAAUCGAAUGCAUUGACGGACAUUCUCAGGAGACACAAAGUCUAGAGCAACCUUUAUGCAUGACUGUUCAUGAGGGAAAAAAAUGUCAAAUUGCAGUUACCAAUGAAUCAAGCAUAAACCCUUGGAUUAAGUCAGAAUAAUAGUUCAUAAAUAACAAAUAAUCCACUUAUCAUGUAAAUAAAAGAGAAGCACACCUUCAAAUUUCUAACUUGAUGGGGACAUCCUGCUGGGAUAAAGACAGCCUCGCCAAGCUUUUGCUCAAAAGUCCAGGGCUCAAUUCCUAAAUGAAUCCAAGAUUAUUAGAUCUAGAUGCCUUCAAUCUUAGCAAUACGAAUGCAUAACAGAUAACCAACAAGGCCAUCAUUGUGUCCAUAAUUAGUGUAAGAUUAACUGACCAUAUUCAUCCUUAAGCUUCCUUUUAUGCUCCAAGGUUAAAUAGAAAGACUGGUCAUGAAUAGGGUGAAGCACCUAUAACAGACGAUUGAAGUUAUUUACAAUGCAAAAAGGAAGAUGAAGUGCAAUACAACAUAAUACUGUGCAUAAUGACUUGUUACCUGUUCAACUGGAGAACAGUGGACAUGCCUGAACUCUCUAGCAUGUUUUUUAAGAUAUUCCUGUAGCUUCGUAACAUCUUCUCUUCUAAAAAUAUCCCACAAAGCACCACCUUCUGGCUGCUUCUGCUCUUUUUCCUCUAUGCUGUCACCAGACACAGCAGAUCGUUGCUCUCUUACGUUAGCUGAACCUCCGGCUUCCUUCACCUCUGCACCAUUUUCAGAAUCUGAAAGUUCCUCCACUUGACCACCAUCAGCAUUUUCAGUGGUUUCAGUGUUGACAGUAACAGGAUCAAGUUCUCUUUUCAUUCGUUGACCAGAAACUGCAGGCUUUCUCCCCCUCCUUUUCUUCCUACUUCUAUUUUUUGUUCUCUCAUCUGGCCCUUCAGAAACUUUAUGAUUGUUACCCUCAGCUUGGAUCUCCACAUCAUUACCAGAUUUGUCUUCUGGUUCGAGAUGAGGAGAUAGCAUCACAGUUUCACCCUCGCUCUGAAUUUCCCCUGAAGUUUGCCCAGGCACUACCUUGCUCGGCUUCUUCCCAAAAUCAGCAGGCUGGCCCCUCUUCUUUUGACCUCGUUUCGUCUUAACCACAAGCAUUUCAUCAUCAUCCUUAACAUUUGCAUUACGCACUUCAUCAUUUUCAGUUUUACUGGAAAACUGACUAGCAUUAUCUCCUUGAUCGACUCCUCUAGAGCAAGAGACUCCAUUGCUUUCAGUUUUAACAGGACACAGAGGGAAAUUGUCAUUACCAUACAGCCCAGUUUGGCAAGCAUCAUUACCUGCUUCAGCUUUGACACCAGUAUCCUGAUCAGAUCCUUCCUCCCAAGCUCCAUUUCUGGCAUUUACCACUGCCAAUAUCUGCAACUGACCAGUUCCUUUCAAGGAGGAUUCAGAUAUAGGAAAAUCUCCAUCAGCAGCGGCACAAGACUGAAUAUCAACCAAAUCAGAUGUGGAUUUAAUCACUGAUGGAUCUUCAGUAUGAACUUCCACAGUCUCUUUUAAAUCAUCACAGACUUUGCCAGAAUGCCGGAUUUCAUUCUGGCAUAUAUUCACUUGACCCAUCUCUGGACUUCUAAGAGCUCCUUCACCAUUCAAAUUACAAGAAGCCAUUUGACCAACUUUCUUCUCUUCCAAUUCACUAGCUGAUGCAUGCAACUUAAUGGUUUUCAGAACAGGCUUGUCGACAGAAAGCUUCAGACAAAUUCCAUCACCUGCUUGACUAUCAUCUUCAGUUGUUUGAUGUCCUUUCAAAUCUUCAUUCUGAGAAAGCUUUUGGUUAUUUGAUAAACAACCAUUUUGUCCCUCUUGUUCAUCAUGCAUUACACCUCUUUCAGCUUCAAUGUCAGAAAAGCUUGCAUCAGCAUCUUUCUGAACAUCCAUUGCAUCCCCAAUCUUAAUAUCUGAAUCGUUCACAUGAGAUUCAGCUAUAGAGAGAGAAUUUAUUUUUUGCUGACCAAAAGAAUCAUCACAUAUCAUAUUGUUGGCUUGAACAGGAUGAUGAAGGUCAUUUUCUAAACUAGGUGCUUGAAUGGAGUGUUUUCCCCCAGCAGUAAAGGUGACAUAUGACUUAUCAUCAGGAGGCUCCAUUACAGAUUUCCCUGGAGAUGGCGAUGAGUUCUCUUCUGGAUCUUUUCGUGUGGUACAAUUCUGUUCUCUUAAAUCUUGAUCCCUGUGUUUCUUUUUCAACUUCUCUAUCCUAGAAAGCUGAUAAUCAGUAAGGGUUAUCUCUGCUGUGUGUGUUAAGACAUUCACCUGGGUAAGCAAUUACAUAUCAGGCAUUAAAAAAUUUCCCUGAUUAAAAUGGAGUAAUGUGCGAAACACAAACUACUGAAAUGAUCUAAAACACAGGCUCAACAACAAAUGCUAAUGAAAAAAGGUUUAAUCUAAUGUACUAAUACUAUUAAAAAACGGCAAACAGAAAAUCUAACCAUUAAAUUCAAUAAUUACAGCCCAUGAUUUUAUAGGUGUUUCCAGAGAUCAAGAGAUGAUAGCCAAAAACAACAAACACCAAAAAAUGAUGGUCACAACAAACACCAAAAAAUGAUGGUAACAACAAACAGACGUUUCUGCUUUAGCUUUUCAACACUUUCCCAAUAAAAAACAGAAAACUUAAAAUGGUUAAUACUGCAGAAGGAUAACCUUUCGGGAGAUAUCAAAUCAUUAAAGCCAGGGGCACUAAUGUAUCCUCAAAAGCUCUGAAAUCAGAUUCUGAGACUAUUGCACAAACAUGUGGAUGAGUUAGGCUAUAUAUGUAUUGACUCACCUCAUACAGAAAACCAAAUGUCAAUUAUCAACAUGGGGUAACUUAUACCAACUUACCAAAAAUUGAGCCACAGAUGAACAUGAUAUUUAUUUUUUUACGGUACACGAACAUGAUAUUAAUAAUUGAAGAAAAAUACAUACUGCAUCAGACAUAUCACAAUGAAGCUUCGUCACGGAAUCACCCCUGCCCAACUCUUGGGGAAGACCAUAAGCAAUAUAUGUUUUGGGUCCCAGGUCUGGCUUUAGAACAUCCUUCGGCAGCUUCACUGCAAGAUUCAGAGGACCAUACCUAGGAUCUGUAUAUUCCGGGAAUGGCAAAGCAGUUAUAAACUCGGCACCAUGGCGAGGUAACCGAUCCUCAAAGGAACUGGCUGGAGGCCAAUCCUUCAGUUUUAGCAUCUCAGGCCAUUGAUUUCUGUGAGUUCGCCCCUCAGUAUAUCCUCUGAAAAAUUGGUGAAUAUUUAUCUCAACCUACAACAUACAACAUAUGCAUCAGGGAGUCUCAAGUUAGAUAGAUAGCACAAAACACCACCAUGCAGUUGGCCAGUCUGCCAACACAUUUCCUAGCAUUAGACUGUGAAAAUUAUACAGGAUGGUAAAAACACAUCAAACAAGGAACACACAGCUUUCAAAAAUAGACAUAGGCAACUGCCUACUUGCAUGACAUUCAUCAGAUAGUCCAUUUUAUCCAAUGUAAAAAAUGAACAACCAAGGAACACACAUUCCCCAACUGCAGAGACGGUUGCAACUACAUAUCCACAAAAGUUUCUUCAAAGAUUCUUUGCUUCAAUAGGUACAUGUAGUGUGUACAUUUCCAUCUGAAUAGAGCAUUACCAAAUUACAUUCCUUCAGAAAUCUAUUCAAAUGUUUACUAGGAUUUAAAUUAAUUGACAAACUUCAUACAUUGGUCAAAAUGUACUUCACUGUGAGUAGAUUUUACAACCGCAGCAGUUUUUGUUCAUGCUUAACACAAUGGAACAAAUUGUCAUCCAACUAAGGAUGCAUCAGUUGCAUAUACAUGAUUAAGAAGUUUGGAAAGCUCUGUCAGUCAUGAUGCAAAGAAAAUAAAUAAAGGAAAAUAUAGACCGUUCUACAACUUUUUCAACAGAACAAGGACAAUACCAAAGAUGUGUGUGUAUUCAAUGAAACUACUUUAGAAACAUCUCCUAACAUCAAAAACAUCAAUGAGAUACCAAAACUAACCUCACACCAAUCCAAACAAUCAAUAGCCUUUACUGCAAGCUGCUCAGAUGAAGCCUUAGACUUUGUCUUCUCUCGCAAUGCACGCCACAUAACCAUUGGCUCCCAGCUCAGGCCAGAAGUAAGCUCAAGUACAUCACGAACAAUCACCGGCUCUCCCUUUAACCAGUGGUUUUGGAAGUGCUUCAGUUCUCCCUGUUGAAUAUCUCUAGCAGUAGGACAGUAUAAAUAAUUAUCAUCAGAAUUCUCCCUAUAGGCUGCUUUCCGCAACAUUUCACUCCCAGCAUUAAUAUUACCAGAUGCAGUGAAACAGGCACAUGAACUGGACAUGUCCCCAAAUUUUGCAAACCUAUUGCUCCUAGCAAUUGCAUCAGCUUUCUCCUCUAACUGGAAAAGCAACUUUUCAGGAAACAUGCACUUCAGCUCCAAGAGGGAGCUGCCACAGCCCCCAAUCUCCUUUGGCGGGCAAGGAAUGCUGCCAUCACUAUUUGCUUUCCAUCUUGUCAUAUGAGUCAUUCGAUCUGUAGAGAUAGCAAUCCGGUUGUCUAUAGAACUCUCUUGACUUUUUUUCCUCUUCUCUUGACCUUUAUUCAUGCGACGAGGACAUCCCCCAUGCACAUAAUCCUUACCCCUGUCCUGAUAUGGCAAAAUUACUGUCCCAUCACCACCAGCUAUGUGACCUUCACGUAGUUCCCGGCAGCAACUAAGGCAUAAGUCAUAUGAACAGCGACGGCAGCUUCUAUGGAAAUCAACAAUAGAGGUUCUGCAAUUGUCACUGCUCCAGAACAAUUUCAGAGAUCAGGUUUUUGAAAGGCUUAACUUAACCACAUGCGGAGCCUAUUACUUAUGAAGAGCAAAGUUUCCAUCAGUUGAGAUAUCAGUCAGUAAGUAUCAAAGGCUCAAUGAUACUAUAUAACUAAUAUCUCAGAUGAAAUUUCCUAAUCAAUCUUUACAAUCUUAAAUGAACAUUUAACAUAAAUGCUUUUGUGGAAAUUGUUAGAAUACACGGAAAGUUCUUCAGGCCCACCUACUGCUAGCUUGGCAACUUAAAAUUUAAUCCACCAUCCAUAUUGUGCAAAUUCCUGAGAAUCAUGCAAGUCCCCUCAAGCCAUGUGGCAGGAGGAACUUUUCAUGUCCAUCAGACAAGGGCCCCCCAGCAUUACUCAUUUUUAAAUAUUAGAUAUUUAAGUUUAUGCAAUAAGAAUAGUAUGUAAUCAUGGAUUUACCAAUAUUGGCCAAUAUUUAGAUAUCUAAGUUCCAUGGUAUCAGCCAACAUAUGGAAAAUAUCCAGUCCUCAUAUAUUUUUUCCAAGUGUUCCAUUUUGGCCAAGAGAAAACCCAAUUUAGGUCUAGAUCGGCAUAGGCCAUCAAACAAGAUGACCGAGAUCUAUGGUUUUAAAAAAUCUUGAUGAGGGAAAGAGUUUUACCAGUAGACACGUUCAUCCUUUUGACAGUUAGCUCUUUUUAACUUUAUUUCAGUCAAUGCACAACCUGGUCAGGAGAAAAAUGCAGCAGCAGGGGAGAAAGAUCAGAUGGAAAAGAAUGGAUGGAAAAGGUAUACAACUUUAAGUCCAAUUUAUGCCAAUGAUACCUCGGAUCUUGGCCUCGAUUUCCUUUUCUGCCAUCUGUUCUUGUUGUAGUUCUUUCAACCAUGGCAGCAAUAAGCGUACAAUAUAACAGUUGUAUUGGACUCGGUCAGCAUUCUUAAUCUUUUUUUCAGGAGGCUAGAGUCAAGAUAGAGAGUGUGUCAUCAGAUAUGAUUACAUAAGUAGAGAACCAAAUGCAACAAUGAUCAAGAAUUCCAAAUACCAAAAUCAGACCUCAGAAACUCCUUUCAUUCGCAAGCAUGCCUUGCAAUUGCAAUUGUUGCAGCAAACUGGGCAUUCUUUUGCAAAUUCAGCCUCCGAUAAGUGAGGAUACCUGAUAAAAAUCACAAAGGAAAAAGCAUAUACAUAAUAGAACAUCUAUAUUUUCAAGCUUGCAAUUUUCACUAUUACACUAUGAAACACUGAAUACCUUACCACUGCAGCCACUGACCUCAAAAGAAUACCUAUCAGCUAACUCCAUACAACCUUCUAAACAGUCAAAAGAACAGUAAAAUUUGGAAGCAUAGAACAUAUUCCUUAACGAUGUCAAUGAUAACAGCAUAAAAUUUACACAUUUCUACAAUUCAGCCCUGGCAGAAAGAAGGUAGAAGAAACUUUUUUUUCUUAGAAAAAAGAAACGGAUGAGACAUGGAAUAGUAAACGAGCAAAAAGGGAAAUAUGGAAUUUAUCAUAAAAUUGCGAUGAAGAGCUUUUAAAGGUUAAAACCUACAAAUGAGAACAUACAUUUACAAGAAGAAUGAAUAGAUAAAGAAGAAAGGUGCAAGGAUCAUCACUCACCAGCGAGUCAUGCACGGUACACAAAAGCGCUUCCUUUUGCACAUCAAACACCAUACUACCCUUCCCUUAUCAUUCCUCUGGCAUUGGUGGCACAUUAGGGCAUCCUCCCCUGUCAGUACCCUCCUCUUAGAACCCUAAAAAAGAAGAUACAUGCUAUAAAUUAACUGCAUUCGACCAAACCAAAGAGAUAAAGUCGUGCGUCCAACCCAUAGUGGAGAGAAUUUAUUACCUCAGGUUUUUUCUCAGGGCCUAAAACCUUGUUGGAGUUCCUCGUAACCCUAGCAACAGAAGAGGGCCCAGCUUCCAAAUCCUCCUUCUUGGCCUUUCUCCCCUUCCCACCCUCCUUCUUCCAAUGCUUCCUCUUUCGCUUCUUCCCCACCUUCGAAACUUCCUCUUCUUCCACUUCUUCGUCGCCCUAAUCCUCAUCACAUCACCGUAUGUUAAAAUAAAAAAAUAAAAAAAAAAAGGAAGAAGAAGAAGAUAAAUUUUUGUCAUACAAAACAGUAGAUAAAUUUCUAAAGCCCACACAAAAUCGUUCCCUGCCUUCUCCAGGCCGAAAACAGCAAGAAACGAAAACGGAAAGGAUCAAAUCUUUCUCCAAGAAAGAAGGAGAAAAACUUAAGCAUUGCAAGAAAUCGCCCCUCAAGCUCGCCAGAACCGAAAAAGAUAAAGAACGCAAAGGAAAACAAAAAAAGAUCGAAUUUUGCGCCAAAAAACAAAGAAAAGACCGCAAAUUAACUUGAAGAAAUCGCUCUCUGACCUUCACGAGUCCGUCUUCCUCGUUCUCCUCAUCGCUUCCGAAAACGUCCACCACUAUCGGCUUCACCGGCUUCCUUUCCCUCAUCUGGAUAUCCCUUCCGGCGAACAUUCCACCAACGCUAGCCGCCGGCGGCCGGAACGUCCUAUCAUCACUCUUCUUCCUCCGCCGGCUGCUCCGCCCGCCCCCGCUCUCCCCAUCCCUCGACGAAACCCUAACCCUACUUUUAUUCACCUGCUGCUCGUGAUGAACCUCGCAGAGGGUGAUUCCUUCCUUCCUCCAGUUCUUGCACCGCCACGACUUGCCGUCGCUCCGCUUGCACCGCCGAUCCGUCGGCGGCGUCCCCGGCCGCUGCCCGCCGGCCAUCCUCUCCCCAGAAAACCCGGUUCUCUCGCCCCGAAACCUCCGGUUUUUGAAACCCACUCGUCCCGCCACAGAGAAAAAGACCGGUAGCAGUGAAAAGGGAAACGAAAAGACCAGUCUUUGCUUGAUGGCGUAAAGAAAGAAGCGGGGUAGAUGAUGAGAGUAUAUAUAUAUACAUCCAUAAAAGAGAGAAUGGAACAAUUAAGAGCUGGUGCAAAAUAGACUCUCUCGCUUCCUAGCUUGAAUCGCUGUCCGGGAAAUGCAAAUUUAAUGCAUGGGAAACGGGUUCGAGAAACGGCACGAGGCCAACGCGUGGCUGGGGCGGAGGAGAAGCGGGAUGGGGCGGGGGUAGCGGACGGCGCCCUCGGAUUUUUGGGAGGAGAGCCAAAACCAGCGGCGGGGCUGCCGGUUUCGGGGGAGCGCCCGCCCGUUGCGCGAUCGAUUGGGGUUUGGUGUUCCGGAGGUACGAGUUAUCGUCCCCUGUCGCGCGCGUGGGCGUAUGGCGCGGUUUGCGAAUUUUGGCCCGUGUGUCGGAUGAGUGCGUCCCGCUGGACCCAACCUGCGAGCUCUCGGAUUGGAAGGAAGCCAAUCUGGGCCAAGAAUACCAUCUUUAUACUCUCUUGCCGGAUUAUAAACUAUGGAAAUGGUUUGGAGCUGGAUGCUCGGGCGGGGAAAUGUACGGACUGACGUUCCACGUCUCCACCAACUUUCUCAUGCUUCAUCUUACCAUAAACUGUUUUCUCUAUUUUAAAAUCAGAAGCAGGAGUAGAUCUGAAGAAGAUUUUUUUUUUUUUCAAGAAAUAUACGAAGCAAGUAAUCGGAUGAAGUAAAUAUAGAAUAAAUUAAAAAAUUAUUCAUCCAAAUAUAAUUUAUUUAUUAAAUAAAUUAAAAAUUUAUAUUUAAAUCUAAUUUAUUUAUUAAAUAGAUAAUUCGUUCCGAUAUGUCUAAUCCAUUUAUCAAAUAGAUCAAAUUAGGUUAAAUAUAUUAGGCCCAUGAUUCAAUGGAUUAAAUAGAUUAUCUAACUUAAUUUAAUUUAAAUAUUAAAUAGAUUAGACGAAUUAAAUGAGUUAAAUAUCUAAAACUCAAAUUCGAUUCAAAUAUUAAACAGAUUAAAUGGAGUAAUCUAUUUAUAAUCUAAAUCUAUUUAUGAUAGAUCAUAUUUUAUUUUUUUUAAUUUUAAUCAUAUAUUAUAUAAAUAGGCUCACGUUAGACAGAUGUGGUAAGAAAAAUAUAGAUAGUUGCGCAUGAUUGUUGAAGAGAAGACGUAUGAAAAGAAAAUAGAAAGGGUAUUGGUGGUUGGAAGGUUUGAUACAUGGCAGAGACGCUAGCAAUUGUUUUACCGCGAAACUUGAUACGAGGAGUUAGUGAAACACCAUUGCUGUGUCGUAGGCGUGAGCAAAUUGUGUGAUUGGAUGUAUCCACCACAUCGCUAUCUUGGAAAUGGAGGCUCUCAUUCGUCAUGAGAACAGUGUUGCGUUUGAAUGCUAAAUACGUGAGGUAGCUGUCGAACAUUAGGUGCAAAAAUAUUAUGCGAAAGAGAGAGCUCUUCAAGAUAGAUAUAAGCAUGUACGGCUCUCAAUGGUGUAAAUGAUGCAUGGCAAAGGAUGCUGAAUCAUUUAGAAAAGAUUAUUGGACAUCAUUAAGAUACCAGCUCUGAAGUUUAAGAUGUGGGAGGAGGCCAAGCCCCCGAUUUAAGGUUCGUAAAUAGGUUAAUAACUAUAUGCAAGGAUAUAUUAGUUUGGAUCCCUCAAGUUCUAAUGUGAAAAAUAAUCAUAGAACCAUUUUAUUAAGAUUGCAACUUAAUUGAUAAAGUGGCAAAUUCUAACAGGCAUUUGAAGUAUUCUGAAAGAUCCCUAAAUAAUGUCUAUAAAAGCCAGGAAGGACAAAUUAGCAAAGAAUUAUUUAUCUUUUUUUGAUAAAUAAGAAUUGUGUAUCUUUCAAGAUUAUGAAAAGUCAGAUCAUUUAUCUUUUGGACAUCGUCACUUUUUAGAGUACCUAGUCCAAACCCUAAAUUUCUAAACGCUGAAGUUUUCAUUUGUUUUGAUUUACCCACAUUAGUGAAAGCUCUCGUUCCUUUGUUUCCAUUAGUUGGGUAUUCUUUUUCAAUUUUGAAAGGUCAAUUUAUUUUAAUAUAUAAUUUAUUAUAUUGUCAAUGUUUUCUCUCAACAUAGCUUACGCUCCUUUGUUUCUUUAAAAAAACAAAAUAAAAUCUCUCUUGAAAAUGAAGGUUCAGCUUGCUCCAAGCUAUUGCCGUUAUGCUUGGGCUACAACUAAUCGUGGAAGUCAAAUAUUGCCAAGAGGUUCUACCAGAAUAUCUAUCUUUUCUUUUCUUUCUAUAGAAUUUGCCAUGUUAUCAUAACUUUUUUCUUUUGAUAUAAAAAUCUAAAACCAUAAACAUACAAAACCUAUGAAGAUUAAAAUGCAUGAUAAAUUCCAUCCUUUCUUCCUUCUUUUAACACUCUAUUUCCAUUAAAAAUUGAUAAAAUUCUUUUAUAUCAAGGCAUCAAACUCAUGAAACCCAACCUAUCAACUUUUGCGUCGCAUGAUGGCACCAUUUAAUAGAUACCGAUCGACCCAUCAUACCAUGCAGCUGUAAUAUUCGACAUUGGACAAAACAGCAAUGAAAGCAAGUUAUCUAGACAUCUAAAUCUAGACAAAAUAGCAGAGAGCCCUCAGCUCAGAUUAUUUAUGCAAUCUUUUUCAAUUUUGAUACAAUCCAUAUAUUCCUAAAACAAAUAUUAACUUUCCGUGUUUAUAAAUUUUUAUCAUGCAUAAGAAUCCAUGUCUCACUUUCACCGCACUCUAAUUAAAUACAGCAAACAUCAUCUGCAAAUCAACCAAAACCUAAAUUAGUAAGAACUUUAGUUUUUAUCAUACAUCACGUUUCUAUCCUCUUGAUUCCCAAUGCCCUUCACUUCAUGUAGAACCACCUAGGCUAGUAUUACCACCUCACUUGCCACCUUUGUUGGCUCUUGCUCUUCUGGCUUCCGCUAGCCUCUAGCAUAUAAUAUCGUAUGAAAUGGAUGCCUCUUAGUACUUUCAGCAACUUCUAAUUAAUAGCUUAAUCGAACCCACUUUAGUUGUCUCCAUAUUGAACGUGCCCGUUUGCUUUAUUGGAAUUGUAAGCAAUUGCCCAGCAAUGACAUUACGAACUUCAUCCAAUAUUGAUAAAAUAAAAAUAAAAAUUGAGUUUUAAUUGAGAUCGGUAACAACAUCCAAUAUUACCCCUCUCCAUACAAAAAAAAUGACAAAAUAGGAACAUCGCCCCUAUUUCAAUCGGAGGCCUUUAGAGGCUCUCCUGUCUCCUUCCCUCCUCCUCUCUAUCUUUUUCUCUCUUUUCUUCUCCCUUUCCUCUUCUUGUCAGCCCUUCAUCGAGCGUAAUAGGCCUUCAGUAACCUUCAGAGGCUCUCUCUCUCCUUCCCUUUCCCCUCUCAUUUUUUUUCUUUCAUCCUUCCUUUAUCCUGCUGCAUCGAUUCAAAUCUGACAUAGAACGAUAUGGAGGCUUACUAAACCAUUUAAUUGGCUGAUCAGUUCGGACUUCGAUACUAGUACAACGAAUCUUAAUUAAAAAAAUAUGACUUAAAGCAUGCAUAAUAUAUCAGAGUUAACCUCACGCCAACCCAUAUAACUAAUUUCUUUAAAUUUAAAAGCACUCAUAGAUAUUGACUUGUCUCACAAUGCAUGCUAUAUAACCAUUGGCUCCCAGCUUAGGUUAUAAGUAAGCGCAAGCACAUCAUGAACAAUUACCCAAUGAUUUUGGAGGUAUUCUAGAGAAGGUAGAUGGAUUGAUGUAUCUCUUUUACCAAUAUUCAUUGCGGGACAUCUUCUUUCUGAUUUUUUGAAUUGUAUUCUUAUUUGUUGUGUAUACGAAUUCUUCCAAUUUAUCAAAAAAAAUACAUAUCUUUAGUGGUCGGAUGGCAUAAAUAGUUAUCGUCAGAAUUCUUCUUACAAGUUGCUUUCUGAAACAGUUCGCUCCCAGCAUUUAGAUGGCAAACAGGAGCAUCACUGAACAUGUCCCCAAAUCUCCCAAGCACAUCGCUUCCAGCAAUUGUAUCCACUUUCUCCUCUAUCCAACAAAGCAACUUUUCAGGGAAGUCAUGCGCUUCAGCUCCGCAAGGGGACUUACUGUUGGGAGAUACGGACCGACCUACGGACCGACCUACGGACCAACCGACCGACCGAUCGUCGGAUGCCAUUACUGACUGAGGGUAUGUCGGUCGGGCGGACCUUUUUUACUCUCCCGACCGACUGCACCAGGGAGUCCGAUGGCCGACUCUAGCAACAUGUCCGACUGACUGUCGGAGGGGCCUGGAUCUCCACCCGACGCCAUACAGCUGGCGACCGGUCUAGGAUCGGUCGACUCCUCCGAUCGCCGUACAGCUGCUAGAGACUGUCAGCCCUGACAGCAACAUGCGGCACUGCCACCUAAAGGCAUUAUCCCACCUAGGGCAUUGUCAACCCUAGUGAUUUGACAGCCCCACGGCGAUGUGACACUUUCACGGUGACUCUGACAGUCUACAGUGAGUUGACAAUUCCUCAAUUGUCCGUGCCAUUAAUGACGGCGCCAUACCAUGCUCCACCAUAUAUAUAUAUCGGGGAAGGCAACAGUGCAAGAGGCCCUUCGAAGCGACAGGCUUGCUCCCUCUCUCUUUCUCUCUCUCUCUCUCGAUUGAGCUCCCUGUCUUCAUUUCACUGUUGCCCAUUCACCUCUCUGACUUGACCGUCGGAGGGUCCCCGUCGGAGCCGCCUCCGGUCAGUGUGGACUUCCUUUUUUGCAGACGCUCGUUCCCGGCGACCAGACGACGAGGGGAUUGGCCGCAACACUUACCAUCAAUAUUUGCUUUCUAUUCUUGCAUAGGAAUCAGAUAAUCUGUUGAGAUAGCAAGCUGCCUGUCUAAAGAACUCUCUGUUAACUUUUUUCCUGACCUAUUGACCUUUCUUUGCCUGAUGAGGAGAUUCCGCAUGCACAUGAUCUUUACCUCUAUCUUGAUAUGGCAAAACUACCAUCCCAAAGACCACCAUGUAUGCAACCUUCUUUAAGAUCCCAGAAGUGAUUUAUUUAAUUUUGAUCUGCAUCUGGACCCAAACAUGCAUGCAGUCAUCCCGGUCACAUUCACAUGAAACAACACCACUUCCUCGGUAGCAACAGGAAGCUUCAUGUCCACCUCCGACUCCACCUCUCCUCGACCUACUUCUUCUGCCAACCUUUCGCUAAGCCGGCAUUCUCAUAGUAGUAGGUGUUCUUGGCUCGGAGGGUGAAACUGAACUCUGGGUCUGGCUCGAACUGCACGACGGAGAAGGUUGUGGACGUAAAACUUGGGUGGAGCGAAAUAGCAGUGCAGCACAACGAUAACGAUGGCGGCAGCGGGGAGGAUGCAUUGGGUACAGCGGUUGGUCUUCGAUGCAGCGACGUGAUGACAUCGACGGCGAUGGUUUCCGGUGGCGGAAAGGAGUGGGCCUCCACCGUCAUGGCGCCGCUUCUUGGAGGAUGAUAAGGGGGCUGUUGGCAAGCUUUUGGACAGAGAUUUUGGAUGGUUUAAGCAGCUCGCAAACGUACGAGAACGAAGCCAUGUCAAUCGUUACAUUUUUUUUUUUUAAUAAAACAAUUAUAAUUCCGUUCUGGAUGCUAAUAAUUAAAGGAAACCAGAAAAUGUAGAUACAUAUAACAAUAUGUUAUAAAUGUCGUGGUGGGAUUUAUUUCCUCACAUAUUUCUUAUAAAUGCCGUGGUGGGAUUUAUAACAAUUACAUUUUUUUUUUUGAUAAAACAAUUAUAAUACCGUUCUGGAUGCUAAUAAUUAAAGGAAACCAGAAAAUGUAGAUACAUAUAACAAUAUGUUAUAAAUGUCGUGGUGGGAUUUAUUUCCUCACUUAUUUCCGUCCAGAAUUUAGAUGAAUUCAAACACACGUAGUAUACAAGGCAAAUAUAAAAAAAAAGGAUUGAAUUAGAGGUCCUAUGAAUUGAUGGCAUUCCCCAAUCUUUUUGGUAAAUGAGCUUCCCUUUUUAAAUAUUUAACAACUAAAAUACUUGAAUUCGAAAUUCAACCGUCUGCUUAUCUUUUUGGUAUGUAUCACUGAAUAUGAAUGAAUUCAAGAAUGAACCUAUGCACUACUGUUUAAGGCUAUCUAAACGUAUCUACUCAAUGUCGUUAAAUUUAAGAAUUCACCACUCUUAAUUCAACAAAAAGCUCUGCUUCCACUCUACCUAAUUAAAUAAUCUAAAUCAUUAAAGACCAGAACAAGAAGAUCAGUGUUACAAGAUAGUUUAUCGAAAACUAGCAUUCGUGCUUUCCUUUCUGAUCGAACCAAACCAUCACGAGCUCGCUCUCCUCAAAACUCGCGAGUACGGUGGUGAACGACCUCUCCUUGCCUCCGCGCUUUCGCCAGAUUUUCGAAACUGGGAAGCUGUCAUUGUUUCAACAUGGCCGAGGUUCGGUUCUCAUUUCUCUUGUACUACCAGGUUUUUGGGAUUCAAUAAUCUCAGGUUCCCCCAAACAGAAGAUUUCUUCACUCCCAUUGUUUACUCAUAGGCGACCACGCACGAAAAAAUAUAUUCAUGGAUAGGUUAUAUACCGAUUACCGAUGUUGCAUUCUUUCACAUUUGGGUACAUAGAAUAUGAGCAACACAGAGAUCACACGCAAAUGCAGCGAUGAUUCAUUGUCAAGCAUUUAAAACAUGACCAUUUUGCAAAUCAAUUAAGAAACUACAUACGGGCAUUUAUAGCAUGAGAGUACCAGAUUUUCAUAUAGUUCACCAGGGCUCCUGUAAGCAGCCGUAAUGAGUAAUGUAAGAGGCUCUAAUCACCUUCCUUGACAAGGUUCAUGCUAGAAGGAUAUAGCGAAUAUAUGUCGCAUAUUCAAGACCCCAAAGGCAAAGUACUUUUUAGCGACAACAGAUUCAGAAGGAGACAAAACGUGUUGCUAUAAACUGUUUAACUGUUGCAGCAGAAGAAAAUUGCAUACUUCUCCUACGUUCAAGAAAAAAUAAUGGUCCUGGAUGAUGACAGAUUAAUCAGAAAAUAUUGAUAGUAACAGUACAGUGCUUCAAUCGUCAGUAGAAAUUGUCAUCAGAGAACAAGAAGUACCACCCCAGGUUGGGCACUGAAAGAGCAGUAGAUAGAGAAAUUAUUGCAUGCACUAGGUGCAAGUGAACAAAGGCAAAUCCCCAAGCAUAUGCACGGUGGAUAGCGUGCAAUCUGGAAUUGGUGAAAUACAAAGGGUAGCAUGGCGUGUUAUCCACCGUAGGAUUUGAUGCGGUCCAAUUGCACCUGGUGCAUGCAAUACGGAGGCCAGUAGAUACAAAGAUGGUACCAUUCUUCUCUUUACAGCCCAUCAGAACUACGAUAUGAGAAUGUUGUCAACAUGCCAUGAUGCUUGCCUGGAAUUGUACCUCUUAAGGGCACUUGCUCUGAAUAUAUGAAAUCCCAUGCUCUUCAUAACUGUCAAACCACUUAUAUACAAGAAUUACCUCCGUAUGAUAGGUAGACAAGCUUCUCUGAAAAUAUGAUGGUUCCAAAAACCAUUUGGUGCUUGCAAGUAAUAACAGAAUGGAAGGUGAUACUUUUCUUUUAAAACAAAAAGAACAAAAAUAAAAACUCACUCUGAUUUGGAGAACCACAUUUGCUGAAAUGACCGAAGAGAUGCCAGAAUACUUCCUCCUACCCAAACGCUGUAAUGAUUAUUCAUACACACACAUUAUAUGAUGCAAACCAUAAUAACAGUGACAAACAACUAUUGGAUAAAGACCAUCACGUUUCUGAUGAGAAUCGCUAAACAUAUCUCCUGGAUGAACUUGUAUAUAAAUUAUCGGAUAAAUGCAGAUGCAUGACCUCCACUUGCCCCAAAAAAAUUCAUACAUCCUGCAUGCCUUUUCACACACACACACACAAAAAAAAAAAAAAAAACAAAAUGUAACCACAAACCACCAUGAAGUGAAGCAAGGUACAUUUGGGAUAUUCCUCAUCUCAACUAUGAAGCAUCAGAUACUGAGCCUACGGUUGGUGUGCGUUGAUGAUUGCUAGCUCUGGAUAAUGACUCUGAGAAAGUACCUUCUCCAAGAGUCGCAAGAAGUAAAAUUUAGUGGAGCUUAUAAAAGGUGCCAAUGUACAGUGGUGAUUCAUCACGCAUGUGUUGCACACAAACAAGACUUACAAUUAUUUAGAUUUGUUGAGCAUAUCAAAUGUCAGAUGACAUGUGCAAGUCAAACUAGUUAAACAUAAAUGUACUAAGCCAUGCAAAGCAUUCACCAACUAUCUAAUAAAACCAUUAAGAAAUAAUAUCAGACUACCAGUUCUUCGAAACAAAGUAAGAAGCAGGAGGGUUAAUGUUGUAGAAAAAGAAAAACCAGACAUUGUUUAGGUUUUUUAGAAUUGAACAUAAAGGUCUAUUUUAAGAUUUAAAAUGAAACUGAAGAGCAGGUUCAAUUCCUUGAUUUCAAUAAACUAAUGUGCUGAACAAGCAGGUCUUCUGCGCUAGUGGAUGGUGAACUUAUAAACCAGGACAAUACAGCAUGCGGCUUAAAAUACCGGAAGAUCAACAUGAUGGUCAAUGCACAAGAUAAAUAAAGGGUUUACCUUAAGUCAUGGUAGCAAUAAGUAGUUGUGGGAACUAAAAAUCAUAGGAGCAUUCAAAAGAUAGAGCAUCAUGGAGGAUAAGUGUUUAGAGCAAGUGCAGCAACUAUGGUUGAUGUCCAGAGGGAUUCCCCUCUCAUUCUUUGAUAAGUAUCUCUGGUUGAGAAGAUAGCAUAUUUUCCCCUUAGCAAAAUUCAAUUAUAGAGGUUCUUACAAUGCUCUAAGGGACAUUAACUUUUUCACAAAGUGUCUUGCACAAAUAGGUUGCUAUUUGCUACAAACAAAUGGAGGAUAUUGACAUUAACCAUCACAUCACCAUAAAAAUUCACUCUCUGAAACCCCACAUCCAAUCCAAUGCAAACUUUUUUGGGAAAUCUAUAUUUCAUAGCAACAUUUGCUUCAAUUAUCAGUUAGGCAAACUCUCAAACUAUGACCUGUAUUAGAUCUGGGAAAGUUAUGCACCAAUAUAAGUCGAUGCAGCUUCAAAACUCUAUAAUGCCAUCUACAAUAUUAGAAGCUUAAUUGUGCUUGAGGAAUUUAUACAAGCUGUUCCAACUUCCGAGCCCAUCCAACUCCAAAAUAGAUAUAUAGAUACAUGAGAUACACGCAUAUAAAGAACAGAUAAGCUCGAAAAAAAUAGAAGUAAAAUAGGCUGCAGCAGUUGUUAACUGUAUAUGCGACACUUUCACAGAAAAUGCGACACAAGUAAAUAAAUCAAAUGAUAUAUGAACUCAUGGUUUUCAACAGUAAACAAUAAAAUAUGACCUGAAUCGUCUUUCUAUUGCAUUCCCACUUGCCAAUACCUUAAUGCAUGCAGCUUGAGGAGCCUCCUGAAGGACAUAAUGCAAUGAAAAUCAGAAUGGUAAAUCCAAAUUGAAAUAAAAAGUCACCACCGCACACUAGAAGAUCCAAUUGUUCAUGAAAUCAGUUCUUUUUUCCUCCACUACCUCUACAAAUAUUGACCUUUGAAAGCUUAGCACACAAUCAAGAAAAGAAAAUGGCAGAAUACACAACAUAUGCAAAUAAUAAAAGCCAAAGACAAUUUAAGGUUCAGUCAACUUGAGUUAACUCAUCACAGAAGUAAUAAAUGUUUUUCAGAUUUGAGGAUAAAGAGAAAAUAGAAUAUUGUUAAACAAAAUAAAGAAAAUAUAUCAGAUUUUAAAAAGUUUUGCUCAUAUUUUUGCUAAUAUUUUUGAAGGCCAAGACAGAGCAAUUCUAAAAGGUGACUACAAGUUAAUUCCUUUGACAAUUGCAUGUUUUGUUAGUAACAAGAACAUAAAAUUCAAGAGAUGUGAUCGCUGGUGAAAUUCUACCUCCAUCAACUCUUUCUCAAGCCUCCUGAGUUGUUAGCUAUCAAGCUUCAGAGAUGGCUGAGACGUGGUUGAAUUGCGCACAUCAUGACAAGUAUUUGAGCUACUUUGUCGCAGGCAGCAGUGGAAGACCUUUUGAAGAACAUAACCAUCAUGUACAGCAGCAACAGUUGUGGAUCCGCGCCCACUGCAUUAGAAAACUGUUUCUUAGAGCUAGUCUUGUAUUUAAGCAAUAAAGAAAAUUCCAAUAGCAAAGAUAGGCAUCCACAAAACAACCACACCAGCUCAAAAAUAUUAUUCGAAACAUAAGUAGCAUAUCGACAACAUGUACAAGUUGCCAACAAUAGAAAGCCAGAAAUGAUAACCAUGAAGUACAAUUUGGAUGUUUUUCAUAACCGUGUUUUAUUAAGAACUAGAAGAUAUGACAGUUAGGCAGCAAAAAAAAAAGUUUAAUUUUUCUUAAUAAUGGUUAUAAAUCCAGAAAAUAGCAUAAGAAUUUUAAGAGGAUAGGAUGCAUUGGCCAAAAUCAGUUCAUGUCACUUCUCAUCAAUUAAGACAAGGCUUCAGUUAUCCAUUGAGAUUUCGAAGAUCAAACAUUAUAUCCAACAAUUUCAAUAAACUGGAAAUAAGCUUCUAUAAUUUUGAUCAGAAUGCCACCACUGCUCUAAUGACCAAGUAGCAGCAGAUUACUUGAUUUGAUGCUUAUCCCACAGCAACAUCCAGGAAGGGUCAAGCAUAGAGAAUAUACUACUGUUCAUUGGUGAAUAUAUGCUAUGGAUGAGUCAGUGUCACAUGAUUCAACACCAACAUUUACCAAAAUAUGCAACCAAAUUAUUUACCAAGAAUGCUGCAUAAAACACUUAAGCUGCAGCCAAGACAUGGAUUUAGAAUGAAUGGUAUGUGUCUCAUUAUACAGCUGCUUUUACAUGGCAUAAUUUUUCAAUUACCUAUUAGGAGACCUUUGUAGAUAAGGAGAGCAAGCAUUUUAAAACAAGAAAAGCCAAAGUGAAAGUUUUAUAUAAUGAAAGAACAGAAACUUGUGAUAAGAAAUAAAAUUACAAGACUUGGGGAAAAUAAUAGCUGACUACAUUAAAUCUAAAAUUGCACUCAAGUGUCGAUGCAUGUGAAUAUGGCUCCUGACAUAGAAAAUGUUGAUGAAAGGAGAGCAUGAAAGAAUUUCAGCAAGCAUGGAGAUCAAACCUAUCAACAACCAGAGAUGUAGCUUGCCCAGAUGCAAAAGAUGUGAGAACUUGGGAGUCAAAGAUAGUAUAGUCCAACAACCAUUGUUAAUAUAGUCAAACAACCAUGGUCAUAUGCUAACCAGUAGGAGAAAACUUGAAGCCUACAAAAUGCUUUAAUAAACAUGUCAAGUGUCUAAAUGAAGAAUGGACUGAUAGCAUACAGCAUUUGUUGCUAAAAAUAAAGCUGGAACUUCGUAAUCCUCAAACAUGAGCUCUGCUGCCCUGUUAUACAUUAAAUGAAAAGGUUUCAGUCAUGCAUAUCCAGCACCUUGACAAAAAUACAGAAAUAACAAAUCUCAGUCCCAUGUGAAUUAUAGAUCAUAAGGAACCAGAUCACCUUUCUCUUUGUUGUGGAGUAUUACAAGAUGGCUCUGCAAGCAGCAUUGGAUGUUCUUUGGGAUCAAUUAAUAACUGCUCCCUGUGAAACACAAUGCAGUCAUCAUAAUCAUUUUUCACAUAGUUAUCUCAAACCAAAUUGCUUCUCUAGUCGGUGUGUUUGGGAAGAUCCUUCACAGAACUGACAUGGUGGUUAAUUAGUUGUGAUAUGAUCCAUGCUUAAGGCAUAAGCUCCAUUUCAGAUACUAUUGGGUGUAACAAUGAGUCUGAAACCAGCAAACACAUCUGAGCUAUCCACCAAUAAGUAAAUUGGAUGCUCGGUUCCUUUCCACUAAAUCUAAACAAUAAGAUCACAGGGGGGAAAGCUUUUCUUACUAAAACUGGGAGGAGGAAGGUGCAGGGGAUGGGGAUUAGGUCCUUUGCAUACUAAUAUACAUAAAGGUAAGCAAACUCAGUCAGCAGUACAUGCCUAAGCUAGUGUAUUGGACAUCAUGCUGGGGAGGGGGAUUAGGUUCUUUGCAUACUAAUAUGCAUAAAGGUAAACAAACUCAGUCAGCAGCAUGUGCCUACUAUAGUGUAUUGGACAUCAUGUAUCUGUGUAGGGUACUGAUAAGACUGGCCAACAGCAGUUACAAAUUCCAGAUAACAGCAGUUACAAAUUGCAAACAGCAAACAUCACUACUUGCAACCAUUUGACCAAGAGAGUAAAUAAAUCUAAUAUAUCAGAUAAUAGGUUUCAAAGAUAAUAAUUAUAAAGCAUGGAUUACAAUAUAACGACAACAAUAAGAGGCCACUAAACCAUAUAGAUGUGCAAAAUUCUCCACCCUUUUGACUUACUGUAAAACAUUCAGCAGCUUACCUUGAUGCGUGCACAGCAGAAUGAAUAAAGUGAGACAAAAUCUGCAUGGUAAUAAUGCUGAUAGGUGGCGCCAUGAAUGAUAAAGAUAUUGUUGUAUAUAAAAGAUGGCAUAUAGCAAUAUGCAUUUAAAUGCUAAAAUGCAGCCGCUUGCAGUGGCUGUUCUUCACAACAUGGAACGAUCGGGUAUUUAACACCAAGGUAAGGACACAAUCAUCCAUGAAGGACAUCUAUCACACUUUGUUAUUGUACAAUACCCUAAUGAAAAUUAUUCCAGUGCAUUGUAUGAUGCACCAAACUUAUAAAAAGUGUGGGCUAAUGUAAAAAGUUAUGGAUUGCAAGCUCAUAACAUCUGUUUCUGAUGUAAGAUGAAGCACAGAAAAUGAAAGACAAAAGAGAGAAAAAAAAAAUAGCUCUCAUCUUUGACAUCAUAGACGCUAGCUAGACCAGCACGAGACACAGCUCAUACCUAAAAGCAUGAUUCCAUAUAUUGUCAACAAUAUCCCAAUCAACAACAACUCCAUCUUUUAUAGGUGAUUCCACCUAAUCAAUGUUAAUAAACAUUACUGUCAUAGGAAAACUAACAAAAUUUUGCAAAUAAAUCAAAUUUCAUCAAUCUUUGGAAGGUACAGAAGUGCAAGCAUAAGCCUCUUAGCUGGCUGACCUCCAUACGGUCACAUCUAUAUCCCAAGGCUUGAGAACCAACAUACAACUUCCGUUUUGCCUUGGGUUUAUCUGAAUCAGGUGGCUCGACACCAUUUUUUGAAUCUGAUGUAGGUUCAGAAUCCUUCUCAGACUUGACACCAUUGUUAUCUUCUACUUGAUCAAUUGAGCCAACUACCUAACAGUGCAGAGCAUUUAUCAAAACAAAGCAUGGGCCAGAUUUCCAAACAUCAAAUCAGACACAAUUAUAUUAUCAUAUUCUUUGUCAUAAGUAAAAAUAUUUAUUUAUCCAGAUUGAAUUGUUAUCCUAAAAAAAAUAUUUUUUAAAAAAUGUAAAACAGGUUAAUAUCGUUGUACUGCAGAAAUUAUGUUUCUUUCUUCUUCUUCUUCUUCUUGAGGAAAACCAAAUAAUUCAUCAUCAUUGAUGCCAAAAAUACAUUAAUCCAAGUAAGGUAGCAAAGCAAUGAAGAUCAGGAAAAUAAUAUUGAGUUGCCAAAGUAUAACUUGUGAAUGUGAAUUGAAUGUAAUCUGAAGGAUAUAAUGAUGCAUAACAAUUAUCUCUUUUGCAUCAAAUGGAUAGUCCCAAGGAAUAGUAAUCUUAAUCAAUAUUAGUUUUGUAGACCUUUUCAAAACAACUAACCUUGCAUGAGAUUUAUCUCUAGACACCACAGUUUCCAGAGUACAUUAAUAAUUAAUUUUGAAGACCCAAAGGAAGAGAUAAAUAGGAACUUGAACUUCACCGUUUUCUCAACUGACACAUCACCAAACUAUGCCAACGAACAAAAAAUGAUCGCAAGUGGCCUUCCAAAGAGCAAAAAGUAUAAAACGUGACAACAUUGUACCAGAAUUUAAAAUUGCGGCAAAAAUAUACACAAUGUAUCGCACUUCAAGAAAUACUUCCUGAGGGAAACACUGCCCUGGGAACAUCUUCGCCGGCAUAACCAGCUUUGCAAGUGUGAGAACCCAAAUCGAUAACUACGGCCGAGACUUCAUCUGAGCAUGUACAUCAGACAAAAUCACUACCAACUGGUUGCCAUCUUUCUAGGGUUAGCCAAGAGAUAAACGGAAAAGAAGCUGGUGAGAGAUCGAAGUAGCUGAAAUAGAACUCACCGCCACCGUCCAUGAUGACGAACUCGAGGGAGAUCUCGGAACGUAAAACCAGCUCAGAGAAGGGUUCGCCGUGGGUGGUGGAGAAAGCGGGGCUCGAAUAGACCGUGGAUGCGGGGGAGGGUCGAGGGGGAGGAAGGAGAGACUCGCCAGAGAACGGGGAUGGGUUUGAUGUCGAGGACGGGAGGGAACCGGGAACAAGGCUUCAGAAGCGUUUGUACGUAUUUUCUCGUAAACACAAAAAGAGGGUUUACACACGCUUGGGCGAACUUUCGAGUCGUAGCCCACCAAGCGGAGGAAGUCAAGGGUGACAAAAUAUCAUCUCAUCCGCCAAUUUGAUUCGUGAUCCAUCAAUCAUAAAUAAAUUUAAAUUUAAACUAAAUAAAAUUUGAUCAAUAAUCCAUUCAAUUUAUUUAAUAAAUAAAUUAAAUUUAAAUUUUAAAUAAUUAUUUAAUUUAUUUAAUUUAUUUAAUUUUUGAAUCAAAUUAGUUGGUAUAUUAUCGAUAGGACCGUCUAAAUAGAUCGGAUGAUGGGCUAAUGGGAACCUUAAAAAAAAAAAAAAAAGCAUGAUUUUUUUUUUGUUGCUUUGAUCCCACGAUCAAAUCCAAUGGUAGAAGACACUCCACGCUACUUGUUGUAUUUCAUCGAUUUCCUACUAUUAUUCAAAAUUUCAAACCCCACUAGGGCUCUUCCCCUCCCUUUCUUCUUUUGCACCGCUGCUAUUUCGAAGACAAUGUCAAUUGAUGGCCGAUGGUUGCUAAUCGUGACAUAGAUGAUCGGAUGGAGAUUGAGGGAGGUGUGGGAGCGUUGAUAUGUAAGCUCGAGAUGAUCGAGCGCAGGGAGGUGGAGACGUCCGACAAGUGAGACAACGACGACAUGGGCAAAAGCACUGAUGCCACCAGUGAGUCACCAGAUCUUUUGACUGAAUCCAUGGUAAGAAACGUUGUCGGUGAAUUUUCUAGAUGGAAAAGGAGCACAGAAAACUACGACAACUGUGAUCACCAUAUCUCCUUCGACCGGAGCCACGGUGAGGAGCACUGUCAGAAGAUUUUCUAUACAUAAGAGGAGAGGAGAUGCAGAUAAGUAUGGUCGAAUGAAGUAGAUGAGGCCUGUGAGGGUGAAGAUGUGGAGGGACGGUCGGGUGGAGUAGCAGUUUUUCUUUUCUUUUUUUAUGGUUAGAUAGAGUAGGUUUUUUUUCUUUAUUUUUUUUUUAAACAGAUUGUAAACAAGUCGGAUCGUAUAAUCUUUUUAUUAAAUAGGUCGAGUUCGGAUUUUAAAAUCUGACAUGUUUAAUAAAUAAAUCGGAUCUCCGUUCAGAGUUUUUUAAUUCAAUCCGUAUAUGAUCCGAUUUGUUUAUAUUCGAUCUGAUCUGAUUGCCACCUCUAGAAAAAAUAUUGUGUGAACCGAUGAAACCCUGGGAGCAUAUGCACGGUGGAUCACGCGCAAUCGAGAAUUGGGGAAAUUCAACGGGUAAUGUGGCGUGUUAUGCACCAUGGGAUUCAGCGCGGUCCACUAGAUCAGAUCCAAGUAAUAUCCACAUUUAUUAAACUUCUAUUUUUUGUUCACGGUAAAUUAUUUUCUGCGUAUUAUAUAACGUGGAUGAGAGAGAUUAUGUAAAUAGAGACAUGGUCGGGCCCUUGACGAAGAGGACCAGGAUUUCUGUAAUAAAAUAUAACAAAAUUAUAUAGCGUUAUCCAAGCAUCAUCCACUUGUUGAGAGCCAAACACCAUGGGCCAAAGGUGCGUUUGGAUAACUGCAACUAGUUUAAAUGAAUGACCCAUUUCUGGUAUUACUGCUAUAACUUCACCAAAAUUAUGUUAGGCAAACAACAUUUGGAGUCUAUUUUGAUACAACUAAAAGACUUUUAAAGAUAUCUUUGUGAUGACUUUAAGUCCACCAAUUGAUAAAGAUAUAAUUAAUAUUAUUUUAAUAGUACAAUAAAUUGUAUUUAUAAUCACUUGGACAAAUAAAUAUGAAAUUUUAUUUUAUUGCAGCUCUAAAUCUGCAGCACUAAAAACCGAAAAUGUAAUUGCAAAAAGAAUGACCACGGCCACCACAACUUCAAAUGCAUGCAUCUUUCACUAGCUCGUUGUUGUCACGUCUCUUUUGUAUUAUUUUAAUGAGACUGCAAUCUAAACUAACUGGCACUGUCCCAUGGCUUUGCUUGUCAUUAUUAUUCAUAAACCUAAGUUAUGGCUAUGAUUGGUUUCAUCCAAUUAAAAACAAUCAUAGUAAACCAUUAUCCAGCAUAUUAAUCAUUGUUGCCCCUGUGCUAUAGCUAUAAAGCAAAUUAAUCCAUGUAUUUUCAUUAUAUUUCAAUCUAUUCAACAUGAUCGAGUGGUCAAAUAAAUGUAGCUAGAUAUUACAAGAUGUCUCGAUUAGAUUAACAAAUUAGUCAAUUUAUCAAACUACCUUAACUAAGUCAGGAAGUUUCUCAAGGCCACCGCUGUUAUCCCUAUAAUUUGCGAUAAUUGGCUUAUCAGAAUAUAUCUUGAAAAAUUAAAGAAUUCAAAAAAAUUAUUUUUUAUAUAGUAAGAAUACUAAUAUAUUAUUAAAAAAAUCCAAAUAAAUUUAACUUAUUUUUUAUAAUUAAUAAAUAUUUAUUUUUAAAAAUUUUAUAGAUAGCAAUUAUACCAACCUAUCAAUCCAAUUCAUGACUGAUCCACUUUAAAUAGGUUAAAAUCUGACGUAAAUAGAUUUAGAUUAUAAACGGCCAAUACAUCUAUUUGUUAAAUACAACAGAUUCUGAUUUAGGUAUUUUAAUCAUUAAAUUUGUUUCAUAUAUAAUAAUUGGGUUGGAUCAUGAUUUAACUCAUUUAACCAUUCCCAUCCGUACAUGUGGGGCUCCAAACUAUCUCGAGGUUGCAUCAAUUGUUUCUUGUCAUCUGUCGUCAAAAAGUUUCUGUGGUGCGUAAAAAGGUUUUCUAGUCUCUCAGCACUAUUUUUCAAUAAAAAAUAAAAAUAAAAACAUAAGCUCCUCAGGAUCAGGGUUUAUUUUCUAAAACUCGAUCUAUUUUAAAUAACAUUGAUCAAAAGAAUCUCUGCCAUCCAUCAAACCAUCUCCUGUCGAGUCUCGCCAAUAAACCCACGUGGCAUCAAAGACCAUUACGUGCGCCAUCGCCUUUGGCGGAAUAGCAAACAAAAACCCCAUCCUGCUGCCCGUUCGGGUUUUCUUGCGCAAGGGUUCUCUUCUCCUCUCGCAGGUAGCCCGGUCUCCUCCCCUCGGCAGCAGUUCUUUCUCGUCGAUCGCUCCACUCACAGAGUCGAUCAUUGAGCGAUGGGAGACUCUCAAUACUCCUUCUCGCUAACCACCUUCAGGUACUCACCGUUCCUUCCACUUCCUUCCUACCUUCUCCCAAACCCUCGAAUCCCCAGAUCCUAACUCCUGUUUCUUGAUUCAGCCCUUCGGGGAAGCUGGUGCAGAUCGAGCACGCUCUGACGGCCGUCGGAUCCGGCCAAACAUCUCUUGGAAUCAAGGGUAAUCUUUUCCUCUUUGGAUGAAUUCACCCCCUUUCUUUUGAUCACACCAGCUGGGGUAGAUCGGUGUUUGCGCUGCUGUUCUUCUUGAACAAACGAUUUUUAUGGACUAUUGGAUAUAAAAUAGCCUUGGCCAACGAUUUUUUUUGGCCUAUGAUAGUUUAGUCUCCAAGCAUUGGGUUAAAGUGAAUGUGAGUUGUUUGGUUUUGGCCGUCUAGGUUUGGUAAGUUUUGCACCCAAGCAAACUGUCAAGAAAGAGCCUUAGUUUGCGUUACAUGGAGCGUGCCAACUACUGGACUAGGGUUCUUUCUGACUUGAUUUUUUCUAUUCUGGGCAUAAGGAAAAUCUCUCUCUCUCUCNNNNNNNNNNNNNNNNNNNNCGAUAAGGAAAAGUACUACUCUCUCUCUCUCUCUCUCUCUCUCUCUCUCUCACACACACACACACACACACACACACACACAGAAUGCUGACCUGAAUUUUCAUAGCUAAGAAUUAUCGCAAUUUUGGCUUGCUCAGAUAUUUCAAAUUUUGACGAGGAUUUAUCUUAUUCUCGUUUAUUUUAUUGCUAUCUAGAUUGUAGCCUCCUAAUUUCUUCUUUGCAGACUUUUCUUCUUGGGGAUAUAUGCCAUAACAGAACAUGUAAAUUUUGAUAGCAGAUAUCGUCACUUAUCCACAUUUGUUUCUUGUUUUCCUAAAUCAAUCUUUAAAAAAAAAAAAAUCUGUUUCUUUAAUUACCAGAUAAGUUCAUAACCCUUUAUAUAGACCCAAUAAACCUGACGCUUGUCCAGAACCAAACAACAUCUGAGAUAGUUUGACAGUUAGACUGAAGGGUCAUGUUAUUUCCUCUUGAUUGUUUUCUGAACACGCCAUGUCAUGCCAUUGACAUUAAUUAUUCUUCUUAUGUCGUUGUUUGAGGGGCUUAGGUAUUGGCGCAGGAAUACUAUCAAUUGUUCUAGUUGGACGUUUCCUUCCCAAAAAUGGGUGAACAGUUCUGAGUUUUUGAUGUGAAGGAAUUUUGAGUUUCAUUAGUUCACAAGAAGCAGGUUUAGAUUCUUUAGUUAUACUUGAUGGAAGUGAUGUUGCUUAUAUAAUUAGAUGUUAAAUUGAUUGAGGUGAUGCAGUGUUGGAAUCCUAGUGACUGGUCAAAACUAAAAGUUAACUAGUUGUUAAGCAUGAUUUAUGCAAUUCCUCAUAUUUUCCUCACAUGUCUGUUAUCUUAGAUUUUCUUAUACACAAAAUCUAAAGUUAUCAUAUUUGUAUUGGUGGUGAUUGCAGCUGCCAAUGGAGUUGUUAUUGCAACUGAGAAGAAAUUGCCUUCCAUCUUGGUGGAUGAGACAUCUGUAAGCACACAUCACUUCCACCUCUGGAAAUACUUUUGUUGUCCUCAUGUGAUUGUAGCAAAGUUCACUUCAUUUGAUAUUUUCUCCAUCCCAAGCUGUUUUACCCUAGAUGGUUUUAACCUUUCUUUAUUGGGAAGACAGUAAUUUUCAUGUUUCAACAUGUUUAACUUUUUUAUGCAUCCUUUUGGUUUGUAUAUUUGCUAACUUGCUUUCUAGUGAAAGUAAAAAGUAAAAACUGAAAAGCAAUGGAUUCACUUUGGUUGAUUGUUUGUUGCGUGGUGGACUUGCAUCAUGAUUUUAAAUUUUGGACCUCAUCAUGAAGAGUCAUUUUAUGACUGCCUGCAAACUUAAGUUCCUAUAACUGGGGAACCACCUUCAGACUCAUGCAUGACUUAUUAAUGAGCCUUAGGGCAUUUGAGUAGGCCAGCCCGAAGAUGUGCAGGUCUCCCUGGAGCAUCUCUUAGAGGUCUGUGUUAGUGAGACUAAGAUACCUCGGUAUCCUUAGUCUUUUGCCAUUGCUUUCUGUUUUAUGCCACCUUGCUCUCCAAUGACACCCUUAUUUUCUUAACACCCUCUUCUAUGACAUCUAUAAGGGUCAAAUGCUCACCAGCUGGUGAAGGUAAUGCUUGCUGGCUGUACUUUUGGCCAAGCUCAAGAGCUGUUUGGGCAGUUUGAAAGUUUAAGGACUCUAAUUAGUCUGAGAAUGUUUAGUUUCCCAUUGAAAUGGUUGGUUGGCUCUAGGACCUUUGGUUUUGGGGGCAUGCAAGUCAACACAUGCUUUUCUGUAGAUGCAAGAGGUACAUGAUUUGGAUGCUUCUCUACGUUCAAUUUCGUUUCUAAAAUUUUCUUGUCUAAGUGAUAAUGACUGGAAGUAGUAAUACAGAUAUCAACAUAUUUUUUCCUUUGAGUCUGUCAAGUAAUGCUUGACGAAUUAAUAUGGGUAGUCUAGUUAUAUGGGAUCUACUAUGUUUGGUUGAAGCCUUGUUUUUACACUUCCUUUCAGAAUUAAAUAUUUUGUUGACUAAUGAAGGAUGUGCUUCGAAGCUUUUUGUUUUUGUUGAGACAAGUCUCCUCACAUCUGCUUAAAUUGGUAUAUUUUUUUAUUAGCUUCUGAUUACAACAUCUGGCGAUUUUCCUUCUUUUUAUUUUCUUUCUAUCAUUCACGUUUCCUUGCAGAGUUGCAGUUAAACCUUCAGCUUUAUCAAUAAGCUCUUUAUGUUUGCUUUUUCUUUGGAACAUGGAAGCUUGAUUUAAACUUGUUUGACUGUAGGUGCAAAAGAUUCAGCUGAUGACAACGAACAUUGGUGUUGUUUACAGGUAUUAUGUGCCACUUAUGAUGUUCAUUCCUUUGUUUAUUUAAGUUGCUUAUCUUUUGUUUAGGAUAUUAAAUAUUAUGUAACGUCCAAACUGAUUCUGAACUUUGAUUCUAUACAUGAUGUUAUCAUGGAAUUUCUUGUAUGAUAACUGUUUAUAGACUCCUUUAGCAUGCUUCCAGAUAUAUAGUCAUCAUGUCCCAUGGUGAUAGUUGUAGUAAUUGUUAAUUUUAUAAAUAAUAAAAGCCGUUGAAUCAAUAAAUGUUUUUGAAAAAGGUGCAUGUCAGAAACUUUGUUAGUGGUUUUUCCUUCUAAAUUGCGCAUCAGUGACAUUACACGAGCCUAGUAAAGCGAAUGCAAACUAGUCCAUUGGUGCGAUGCCGUGAUGAAAUUCACAUGAUUUGUUAAUUUGACACCUGCAGAAUGCUGACAUCUCUUCCCUUGAGAUUUGAAACGGGGGAUUCCUUGAUCACCUUUAUAUAUGCUAUUGCUCAUAACAUUCUAUUGCUAAGUAUUUGUGAGCUUUUUUUCAGAAUCACCUUGUCUAUUAGAUGCCAUCAUUAAUUUUAUUUUCUUCUCUCAAUUGUUUGUCUAUUUCUAUGCAGUGGAAUGGGCCCAGAUUCCCGUGUUCUUGUGAGAAAAAGCAGAAAGCAAGCACAACAGUAUUACCGACUCUAUAAGGUCUGGUCAGCUAAAAGUUAUUCUAUUUACGUAGCACCAAGAUUUGUCCAACUACUUCCAUUAUGGUUUUUCCUCCCUCCGAUUCAUGAACAUUCUGCAUUUUAUUUAUUUAUUUAUUUAUUUGCACUACACAUAGUAGUAGCAUAUUUAUCACUAAACCCCUCAAAAGCAUAUUUUAUAUGCUGCUUACCAGAAAACAAAAAAAAGCGUAUAUUAUAUGUUUUAUACUACUCAUUUGAGAAAUAGUUUCCCUGAACACAGACGUUGUUUCAAUUUACACUUCGGCAAACAAAUAGAUUGAAAGGCAAUCAGUCAACGGAGACUCGUGCUUCAUUUUGCUUGCUGUCUGAUGGGAAAAAAAUUACUAUUUUUUAAUGGAUGCAUGACAGGGAGGACCUGUCUGUACGAAGCUUCUUUGUUAUUUAUUGUCCUUUCCGGACUUUUGUUGAAUGCCAAUAAUUCUGCAUUUGUCCUUGCUUUAUAUUGUUAUUUCAUGCUUUCUGAUAGUUGCUGUGAAUUCAUGAUCUCAGGAGCCUAUACCAGUUACCCAACUUGUUAGGGAAACUGCAGCUGUUAUGCAGGAGUUCACUCAAUCUGGGUAUGUUAUUUUUUGAGUUGCUUAGCCAAAGGAUACAUAUCAGAAUUUCCAAUUCUUAGCAAAUGAUAACAAGCCUAUUUGUUUGUCAAAGAUGAUUUUUUUCCAUAGAUGUAUAUUUGCAACUAAAUUAUGGACCUUAUCUCCUCCUUUGUUGACAAUGACAUAUGAAUCAACUAUUAACCCAAUAUUUCACAUUUUAAAGCUGCACCGGAACUGGCUAUUGGCCUUUCCUUUAUCACCUUAAUUUUUAAUUAUAGUCUAUACCUAUCAGUCCUCUGUGGCAAAGUCUUUUUUUUGUUUUGUUUUGUUUUGGUUGGGGGGGGGGGGUCAUAUUACCUCUAUCAAAAACACUAUGAGAUUCACUGUAUGUGGUAAUUGAAUGAUUCCUCUUUAUUCUGAUUCACCAAUGUCGUAUGUCAAAUCUUCUACCAGGUCAAUUAAACUUGUUGACUUGUUCUUUGAAAAUGCAUGAAACUUCAGUUAAUUUUUGCUUUUAGAUGUUGACUUAUUCGUUGCAAAUGCGUGAAAGCAAAGUUGAACUUUAGUUAACUUUUUGUUUUAGAUGUAGUUUCCUUUUUCCAUCUUGAUUAGAUUCCCUCCAAGACUUUGGUAACCUUCUUCAGCUUCCUCAUAAUUCUGAAGCUUAUUUUGCAUGUUAGUAUCCAUACUUGUUGACUGCCUUCUAUGUGUCAUGGCUGGUCCCUCUUUUAUUUAUAAUUUGCCAUAACCGGUGUUGCAUGAACAUGGGCACGAGAAUCGGAUUUGAGCGCAUGUCCAGAUGUUGUACUUGGCAAGAGGAGAAAAAAGAGAUACAAUGAUAUGUAGAAAAGUAAUUUUAACUAGCAUAUAUAUACAUAAAAUUAUGUACAUACAUAUGUGUACAUACAGACGCACAUGCAUACAUACAUAUAUAGAGUAUCAUGUAAAAGAAAUAUCAAAAAACAUUAGUUGUUAAAAAUUCCAAUCAGCUUAAGGAUCUUAGACCAGUUACAGUUUACAAAAUUAUUUUAACAACUGCAUCCUUAACCAAUCUUUGAAAUGCUCAUUUUGAACAUCAUUAUAGCGGAUUGAACUGAUUGUUGGAGGAAUUAACUCCACCAAUUUUCACAAACUGUAAUUAGUAAAUAUUAACAAGUAUCCAAGUAUUUGACACAUAUCCAACUUGGGUAUGUAUCUGGCAUGGAUUCUAGGAGCUGGAUGUUGGUGUCCAGGUAACACAGGAUAUAAUCAGGAUUCUAUAAAUGGCUGCUGUCAGGUUGAGAGCCAAUGGUCUAUGCUCUCAAACUCGGAUAAAUCACAGAAAAUUCAUAUAGCCAAUGCCACCUGUAUGGAUAGGUAUUACAUGUAUGUAACAAAAACCAAGCUUUCCUUGCCAUAAGUUCCAAAUGGGCAUGUUUAAGUCUCACACUCCAACUUUAGGUGCACAAUCAGAUAUGCCAGCUUGAAACUCUGAUUGUCUGGUUAUUGCAAAGAAGGCCAUAUGAUAAUUCUUAUAAUUCAUGCUUUCUUUUCUUUUCCCUUUCUUUAACCCCUGCAGUGGUGUAAGGCCAUUUGGAGUUUCGUUGCUUGUUGCUGGAUAUGAUGACAAUGGUCCACAGCUGUAUCAGGUAUUUUGGCAUUUUACCCUUCCUUUUUUUUAACUUGUUUCACCAUCAGUAGGGGGUUCUGAGAUUAGUGCAUGAUAUUUCUAAUAAUUUCUUUCAGGUGCAUUGCCUGUUGUUAGGAUCCAUCAAUGUAACAUAUUUUUUUUCCUAUAGUAAUAUGUAUGUACAUCUUAAAUUGACGAUUUGUCGCAUGAAUUGAUCUUAAUCUGCAUCUGGUUCUUUUUUAAUAGGUACAUGCAAGUCAUGUAGCUUCUCGCAUUCAUUUGUUUUUUCUCACCUUUUUAUGUGUACUGUUAUUAACAUGAUGUGACAAUUCAAAUCUUAUUUUUUCUUAUUUCUUUGAACCUUGUUUUCUAGGUUGACCCAUCAGGUUCUUACUUUGCUUGGAAAGCAUCUGCGAUGGGGAAAAACGUUUCCAAUGCAAAGACAUUUCUUGAAAAGAGGUACCUAGUGCUGGCUGAUUCAUCCAUAAUCCCCUUUAGAGCUAUAGACAACCUCCAUCACCACUUUCUUAGAAAACCUUAAUUCAUCUCUGAAAUUCUUUGUUUGUUGUCAUGCUUUCUCCUUGCUUGAGGAAUACCUGGCCGUUGCAAGCAUCUGCUUUUAUUCCUUGAUCACAAGUUGAAACCUUUCUUCUUAUUAUAGGUAUACUGAUGAUAUGGAGCUUGAUGAUGCUGUCCAUACUGCCAUUUUGACUCUUAAAGAAGGGUAUUUUCAUAUGCUUCAUUGGAAACAUUUUUCAUUCAUUAAAUACCUUGUUCUUCUGUGAUGCUAAUGAAUUAUAUUGCAAAAUGUGUAGGUUUGAAGGUCAAAUUUCAGGAAAGAACAUUGAAAUUGGAAUUAUUGGUGCUGACCGUAAAUUCAGGUAUGCUUAUUCAACUUCUGUUUGACAAAUGGUUGUUCAAGUGUUUCAAUGUUUUAAGUGAUGUUAUCGGUUUAUCAUGUCUAAUGCAUAGAAUUGCAGUGUUCGUAUUGUUUAACCAAGUAAAAUGUGUUCAUCUUAUUUUUGUGCAUCUUUUGGUAUGGAUGUACUGGUUAGGCUACAUCAAUCUAAUUUAGUGCCAGUAGAGUUACAGAAAAGUUAGGCGGUGCCAUGAGGCGCUUGCUUGUAUGAUAUUACCUCUUGCCCGUUGGAUAAGAGGAUGGGGGUUUGAUACUAAUUCAUGUCGAGUGCUCGCUUCUGCCCUGUGGGAUGGGGUUCGUUUAAAAAGUGGGGAUUUAGCUCCUCCAGGUCUCUAAAAAGAAGAAGAAGAAGAAAAUGGAGAAGUUUUGGCAUUUAUGAUGCCUAUUAGAAAUGCCUCCAUACCCUCUUUUACUGUCAGAAUUUACGUGUAAAAGUACUGUUAUAAACAUAGCACUUGUGCAUUUGAAGUUCAUCAAGCCUUGGCCAAAGCUAUGUUUGGAUGCUGGAAGAGCAAGGAAAAGCUAUAAAUUGGGUGGAGUGUGCCCAGAUCGGCUGAUUCUCACUCAGUUGCUUUUUCGGUUCAUCAGUUAGUGACAAACAUAGCAUAAAUAAAUUUUGUAAGAGAAAUGCAUCUUGACGGUAAUAUUAUGCAUAGCUACUAAUCAACAAAAGUUGUGAUUGAUGUAUGGGGAGGCAGUAAGCAUCUGGACCAAAGGGUGGUCAUACCUUGCUGCAUGCAAAAAGGAAUGAACGUGCUGCAGGGUGGUAGUGUUUCUAUGUUCUUAUAAUUGAUGUCUUACUCAUUAUAUUUCAUUUUAUGCUGCAGAGUACUUACUCCAGCUGAGAUUGAUGAUUACCUGGCGGAAGUGGAGUGAUUUUGUCAAAUCCUGUAUCCAGCUGAGGAUAUUGAAUUGUUUUGAUGUGUACAAUUUUUUUAAACAUUCAAGUUUGUGACUUCGGGUUUCAUCCAUUGCGCUCCAAAUUUCUCUAAGUUGUAAUGGUUUCGUUACUUGAUACUGCACAACUGAAGUUAUAACCUGCAGAAGGACUUGCCUAAAAUAUCUUACCAUGCUGGGUAUGUGUUCGAUUGAAGAAGGGUUAUCGGUAUCAUAAGUUUUAUAUCUGUUGUGCCAUAUGACAAGUGGGGCAUAUGUGAAAGGACGUGCAAAGCAUGUCAUACUCUCAGACAAGGUCGUCUAGUGAGGGUUAGAUAUGCGCAGCUUUAUUCUACGCGAAAAGAAUGUUUUCAUGCUUCAAAUCUAUGACCCCCAGGAUAUAACGGAGUAAUCUUAUAAUCAAGGUUUAUUCUUGAAGUAUGUGACAUUCUAGUCUUCUAUAAUCCCUUGUUGUGUUGGGGAUUUAUUUUAACGUCUUGAUGACAGGUGUAAUGGGAUGCUGAUAUGUGAGAGGAGUGUUUUUUUUAAUUAUUUUAGUAUCAGGAAGGAAGCUAAGUUGGCCUCUCAUCUCAAAUUUAUAAAAUACAGGGUAGAAAUGGGUUAUACCAGAGAAGCAGAAAUUGGGAAGAGUUAAUAGGAGGCAGAUGCUAUUCGUUGCAAAAAGAAUAAUUCCAUCAACCUUUGAUGGAGGUUGGUGGUGGGGCAUCUUCUUCCAGGUGGAUAGGCGGUCCUGGAAUGAUCCAAAGAAAGUCUGAGCAAGACAGCAUGGUAGUUGGAGGAGCAGGACCCACAGCAUGGUACUUGGAGGAGCAGGACCCACGGAAAAGACGGAAAAUAUCAUAUAGCAUCAGGGCUAGUUUCAGUUCGGGGUGGGCUAUUGGCUUUCUUAGCAUUCCGGUCCCUACAAAAUGGAGGCAAAAAGUGUUAUAUAGAAAAUUUGCAUUGUGUUUGCAUUUGAUCUGAUAUCUAGCAUAUAUUGAUUAUAAGCGCACUACAUGUGAAUCAUGAGGAGUGGAUUUUGAUUAACAUGCAAUCUGAAUCUGAAACCCAACAAAGUUAUUCCAGGUUCGGUGUUCCUAUAAAUUUAAUUAGGUCCUCUCCAUUGUAGCCAUGGUCGCACCUGUUCUGGCUAUUUGGUUUGACAAAAGACAGGAAAUAAAAAGUGACAACUCUUUCUGAGGGAAUCAUAUAUCUCAUAUCCUUACUUUCACAGGACAGCAUGGCAGGCAGUCUUGCACUGCUUUUAUCAUGCAUCACAAGCUAUCAAUAAUUAUGAGCACUAAAACAUGAUGUCCUCCUGACCAUUCAUAAUGUUGUUAUAACGAAUUCUAUGCAUAAAUCAAGUGUUACAAAGAAGCUUGCGUGAAUACCGACACCACCGGUCGAAUGACCUCGAGAGGUUGGGCCAAUCAGAGUCGGAUGCAGAAAAGUCCUCAAGCCAGUUGCGGAGGAUGAUCUCCUGGUCGUCCCACGGCAGGCCGGCGAUGAGGUCUUCGAUCACCCUCUCCAUCUCCCACUUUUCCAUCCCCGAUAGCACCGGGCUUGUCACCCCGUGGCUAGCGUAGCAUAGCAGGGGUAGCCACAACGCCAGUAUCCCAAACGUCACCUCCCUCGCUGCCUCCCACUCCCCACGUGCCAGCUCUCGGAGUAACAAAACUGCAAUCAUGGACCCACCCAAUCUUGUGUAAGCAGCUCAAAAUUGGAGGGUUCUUGCAUUUUAUAACCCCCGUGUGAAACGUCAUUAUGGUACAAGAUAAUAUCUGAGACAAAUCUGAGCAUCAUCAAAGAUUAUAAUUAUGCCUUUGCCGUUCAAACAAUAGCAUGGAAUAAUAAUCUUUCUGGAUAAUUAUGUACAGUUACUCAAACAUUUUAUUAUUUUGUUGUUGAUUUCUACAUUCUUACACGUGAAAUCAAUCUAUCUACCCAACUUCUGCCAAAAGAUGCUAUCAAUAUAUCAAUGACACUUGCUUUUCCUCCUAUUUAUUCUCUAUUAGUGGAACCAAGCAAAUUUUAUUAUGGGGGAUUAGUGGAACAAUAUCACCCAAUGACUUUCUAAACACACACAAAAUAUUAGCAUGCAUCCUGUUUAAAGACAAAUUAAGGGGAAUAAUGAUCAUUUUUCAUCUUAAUAGAUGAUUUUUACUAAAAGAAAAAUUGACGUAGGCGAAUGAUUUUUGAACUUUUUAUUUCCAAAGGUUCAUGAUAUGUCUUGUUUGAUAAUCAUAGUCUGCUAUUUUAGAAGUGAAAAACUACUGGGUACUAUUGUUAAUCUUGAAAUCCAAGAAACAUAUAUCAACAGUGGAAACAAAUACAAAGACGCUUCCUAUAAUUCAUGUUUUUUUCUAAUGAGUUUUGUAUUAUGAAUUUAUUUAUUAAUAGAAAAGUCAGGACGUUAAGUUGAAUAUUCUUCAACUUCCAAGUAGGUUUUGUAGAUACACAAAUCAAACGGUCAGGAAAUGGUGGUGUUUUUGAUCAUCUCGUUCUCACCUGUGAUCUUGACGAUCGGACAGUGAACCCUGGGAUGAGCAGCGAGCGACAGCGAGGCCAGCCCGGAUGCGAACGCCCACCGCACGAUCGCCUCACCGAGGGCCGAGGACGUCCUCAGCUUGUUGGUGAUCCAAAGCAGCUCGUGCGCCAGCUUCUCCGCCUCCAGCCACUCGUCCGCAUUAGCCGUCACCUGCUGGUGGGACUUGUAGGGGCGGAGGGCGCCGGCGGCGGCGGCGGCGGGGGGGAGGAGGCCGCCGAGGCAGAGGCGGAGGCCGUCGUAGAAGGCGGCGAGGCGGGGGCCGAGGGGGAGGAGGCUGAGGACGCGAGACGGCCAGGUGGCGGUGAUGGAGGAGGAGCGCUGGAGGGCGCGGCAGAGGAGCUCGCUGGUGCGGGAAAAGCCGGAGGCGAGGACGGCCCGGUUGACCUCCAGCAGCUCCCCGUGCCCCAGCUGGACAUUCUCCGUCACUAUUCUGUCCGCCAUCGCCAGUACAAACUCGUACUUUGUCGACGUCGACGGGAGUUCGUUCAGGAUCACCAAGAUCUGCCAACAAAACCAGAGAAGGAUUUUUUUUUUUUAGUUAGUGGUAAAGAUAAUCUUGGUAAAAAGUUAUGGAGAGUUUCAUCGUAAGUUUGGAUAACAAAUAUUACUAUACAUACAUGGUUACAAGAAAGCAAACAUGGGAGCAGAAUCGAACAUUUUUUAGACCUGGAACUAAAUAAAAAAACAUCUUCUCUAUUAAAAAUUACUAUAUUUUAAAUAUUAAUUAUUAUUAAAAAUUAAUUUUUUAUAAAUAUAUUUGUUAAGCAACGUAUAAAACUCAUCAUUAAUUUAUUUAAUUAUUUUUUUUAUUAUAAUAAUGUAGAAAGUCAUCUUUGCAUCCUAUUGGAACAUCAAUAUAGAACCUGAGGCUUGGGAGGGUCACUCAAUUCGACCUGCCCCAGGGUCGGUCCUGCAUAGGAGAUGGAAGAACAAUGAUAUGGAGGAACUAUCAAGAAGAACAAAAGUUAUAACACCAACAACAAUAACAUGUUGUAUCACAGUUAUAACUUUCUUGAAUUAGUACUGAGUAAUUUGUGAGUAAAAAUUCAAGAUGAUUUGUAAAUAAUAGGAUAAUAAUUGCUUAAUUCUUGCAGCACAAAUUAUUUCAAAGAUUACUUGACAAUGUAAAAAAAUAAAUAAUAAUUUUAUAAUUUUUAAACAUUGAGAAUAAUGUUAGGAUGGUAGAAAUAGGUGUCAUAUGUAUUUACUAUCCAUACUCAUUCAUGAUAAAAUUCUAUUAGAUUGCAAUUUGUAUCUGUUCUCGUAUACAAUACAAAAAAAAGAAAGAAAGCACCAAAGAAGGCUACAUAGAAACAUAUCAAAUCUAAGAUGUUAUUAGUAAACUCUCUCUCCAUAGCCCAAGAACAAUUUCCUAAUGGUAAACUAUAAGUUUUUUGUCAGAAGUUUUCCAUAAAUUAUUAUUUAAUAAUUUGCAAACGGUCUAGACUUACAUGCGAGAGAGCUCUCCCUAUGGCUGUAGUGCAUGCGCGGAGCCCACCUCCACUUCCUCCAUGCAAAACAAUGGCCGUAGAGGAGGACUGCUGCUUCUUGUCAAUCAAUCCUUCAACACCAAAAUCUAGCAGGGAAAGAACAGCAGGAGGAGGAGGGAAGACAUCCGUUACGAUGCGGAGCACCCAGACGUUAGCCCAAAUGGUCAGCAUCACCAGGUACCGCACCGUGUUCAUCGGCUGCCACCUCUCCCCUUCUCCGGUGGCCACCGCCGCCGACGCGGCGGCCACGAGCAUCUUCGAUGCUUUCGUUGCCGCGGAAACAAAUAUGGAGUUCAUGACGCCGCUGACACCAGAAGGCCUCACCCUGAGGCCUUUGUCCAUGGCCGCGCCCGUCACCAAGGCCAUCUCUCUCUCUCUCUGAAGAGAAGGAGAACAAGAGAGCGACGGCUGGUUUUAGAGCUCGAGGGUUUGCCACUUCUGUUUGUUCUACUUGCAGGCUUAUGACGCUAAUAGGGGGGAAUGGAAGACACCUAUAAAGUUUGCUGUCCGGUUCCUCUUUGCUCAGAUUCAUUUCAGGCGGUGCGGUGACGGAUUUUUGUGAUCCAACAAAUUAUUCGUGGUACUGCUGCUCAAAAAAAUACAAGGUAGUUAGCUGCAGCUAACAGCUAGCUAGGGAGCAUAUGGAAAUAACGAUUGUGAAGUGUGGCAGUAUUUGGAAAAAGUUGCCGCGAAGCUAAGAGGGCAAUAUGAAGUUGCUGUAGGUACAUCUGCUCUUCAGUGAUAUCUGGAUUAUUUUUUAUCAUUCUGCUACAGUAUUGAUCCGGUAUAUUUAUUAGAAGGCGAACAGUGUGAUAUAUUAGAUGGUAUUUUUUGUGGUAGAGCAUUCUAGAGAUUGAAUUGGAGAUAAGAGAACACUUGUUCGUCGGUCUUUGUAUAUUUAUUUUAUAGACUACUCAACCUGCUCUCAUACUAGAAUGGUAUAACCGCAUGCAUGUACCAAAAAAUAAAAAAAACAGGAAACUAAAGAAGGAGGAGCUAAAGAAGGAGUAUUCACUCGUAACUAGGAAUUAGAUGUGAAAUGAAUCAAUGAUUUCGUUAAUUUUAUGUGGAUGUAGGUUUCAGCACUAUCUUUAAUACCAAGGAAUUCAAAGAUACAAAAGACAAGGUAAGGGUAAAAUGAGGUGAUCAAAUGGAUGACGCAAGUUAUGUUGGCUAGUUGCUUGAAACUUUACUUUCCACUACAGGACUGUUAUGGGCAAGAGUCAUUUAGUGGAACAACUUUUCUGGGGCUUUCCGUGAUUUAGGCUGAAUUGAUGCUAAGGUUUGUUAUUAUUAGAAUAAAGUUGGCUAAGGAAUUUUUGCCCUUUUAUCUCAAAAUUUAUUGUAAGAGAAUUGACAUGAUGGCCUCUCUCUUUGAAGGAAGGGGAUCAAGUGGUCUAAAUCUGAUUAUUUUCCCGUCUCUUCUUUUCUUGGACUAAGAAAGAGGGGCUGGGAGCCUUAAGCAAGAUGAAUAAUCGGUUGAGACAGUGAUAUUUAACGAAUGAAGCCUUGGACCGAGGUGGCCAAAUUGUAAAGGUCCACGCUGCGAGAUCCAAGAAUGUGAGAUGAUUUGUUCGAGCAGUGUUAAGAUGGGACAGAAUGGGCCAAUCAUGAGACGGUAUAACAAUCUGGAACCUUGCACAAAAAAGACUAAUUAUAGAGUAUUAUUUAAAUUACACAAAAAAGACUAACUAUAGAGUAUUAUUUAAUAAUUUUUUAUGAGCAUGAAGGGCUAUUCAUAAGAUAGUUUAGAAAGCAUUAUUUAGAUUUUAUAUAUUUAUAUAAAUAUUUAAGAUUUAUUUAAUACAUAAUCGAUAUGGGACUAAAUAUAUAUUUACAUGAUCUUCAUAAAAAACUGUGUCGAAGGCCGAAAGGGAGGUAGAAUGGUGUUUAAGCAUGUUGCAACAUUUUUUGAUUAGAACUGAUAUCAUUUUUGAGGAAGGAAGAGGGUUUGGAAUAUUGAAUGGAUGGAUGGAGGUCUUCAUCUUCUUAGAAGAAGGAGACACACAUGAUCAGGAUAUGAGAGGAUAAGAUUUGGACAUAUGAUUGACCAAUGACCCCCAAAUCUUUGGUUCAAUCCAAUUCACAAGUUCAAAAUAUGAGCAAGAAUUAAUUUGAAGGUGUAAUUAUCACAAAUGGUUUGUGAAUAUGAAAAUUCACUUGAUGUUGGUAUCUUCUUAUGGACACAAAUAUUGAUUGCAUUUGAGCUUAGAAUUUUCAGCUAAUAUUUACCGGUAAACUUUUGAGGUUUUGCAUGUAUACAUGCAUACAUACGUACCCCUACAAAUAUGGUUAUUGUAUAUUUGCCCUCUAAAAUAUCUACUUAUAUAUCUCUUAUAUUGUCUUUUUUUGUAAUGAUAUCCCAGUAGUUAGAUUUUGACCGCCGACAAUACAAAUUUACCAUUUUAAAUACAAAAGAAACACUAAUAUAUUUUUGCACUAAUAUCUUUAAAACAAUUUAAAUUUAGUCUGCACCGUAGAGAGCUACAUUUUUAUUUAAAUUUUCCACAAGUAUUAAUGAAAAGGAUAAAAAAGUUAUUUUUACCUCUUCAAGCAAUGCAACUUAUGGAGGCCAUAGGUGAUGGUGAUAAGGGACUUGUUGAUCAUGUGGAUGAUAUUGAGGCUGGCCAUGGUGCAGCUGUCCUUGGCAUUCUUACUUUGAGAGUUAUUGAAGUAGACCAUGAUGUUGAUGAUGGCAUCGAUCAUCAAUGGACAGAUGGAGUAAGCAAGGAGGGCCUUGGUGACCUUAUCUGAGGAUCAUGGAUGAGAUUUCUUCAAAUGCAAAAUGCUUCUCAUCAGUUGUAAGUGGUGAUAACGAACGAUUAAUCAUCUAAGAAUAGAUAAAUUCUAAAGAUAUUUGAACAGUUUAGAUAAAUAUCAUAUAAUUAUUUAUUUUUGAUUGAUAUUUUAAAAUAUAUUUAAUAUAUUUUUUAAAUAAGCCAUUUAAAUUGGUGUUGACUGGAAGGAGGUGACGGUGACGAGGUGCUUGGUAACGAAAAUGGUGUUAUUAGGAUUCAUGGGUACCUAAUUCUCGACUACAUCACCAAUGAGCCACUUUCUUGUGGGCGAAGGUAAUGUACCGUAGGGCAGUGCAAUGCCAUGGUCAUUGGUGAUGAUCCCAACCUGGUUGUUGAGACGAUAGGUCACGUCAAUUGCUAAGGUUGAUGCCAGUAGCCUCCCCUCCUUUACUCAUAGCCAUAGUUGACUUCUUCUGUUUGACACUACCAUCGCUCUCUUAGCAUUGGGAUCUUUUUUUUUUUUGUUUGAAUAACCUUCGGAAAGAGAUGGUAGGAAUCAUUUCUUAUGGUGAUCCUUUUAUGUAGAUGGUGUGUAGACGGUAUUUUUAAGAUGAUAGAAUUUAGAGGUGGCUGGCAGAGACAAGAAGGAAAGGUUUGUAGAUUGCUGUGGAGAACACGGUUGAAGGAAUACCAUUGCAGUUGACACACGAACACUCAAGUAAUCCAGGAGUUAUUCCAAAGAAAUAAGAUUUCAACGGCAUGGUUCUUUGUUAAAUAUUUUAUUUGUUGAUUUUUUACGGUUGUAUUUAUAUUUAUUUGAUUUAUGAAAAAAAUAAAUAAAGGCACUUUGGGGGUUCUUGUUUAGAUUUUGAGUUGGUGACUGGUGCUCCAGAGGUCAUGAAUGGUUGGUUAUUUUGGUUAUUUGUGGAUAGUCGUCAAUAUAUUACUGAAAAAAAUAGAUGAAAUAUAUUAAAAAGUUUUGAUUUAGGAUCCAAAUGGUAAUUUUACCAACACUAUAAUACCUCUUUUCCUCCGCAUUUUCUCCCGCCGACUCCACUCGACUGAGAGGGCGCCGACAUGGGGAAGAAGAGCGAGAAGGAGGAGAGCUUCCGGCCGGCGGACCCUGAAACGGAGGAGAAGAAGAGGCUCAGAUCCCUCGCGUUCUCUAAGAAGCUCCUCCGCCGCGCUCCCUCGAAGCCCUCCGCCCCUCUGGAGCCCUCCAAGUCCGUCCUCAAGCUCCAGGGCCGCGACGUCGUUAAGCGGGGCCAGCGGAAGAGCCGCUACCUCUUCUCCUUUCCUGGCCUCCUGGCCCCUCUUUCCGGCGGCCGCGUCGGCGAGCUCGCCGACCUCGGCACCAAGAACCCCAUCCUCUACCUCGAGUUCCCUCAGGUCAGUCGAUCGGUGUAAUUUCUUCUCUAUCCUGUUCUCGAUUCCUAGGGUUUGUUCGAAGUUUUGAGUUCCUCAUUUUUCUUGUAUGUGAGUGGGCUUUUUAGGGUCGGAUGAAGUUGUUCGGCACGCAUAUGUACCCCAAGAACAAGUAUUUGACUCUCCAGCUCACGAAAUCGUCCAAGGGUGUGGUCUGCGAGGACACAUUCGACAGUUUGGUUAGUGUCUGAUGCAAUUCCUUUUCCUUUUCUUGGGUUUUCUUCUUUUUCUUUACUUGAAAAAAAGAUGCAUGUAUUUUAUUCUUGGAGCAUUGUAGACGGAAAUUAAAUGCAGAAUUUAGAUCGGUAGUAGAUUAUUUUUCACAAGAACGAAAUAAUAUAGUAGAAUAGCCAGUUAACUCAAGAAGGGUAUUUCUAGGGUCACCUUAUGAAACUAGAUCUAACAGCCGCCUUUAAAAUUUGUUCAAACUAUUUAGGGACAAAUCCGGUGACCUUAUUGCUACAUUCUCCUGUCACAAUAUUUGGUAUGCUUAAUAAAGAUGCUGAAUUUAUCUCAUUUUCGUAGUCUUUCCUGGUUUUCCUUCUGUUCUUUACUUGAAAAAGAUGCUUUCAUUUAAUUCAUGCAGCAUCGUAAAUGGGAAUUAGAUGCUUAAAUGCUGAAUAUAGAUCUGGAAGUGAUUAAUCAUAGAAACUGAAAAGAAAGAAAAGAGAUAACCUAGUGGAGUUGGCAGAUUAGUAGUGUUGGGUGGAUGUCUGGCCAGGACACUACCUUUCAAGAUUUUUUCAGUACCACACGAUGCAGCAGGAAGAAAAAAGAAACAAAACAAAACAAUCAAAAUAUGUGGAUCAGCCACAAAAGAGCUCGUCUCCAUGGGGCAUGCAAACUUCACUAUGAAAAAAAAAAUUUACAAGAGGAGAUCUCACCCUCAACCCUUGUACACCCAAUUUUCUUUCUCUAGAAGUUCUCCUUUCAAAAGCUCUCUCUCUCUUGGAAGAUUCCCUGAACUCCUGAAGUGCCUGGCGUCCGCUGUCUAGGAGCCUUCUGCCCCUCUCUCAGCAAUGCGCGCUUCUUUCUCUUCCUGGGAUCCGUACGGCGUCCACAUCAGAAAAAACCAAACCACUAUUUUCCUCUGCGUCACAGCCCUUUUAAAAGGGUUAAACAUGACUUAGAUUAGGUUUCGGAGUCCUUAAUCAACCCAAAUCAAGUCCCAGACCGUCGGAUCAAGAUCGGAACGUUCUUGGGCCCUCCGAUCGCGCUCCGGUCCACGAAAUAGUGCCGUGGACCGUGAGAAACGCGUAGAAAACGCCUACGCGGUCCGCCAUGGACCGCUCGGUCCAUGGUGGACCGGGGUACAGGCCUAGGUAGGGCGCCNNNNNNNNNNNNNNNNNNNNNNNNNNNNNNNNNNNNNNNNNNNNNNNNNNNNNNNNNNNNNNNNNNNNNNNNNNNNNNNNNNNNNNNNNNNNNNNNNNNNNNNNNNNNNNNNNNNNNNNNNNNNNNNNNNNNNNNNNNNNNNNNNNNNNNNNNNNNNNNNNNNNNNNNNNNNNNNNNNNNNNNNNNNNNNNNNNNNNNNNNNNNNNNNNNNNNNNNNNNNNNNNNNNNNNNNNNNNNNNNNNNNNNNNNNNNNNNNNNNNNNNNNNNNNNNNNNNNNNNNNNNNNNNNNNNNNNNNNNNNNNNNNNNNNNNNNNNNNNNNNNNNNNNNNNNNNNNNNNNNNNNNNNNNNNNNNNNNNNNNNNNNNNNNNNNNNNNNNNNNNNNNNNNNNNNNNNNNNNNNNNNNNNNNNNNNNNNNNNNNNNNNNNNNNNNNNNNNNNNNNNNNNNNNNNNNNNNNNNNNNNNNNNNNNNNNNNNNNNNNNNNNNNNNNNNNNNNNNNNNNNNNNNNNNNNNNNNNNNNNNNNNNNNNNNNNNNNNNNNNNNNNNNNNNNNNNNNNNNNNNNNNNNNNNNNNNNNNNNNNNNNNNNNNNNNNNNNNNNNNNNNNNNNNNNNNNNNNNNNNNNNNNNNNNNNNNNNNNNNNNNNNNNNNNNNNNNNNNNNNNNNNNNNNNNNNNNNNNNNNNNNNNNNNNNNNNNNNNNNNNNNNNNNNNNNNNNNNNNNNNNNNNNNNNNNNNNNNNNNNNNNNNNNNNNNNNNNNNNNNNNNNNNNNNNNNNNNNNNNNNNNNNNNNNNNNNNNNNNNNNNNNNNNNNNNNNNNNNNNNNNNNNNNNNNNNNNNNNNNNNNNNNNNNNNNNNNNNNNNNNNNNNNNNNNNNNNNNNNNNNNNNNNNNNNNNNNNNNNNNNNNNNNNNNNNNNNNNNNNNNNNNNNNNNNNNNNNNNNNNNNNNNNNNNNNNNNNNNNNNNNNNNNNNNNNNNNNNNNNNNNNNNNNNNNNNNNNNNNNNNNNNNNNNNNNNNNNNNNNNNNNNNNNNNNNNNNNNNNNNNNNNNNNNNNNNNNNNNNNNNNNNNNNNNNNNNNNNNNNNNNNNNNNNNNNNNNNNNNNNNNNNNNNNNNNNNNNNNNNNNNNNNNNNNNNNNNNNNNNNNNNNNNNNNNNNNNNNNNNNNNNNNNNNNNNNNNNNNNNNNNNNNNNNNNNNNNNNNNNNNNNNNNNNNNNNNNNNNNNNNNNNNNNNNNNNNNNNNNNNNNNNNNNNNNNNNNNNNNNNNNNNNNNNNNNNNNNNNNNNNNNNNNNNNNNNNNNNNNNNNNNNNNNNNNNNNNNNNNNNNNNNNNNNNNNNNNNNNNNNNNNNNNNNNNNNNNNNNNNNNNNNNNNNNNNNNNNNNNNNNNNNNNNNNNNNNNNNNNNNNNNNNNNNNNNNNNNNNNNNNNNNNNNNNNNNNNNNNNNNNNNNNNNNNNNNNNNNNNNNNNNNNNNNNNNNNNNNNNNNNNNUCUGUCAGCCUGCCGCCGGUGGUCCUCUACCGCCUCGGGUCUCGUGCCGAUUUCAAAAGCUCGUAUCUUCUCCGUCCGAGCUCCGUUUGGAGCGAUCUUGGUCUCGUUGGAUUCCGUUUUUCGCCGCGAACCUCGCUGUAGGCUUAAUGUGGGCUGAAUCUCGAGACGUCAAAUCCUAACAAGUAGCUUGUAGGUUUUGUGCUGUAAUGUUGUUGGGUUUUUACUGAAAAGGAAAGUUCUAUGGUUACCAUCUUACCGAGCUAUCUAAAGAGUUGUCACAUUUUUCUCAUGAACUCUUUAGGGACAGUUUUCAUGCCAUGUCGAUAAUCAUAGCUUGACCCCCUUAUUGCUUGAGUUUAUCAAUUGUUCCUUAAGCAAAUGAAUAAAUUGCCUAACAAAUCAAGCACGCAGCCAUGAAAAAUAGAAACCUGAAAAUGAAUUGAAAAAUAAAGGAGAAAUCUUAUUAUCUCUGCUUUUCCAUAUAUAUGGAGAUAAUAAUAUGCAUCUUUAUCAACUUUUGAGUUAUUGGAGUUCCACACUAAGUGCUUUACGAAAGCAACCAUGUUGGAGGAUCAUGAUACUCAGUUCACCAGACUAAGCAUGAAAUUACAUUACUCUGAAGAUGACCCCUUUUCAUUUCUUUCGUCCAUCCUAUAUUGUCACCACCAUCUAUAUUUGGCAGAUUGUGUUUUCUGAUGCUCGGUGGAUUGGGCGAAAGGAGGAAAAUCCAGAAGAACUCAAGCUUGAAUUCCCCAAAAACCUUAAUGAGGUUCAUCUUAUCUAAUUAUUUUACCUUUUUUAUUUAUAUUGAUGGUAUCAAGCUUUACAUUUACUUUGUGACCUUUGAGAUAUCAGGGAAACCAUGCUGCAGAUUGUGACUUUAAAGGGGGAGCUGGUGCAACAGUUGAAGAGUCAUUGAGAGGUAACAUACCUGGAAAGGAUUAUGUAGAACCAUUUUCCCCUGACACUGAUAUGGAGGGUGACAUGCCCGAGGAUUCCCAUUUCAAAACUGAAGAAAGCACAAAGAAUCUGGCAGAAGCAACUCCAGUUCGACAAUCAACAAGAACUGCAGGGAAACAAUUAAAGUAAUGAUUUCUUGAUUUGCAUUUUAUAUAUACUCUGCUGGUGUUUACUUGAUUAGGAGAACUUAAUUUAGUUGUGUCAGCAGCUUCGCACCUUAAGUUCUUGAUAUCAGCCCAAAAUGUUAUAGAUGAUCAAUAAGAUUCUUUUUCUUUUUUUAAACCAUUAUUAUCUUCAUUCAACAGAAGCACAUCGCUGUCAGCUGCAUUUGCAUGAUAUUAAUGUUGCUGCUUGUGCCAUUGGUAUAGUCAGAAUUUUUUCCUGUCAUGAAAGACUGCAUGUAUGGUCCAACGUUUAUACACUGCAAUUCUCUUUUCCAUGAGCAAAUAUUGCUUCUUGUAUCAUUCAUGAGAAGACCUCGGAUUAUUGGGGACAUAACUGGGUAAUGUACUUUUAUUUUUAUUUUUUACAAUUUGAAAGAUAUAAACUUCUGACCUGAUGUGAAUAUUUUUCAAUAGCUUUACCAAUAUGCUGGGCUAGGAAGCUCAAAUUUAUGCCCUCUCUUGGUAAAAACAGUAAGUCCUAAUUUUAGGGAGCCUGUUUAAGCACCUUAAACGUUGUUGAUACCAAAAUAUUGUUUAAAUUAAAAUGAAGAAGCUAAGUACUUCAAGCUGAUUCCAUCUUUAAGAACUCUUUUCUUGUUAUCAUUAUUAUGUUAAUAUAUCAUGAACUUAAUAGACACCUUUUUUUUCUGCCUUAUAGUUUUUGCUGAUUAAUAGCAAGAAGACAUGUUUCUUAUUUUAGUUUCUAUACAAGAAUUUGGCUGCUGUACAUGAGCUAUAAUAUUUUCUUUCUUUUUUUUUUAAAUUUAUUUAUAAACAAGAAGAUGAAGUCAACAGCAUAUCAUUCACUUCUGUCUGUGCAUACUAGAUAAUUUUCUCAGGUGUUUGGUACCUUUCUUCGGCAAUGAAAAACUAAGACCAUCUUUUCCCUUGUUCAGUUAUGCAGAAUCAUCUUCUGGAGAUGAUUCCAUCGCCAGUGAUGCUGAGGUACCAGAAAUGAUGAGUGAGAAGAUCAAAAUCGGUAUCAACAAUGCAACUAGAAGCUUCAUAGUUAGAAAUAUCCAUUUUGUAUUGUUGUUAUUAUUCUUUACCUUGUCUUUUCAGUAUUGCAUGGUUUUCUUAAAUUCCUUGUUUCCAUGUCUCAGUGCAUUAAAAAUAUCUGCUUUUCUAUGGUCUAGUUGAUAGCCUUAAGUUAGAGCACACACUGAAGAUUCUGUUCCAGUAACUUCUACAAUUCUUCCUCCAGAGGAUGACUUUUUGGAAAAAAAGAUCAAUCCGAUGCAAAAAACAGAGGAGUCUUCUUCAUCAAUGAAAAGGUUGAAGAAAAAUCUCUCAAAUAAAAAGGGUCCCCUGGUUCAAGCUACUUUGUCUACUUUGUUUGAAAGGGUAGAGGAUAAGGUAAGUAGCGCCAACUCCAUGAGAAUUACUGGAUUGGUUUUUCCUCAUUCCUUCAAGAUUUUCUAAUAAUUCUUUUGUUUCUAUUGCACCUGUGGACAUGUAUAAUUGGUCAUUCCUUUAGCAUUCCAGGAAUAUCUGCACUGCAAUUUGUACUAAAAUGGUUGCAAUGAUAUCUUUAGACACAAUAUGCAGCUGGCAUUUCUGAACAUUAGAAUAAUCAACCAUCCUGUAGCUUCCUUUGCUUGUUAUAUGUGUUAAAUUAGCAUUCAAUUGGCAACCUUGAGCUCAUGGUUGAGGCACUGUGUAUUGACUGAUGCAAAGGCAGUUGUCCCUUGUUCCAAAAGGUUCGCUUCUGCAUGUUCUAUUUUGUAGCGACUAAUGCAACAUGUUGACCCAUCAUCAGGAAGUUAGGUAAAACUUAUACAGGUGUAGUGUAUCUUCCACACAAGCAAAAGUUCAUGAGCAUAGGACUCAAGUUUCGUUUGUGCAGUGCAUGUGCUAGCUGAUAGAGUUCAUUGAUUCAAUAUUUGCACCAUAUGAUCCCAAAUUUAGGCAACUUUUAUCUUUUUUGUGUAUCCCUAUAUUGUGGCAAGGAGAUGUCUUGUUCAAGAUUUUUAGUUUGAUAAAAUUCAUAAAUUUGAAAAUGAUUUAAAUUGGACAUGUCCGAAAAUCUAGAUAUUGAACUCCUAGUCCUGUCAACCUAAAACUUGUUAUUUAGCAAUACCAUGUGGGUUAAUAUUAAGUUACAUGUAUCGUCUAAUGAUGACUAUAUGCAGAUUGCAGUAUUUGUUUAUACAUAUUAUUAGAGCAUCAUUUAUCAGGAACAUAUCCUGUAUUCAUGUUAUAUUUAUAUUAUAUAGUUAUUUCAAAAUAUUAUAUAAUUAUAUUCCCCUUGAUAUCGUACAUUCAUCCAAAACUUGCUUUUUUAUGUAGUAACUAGAGAAUGAGACUGUUUCUCCAUGUUGCCUUGAUUCUUUGUUCUAGAAACUAUGGAAUGCCAGAACUUUUGGGAACUUUGGUAGAACACAGCAUUACACUCCUUGGCUCCCAGAAAUUGUCUUGCUUGAGUGAGCCCAUGUCAAUGCUUAACUUCCUUUUCUCCCAUCAGACCGCAAUCCGAUACAGGCGAUCAAACUUAUUUUUUUUUAAACAAUUCAAGCGAUACAAGAUUACGCAAAAGCAUUUGCUUAUACAUUUGAAGUAUCAAGACUUUUUCCCUCUUCUUCUCUUUCUCCUUUUGAUAUAACAUGAUAUGGAAUGCAAGUUUAGACAACUACUGCUAGCCAGUCAACUAGUAUGAUAUUAAGCAAUGUUGAUCUAAAUUUUUGUUCAAAUGUGGGCGUGUACAUGGUCACAUGCGCUUGUAUGAAAGUAUGCCCUGCAGCUUCAACAGCUUAGGGACCCUUGGACAAAUGGGUAACCAUGUACAUAAUCUUUGUAAACUUGUUUGGCUUCCUAGUCUUCUACCCACAGUGAAUGUUACAUUUACUCUCUUACAACUAUAUUGCAACUGGUCCACCAUCUUGAGGACCAACAAUCUGGUUUGUCAUGCAUGGGCAAGUAUAUUGUGAUUGCUUGUCGCUUCAUUAGCUGCUUAUAUUAAAAUGCUUCGUGAGUGUUCUAUCUCCAGCAUAUGAAGCAGCUCAUAGGCUUCUUCACAAGGACUGACUCUACUGAGUUUCAGCAUCUACCAAGCAAAUUUGCCAUCUGUGGUUAAUUAUGAUUUUGAUGGACAUGAGAUAUUUUAAUUAUAGGUGAUAGUACUAACAGCAUUUGGUCAUUGUGCAUGUCCAUAUGCCAUACUCAUGUUUAUAUGACCUUGUCCUAUUCUGACAAGAUAUAUUGUGCUUGUUUUUGGGUUCAUUGGUUUGAAUUUUUAUUUCUUGAGUUAUCUGGUUAAUCUUUCUUUUUGAAGAUUUCUUCUGAAAUGAUACUGGAACAUAUAUUAUUUAGGAUACCUAGUUCUGUUAAUCAUUGUGUGUGUUUGUGUGUGUGUGUGUGUGUGUAUGCAUACAAACUCAGUUGUGUAUUUUAAAAUUCAUUCCUCUUUAGUUUUGCUUUCUUGAUCAAAAAUUACUUGGACCAUUCAAGUCAAUGUUCUGCCUUGUCAUUUUGGUAUCUUGUAUUGAAUAAUCCUGCAUUUUUGGAUCAAAAAUUUUCUUCCUUCUUUCAGGUUUAUCUAAAUCUGAUAUGAUGUGAAGCCUAUUGCUUUGUUUUUUAUUCUCUAAUUUUAUGCCUGAUCUUUUUAUGCGGCAUUGUAUUUUCCAGAAAUCUAAGCGCAGCGCAGAAGACUCUGCUGGACCAGAAGGUUUAUUUGCCUGAUUGAAUUCUGCUUUUUUCCUAUAACAUAGGCUUGAAUCUUCAUUUUUUUCUCAAUGCAAUGGAAGUGCACUUGUUUUCAAGUUAAUUUCAUGACUAUUUCUGCUAUCCAGGUCCUAUUGGUAAGAGGCAACGGAAACAAAUAACUGAAGAAGUGCAGGUAAGGAUCUCAAAAUCAGCAUGAUAAUGUUCAAUUGUUGGCCAAGGUUGAUACUUGAUACUGUGGCCCACAAACCAUCUUGAUGGUUAGGUACAACACAUGUAAAUGGAAUUUUGUUUGUAUUGUAGGUGAAGCAAUCUACCAAGAAACCGUCUCUAUCUGGCAGAAAAAAGAGUGGUUAGUGUUUGUUUUGAUAAUAUAACUGUCAUGUGUUCAUUAAUCAUACAUUUUAUAAGUUGCAAGCUAAAUCAUAAUUCAUUAGCUGGACAAGUCAUUUAGCAUAAGUUAUAUAUUUCAUUUUGUCGGAUGGUAAUGGCAUAAUAUAUGCUUUUUUCAACUUUUUCAGUUUUGAGAAAGUAAGUGCUGUAAGUCUUUGAAAAUGUUGAGUUGCAAAAUCACAUUAGAAUAGUUAUAAUUGUCUGGUGCUCUCCAUUCUAGGCGGUCCAGCAAGUUGAGCUUUUGUAACCGUCUGAUUGUCAAAAAUGCAGGGACUGGGACUGUGAGAGUGCCGAAGAAGUCCAAGGUACUAUUGAAUACAAUCAAAUUUUAAUGAACCAAUGUUCGUUGAUCCACCUUGGAUGAUGUUCAUCUUUUCUCAUAUGUGAAAUUGCUUGAUGAUGACUAUUGCUUGCCUUUUUUUUCCUUCGUUUUCAUUAACAGUUCGCUGUUAAGUUAUCACAGUUUUAUAUUUUCAUGUAUAUUGAAAAGAAAAAUCAAUAAAAACAUCUGUUCUUUCAGUUUCUUAUGUUCAAGUUUCCAAAUAAUGUUUUUUUUCUUUUUUCAUGAACAGCACAAUGCGAGAAUAAUUAUGGAAACGAAGUAACUUCAUAUGGAAUGCAAAUACUCAAGUUUCUUUUUACAUGCGGAGACAUAAAAAUUUUAAUAAGUUGAUUGUUUAGAAUUGUGUGAUUAUAUCAUUUGACAGAAACUUUGCUAUCAAACUUUCUACUGUGCAAUUUUUUGUUUGGUAGAAUUGCAGUUUUGCAGCCUUUUGAAUUAUCGAUAUGGAAAGCAUAUUGCAUGCACCAAGUAAUUUCCCGUGCAUAUUUUGUUUGAAAGGAAUUUUACCCAGGGAUUCAUGUUGAAGUAUCCAUCCAUUAUUAGUAAUAUUAGACAACAAGCAGCUAAGACUCCAUUUUCAGUAGAGGUAGGACCUUUUUGCUAAUUUCUUCCAAGCCAUUCUUCUUAUUCUGUGUAGUGAAUGCAAUGAUGAGUUUUGAACAAGUGUCAUGUUUACAAAUAUGUGGCAGAUUUCGGUUCUUUUUUCCCCUCGUCUAUUACACAUCUGCAGUAUUUGUAAGUGCCAAGUAGCAUGCCGAAUCUUUAGUGCAAUAUUCCUGAUUUUCUUUCGAUUGUUCAAAGUUACAAAAUGCACAUGCCUCCGUCUUAAGGUUCCCUGAAUACACCAAGGGGGUGUUUGGUUCGCAACUGGAAUUAGAAUGGGAAUGAGAAUUGGAAUGGCUUGGAAUCAGAAUCGGAAUGGCUAAAUCUCCCAAAGCGUUUGGUUCAUGACCGGAAUCGGAAUCGGAAUUAGAAUUUGGAAUGAAAAAUUGAAUCCAUAGAGAAGCGUAGGGAUUGAGUUCUAUAUAGAUUGAGCCAUUCCCAUUCCACCCUGGAACCGGAAUCGGAAUCGGAAUAGGACUCCUUCCAACCAAACGGUUGGAAUGGGAGUCACUCAUUCCGAUUCCGAUUCCAGACCCCACUCCCCUCAACCAAACACCCCCCAAGUCUACAUGGUGAAACAACAGACGCAGAAAUUUUAGUUUAUUCUAUAAGAUGAUGUUAAGGGUUUAUAACAAAUGAUUCUUCAUAUUCAUUGACUCUGCAUGAACACCACCACCCCAGCCCCCCGAAAAAAAUAAAAGUUCAAAGAAAUCUCAGACUAUUCUAUAACAUGAAGGUAGGAGUUUAUGACAAACACUUUGGAUGGGUGUGUUUCAGUCAGAAACUCAGAACCACACAAGAAGCAAGAUAAUUUGGUUGUUGCUGCUGUCUCAUUCUUCUUCUUUUUCUUUUAAAUUUUUUUUCCCAUUUGUUGAAUAAGACAUUUUAAAUCUUAUCUAUUCCUAACAUUGUUGAUUCUAUAAUAGGUACCAGAUGAUGAGAUAGAAGAAAUCUCCAGUGAAUCCCAGGUUUAACAUACUAAACAUCUUUUCCUUCUUUUAAUUCUUUUUAUUAUUUUCAGCAUGUACAUAUGCUAUCCUUCUCCUUCAUAUCUGCAUGCUGCAAUCAUCAUAACUGAUGUUAAGAACUAAAGUUCAUUGUGACUCUAAAAUUGAUUGCAAUUCCUUAAUUCUGUUGAAUUAGUAGAUGACACUGAUCUGUAAGACCAACGUCAUUGUUUCAAUUUCUCUCUACUUCUCAAGCAGUUGAACGUUUAUCUACAAAUAACAGUUGUCAGCACUGGUAUCCUUUGUCACCCUUCACCCUUUUGAGUUCACUGCAUGCCAUUAUAGUAAAUUUCUUUAACUGACCAUCCUGCUGAAUGGUCUCCUUUGCUCUUUAUCUGCAACAUACUCCUUUCUUCUCUGGAUUCCAUGAAACUGAUAUUCAGCAAAGCAAACAGAACCUAUUAUUACAAUUACAUCAUCAUUGGAUAAAACAGAACAAGGCAGAUCACAUUUAAAUUCUGAAAUCUGCACGCUUCUGCCUGAGUCUUCUACAUUAUAGUUUGUGAAACAGGAUUAUCUGGUUAUCCACUAUUACUGUAAGAGUUCUUUGAGGUUUUUUAACCUCUUCAUAAAAAUGUUACUAAAUGUUCCAAUGUCUUGUUCCCCUCUAAAUUUCCUAUGGCCUCACUGUGGGGAUUAAUCUAUAAAUCCAGAGGUAACUAUUAGUGUAAGAGUUCCUUGAGGUUUUUUAACCUCUUAAUAAAAAUGUUACUGAAUGUUCCAAUGUCUUGUUCCCCUCUAAAUUUCCCAUGGCCUCACUCUGGGGACUCAAUCUAUAAAUCCAGAGGCUGCUUACCUUAUUCAUGUACCUCUUAGCGACCUCAUUUAUAGUUUAAAAAAGAGAAAGUAAAUCUGCUGUUACUCAAAGAGUAACUACCUAGGAUAUGAUGUAAUGAUGCCUUUUUUUUGGUUCUGCAUAUGUGCAGGCUAAAAGACUUUUUUGUAGUUUUGCCUUUGUCUAUUUAAGGAUUUUAUGGGUUUGUGUGAGUGAUUGUGAGCGAGUGCACCUGCACAUCCUGUUGAAAUGCUCUUACUUGAUAUAUAUAUAUAUAUAUAUAUAUAUAUAUAUAUAUAUAUAUAUAUAUAUAUAUAUAUAUAUAUAUAUAUACUAUAUAUUUAUUUAUUUNNNNNNNNNNNNNNNNNNNNNNNNNNNNNNNNNNNNNNNNNNNNNNNNNNNNNNNNNNNNNNNNNNNNNNNNNNNNNNNNNNNNNNNNNNNNNNNNNNNNNNNNNNNNNNNNNNNNNNNNNNNNNNNNNNNNNNNNNNNNNNNNNNNNNNNNNNNNNNNNNNNNNNNNNNNNNNNNNNNNNNNNNNNNNNNNNNNNNNNNNNNNNNNNNNNNNNNNNNNNNNNNNNNNNNNNNNNNNNNNNNNNNNNNNNNNNNNNNNNNNNNNNNNNNNNNNNNNNNNNNNNNNNNNNNNNNNNNNNNNNNNNNNNNNNNNNNNNNNNNNNNNNNNNNNNNNNNNNNNNNNNNNNNNNNNNNNNNNNNNNNNNNNNNNNNNNNNNNNNNNNNNNNNNNNNNNNNNNNNNNNNNNNNNNNNNNNNNNNNNNNNNNNNNNNNNNNNNNNNNNNNNNNNNNNNNNNNNNNNNNNNNNNNNNNNNNNNNNNNNNNNNNNNNNNNNNNNNNNNNNNNNNNNNNNNNNNNNNNNNNNNNNNNNNNNNNNNNNNNNNNNNNNNNNNNNNNNNNNNNNNNNNNNNNNNNNNNNNNNNNNNNNNNNNNNNNNNNNNNNNNNNNNNNNNNNNNNNNNNNNNNNNNNNNNNNNNNNNNNNNNNNNNNNNNNNNNNNNNNNNNNNNNNNNNNNNNNNNNNNNNNNNNNNNNNNNNNNNNNNNNNNNNNNNNNNNNNNNNNNNNNNNNNNNNNNNNNNNNNNNNNNNNNNNNNNNNNNNNNNNNNNNNNNNNNNNNNNNNNNNNNNNNNNNNNNNNNNNNNNNNNNNNNNNNNNNNNNNNNNNNNNNNNNNNNNNNNNNNNNNNNNNNNNNNNNNNNNNNNNNNNNNNNNNNNNNNNNNNNNNNNNNNNNNNNNNNNNNNNNNNNNNNNNNNNNNNNNNNNNNNNNNNNNNNNNNNNNNNNNNNNNNNNNNNNNNNNNNNNNNNNNNNNNNNNNNNNNNNNNNNNNNNNNNNNNNNNNNNNNNNNNNNNNNNNNNNNNNNNNNNNNNNNUAUAUAUAUAUAUAUAUGUAUAGAUACAUGUAUAUGUAUAGAUACAUGUAUAUAAUUUUUAUUUUUUAUUUUAUUUUAUUUUUUUCUGAUGCUAACUUGAGAUUUUCUAUUGGUUGUGGAGCUGACAUCCGAGUAUCUCUCAGGCUUGGGAGAUUGUGGAUGAGUCCUGCAUGUAAGAAUUACAUAAAAUCAUCCUGAGGAUUGACUUGUAUUACCCUUGUUUGCUGACAGUAUCAUUCUUGGUAUGUUGUUUGAUAGAGGUGACCUCUAAGCAUGUUGAUUGUUCCUUUGGAUCUUUUUAAGAGUUAUGCUCCAUAACUAGCCCAAUAUUGAUAUGAAAGGGCUUGAACAUCCCUAACUGUUGAUAUUAAUCUAUCUUCAUCACUAGAGAAGGUGGACGAGUCCCAGUCACUUCCGGAAGUUAUGGAUUUGUGCUGGAUGCUUGGCAUCUAAAUACCAACAGCAUGCACAAUCAUUUGUUCAUGGAUACCUUACACUCCACCUUAAAUUAUCGGGCUUGCUUGUUCAAGGAUAUUUCAAACAAAUAGUCUAUAUGCCUGUCCGCUCUUUAUUGUCCAGGCCAUCUUCUGUUCCUUGGUUUUGUCUAGCUCGUUCUUAUGUUUUGUGCCAUGCUAUGUACUCAUACCUUAUUGUGCGUUGCCCUCUCCAACUCUGGCAAUUUGUUGUUUCAGGAUGACAGUGAUGAAGACUGGGCCCUGUAAUGCAAUGAAAUGGACAUGGAAGAAUACUGAUAACCUCUACUCCAGGUGCCACACUAUCUUUGGUUGUGUACUAAUAUGGUGUGUAGCUGAAGUUGUCAAUCAGGAGAUAGUAUUAUCAUUUACUGCUCAAUCUGUCCUUGCAUGACUUUAUGAUUCGGUUAAGAUUUUUUUCCCCUUCUGUUCAAUUCUCCAUUUUGGCAAUCGUUCAUGAAAUCUUUUUGCUGAAUGUUUAGGUGAGCCUUGAAGCCCAGAAACCUGGAGAAGGUCUAUGUUAUAGAGCAUUCAACACCAACAAAAAAGUCGAGCAGGAUCCCAUGCAUUAGGACAUAUCUUGACAGAGAUCCAGGAAACUGGAAUCAAGUGAUGAUACUUGCUCAACUGGCUUAGAGUUGGCCAUCUAUCUGAUAAAAGGUACUCUUGGAGUGUGGGCCCUCUAAAGUUGCUUAACAACCUAUGAGCGUUGUCUCAGAAAAGUCUAAGACUAGAAUAUCGAGUUUUCUUAGCUUCUUACUCACAUAUUAUGGAUAGAGUUUUGCAUUUCUUGGAUUCCCUAGUGAAGCAUUAUUGCAUUUCGUAUACCCCAAUGGAAGCUGCAUAUAUUAAGUUGUCAUCCCUGUGAGGAAUGAAAAGAUCAGGCAACAAAUCCAAGAUUAUUGGGGAAAUAAAUAAUAUAGUGGUGACUCCAAAAUUGUCUGCUGAAGGUGGGUCCUUGCAAAUAGUAUUGGCUGUGCUUGAAUGAAAAGAUCGGUCCUAUCCUUCUCUUCUAUGAUCAACAGUUUGAUUACUGAAUGCUUGAAUGCUGAAUGGGGUAAGUUUAUUUCGGCAAGGAUGUCGAUGAGCUGCUCUAGAUAAUGUGGUAGGCUGCCUUACGUUGUGAAAUUUUAUUUAGCAUCACAAUUCCAUGGCAUCUUCUGAGACAGGCAGUAUUAAUUGGAAAAUUUAUUGACAACAAGUGUGUAUUUAACUUGGCUUACAGUCCAGAUAUAGGUCACUUUGGAGGAAUAUUAACCAUCAUUAUUGGUUCUUCAGCUCAGAUAAUGGUAUGGACCAACAUUCAUUUGUCAGUCCCAUUGAUUCUGCUCUUGCCUUAAGUAGGUUCAUAAUAGUGAAUUCCAUGAACAGGAAAUUAAUCUGCUGGGAUGUAGCUUUGUGUUUAUACUUCUACUUCUUCAAGGGGAAAAACGCCUAUUUGCCCUUCUCAUUAGCCUAUAAUUCUCACGAGUAAAUGUCUAGUGAAAUGUACCAUCUCCAAAUAUUGAUAAGCACCUCAUUUAAUCCAUUUCCUGUCCCGAAGCAGGAUGAUGGUUGUGCCCAACUAUGAGAUAAGGCUGCCUAUAAUGUACUGCAGCGCUUUGGCAGCGAUAAUGGCAACGCCGUCCCUCGUGGACGGGAGCAGCAAUCGCACCAGUCACCAUACGAGGAGCCGUCACCGCAAGCACGACCGCCUCUUUCACUUUCUUCACCCUCUUUUGAUUCCUUCACAAAUAUCGACGCUAUCAGAAUCGAGAUGGGAGCCGUUUCACGAUCUGAGUAGUUAUUGAGAAACUAAUGGAAGCCGGUCCUGAAAAAAGUGCUGUAUUUGCAUAAUGUGCCCAACGAAAUCUACUAGCAAAUCCUACUUUCUGCGGCCCUCUGGCGUUGGAUAUCAUACUCUUCUUUUCCUUAUUGGUCUCAAAUGACAGAUUGUUUCACGAACAGCUUGUGAACAGCUUGAUAGAUAGCUAGUUUAAGCUUGGCUCGGUCAGAAAAUGAUUUCAACUCAAACAGUAUCUAGAAAUUCCGUUUAUAAACAAAUUUGACUUUAGCAAGAAACUGGCUUGGCUCCAUAAGAAGUUCAGUUCAAAGGCUAAACAGAUAACAUGGUCACGGAUAUGCACAGGCUUUACCUCCUACAGCAGAACACACGGGUUCUUGAAAAUGUUCUGGGGGCUUAGAGGACUGCUGCCAUGUGAGGCAAACGUGGGAUGGCAAACCUUGAUUUACCCAUGAAAAGCAUGCAGCAUUCCUGAAGAGGUCUAUGCAUAUGGUCUGUGGACAUGGUGCUGAGCCGGUCGACAACUUAACACUAGUAGAGGAACAGAAGAUGCAGCAUUCCACACAAGCUGAACAAACAUCAAAGACAUGGGAGGAAGACGGCAAGGCGAUUCCCAAGACCCUAAAUGAGUGAUCCAUCUAUACCUUUUUUCUUGAUAUAUUAAGAGCAAGUUUGGACACGAUUUCUCAUCACGAGAUUGUGCAGUUCUAUAUGCAUUUUGAAAAAGAUAGUGAUAAUUUUGUAGGGAUUUUUUUUUUGAAAUAAUGUAUUUUUAAUAAAAAAUUCUGAAAAUAUGGUGGUUGAAAAAGUAUUUAUGAAACUAUCGUUGGUGGGCAUCAGAUAAAUUCGUGGGUUCAACCCACGAAUUAUGUAUACACGUGGAUAAUUUGUGGGUUGAACCCACGAAUUCUCUGAUCCAGCUGGACUAAUUGUAUGAAUUUUGAAAUUUAAAUUAGUGGAUUGGAGUCACGAAUUAACCAAAUGAAUUCAUGGGUUGAACCCACGAAUUCAUUGUCAACGAAUUUUUUUUUAUAAUUUCAAUAAAAUUUGUGGGUUGAACCCACGAAUUUAAGUUUUCGUGGGUUCAACCUACGAAUUCAAGAUUUUAUGGGUUCAACCCAUGAAUUCAUUUGAAAUUUUCAAUCAAUUCGUGAACCCAUGAAGUCAUUAAAAAUUUCAUGAAUUCGUGGGUUGAACUAACAAAUUCAUUCAAAUUUUUCGCCCGUUGGAGAAGUACACCUGAAUUCAUGGGUUCAAAAUUCAUUCAAAAUUUUCAACCAUUCAUGAAUUCGUGGGUUGAACCCACAAUUUAUUCAAAUUUUACUUGAAUUCGUGGGUUCAAACCACAAAUUCAUUGUCUUUAAAUCCAUGCCUCCACCCUCCCUUCAAGUCCACUCCUCACCCUUCCUACUCCUUAUUGAGAUUUUUAGAAAUUUUCUUGCAUUAGUCCAUAUAUUCUGAUCCUCUUCUUAAAACUGAUUAUGGCUUUAAAAAAAAGUGAAGUUUUAUCGAAAGGAAAGAAGGCUCGAGUAGAGAAAGGAAAGCAAUCAUCUCGUAGGUACGAAGAGUUCUUAUUUCUAGACAGUGAGUAUAGUGAAAAAUUUCAAUCAAAUUUUUUCGAAAAAAAAAUUGUAGGAGGUAGAAUAGUCGAUUUAAAUAGUUUUAGUGAUUUUUGUAUUAAAUUUUUGUUUGAAAGGAUAGAUUGGCUAUCUAUGAUUAUGCUCAACAAGCCAACGUAUCCUACUCUGGUUCACUAUUUUUUUAAUAAUUUUAGUUUUAAUAGUAAGUCUUGUUCUAUUUCAUCGUAUGUUAAAGGAUAAUUGAUUGAAUUUGACUGUGAAGUUUUAGAUCAAAUUUUAGAUAUUCCAUCGAUAGAUUUUUCAAUAGUAGUACUGUUUGGAAUCAUCUAGUAUUAGACUAUGCUUCCUGUGUUAGAACUAUUUUUGAUGACCAUAUAAGUGCGAUCGCUAAACUUGAUGCAAAUCUAUUACCACUUGAAACUAUGUUAAUCCAUCAUAUUUUUACGUUUAAUUUUCUACCCAGAGGAGGUCACAGAGAACAUGUAUCAUAUUUAGAUGUUUAUCUCCUCAGAAUAGUUCUUUCAUGUGAUAGGGUUAAUUUGCCCUAUUUAAUGAUGUUUUAUAUGAAUGAAUAUUUUCAAAGUUCAAAAACCAUCUUAUCAUAUGGAGCUGUUCUGACUGCUAUAUUCGAAGCAUUUGAUGUCCACAUCACGACUGAUGAUGAAGUUGUCAAGAUUAAACGUAAUGAUAUUUACAAUCAUGUAUCUUUGAGGUGCAUGAGAUAUAUAUUUCAUGAUGGGGUAUGGAUGCGUACAUCUACAGUAGAUGAAGAAGAACAUGACGGUGAAGGAGGUGGGCAGCCUACCGACAGAGAGCAGCCCAUACAUGCUACACAGUCUGAUCAGCAGUCAUUCGAUCAGCAUGCAUUAUCUGCUCAUAUAGAUGCAUUGGAGAUAUCUGUUAGUGAGAGCUUUGCACAUAUGGAUUCUCAGUUGGAUGAGAGAUUUGCACAGAUGGAUGCUCGAUUGGAUGAGGAUUUUGGAUGAUUUGAUCAGUUCGUACAGUAUUUUUAUCGUCAAUUUUCUCCACCACAACAAGACCUUACUCCGGAUGAUUAAACUUCAGCGAUUAGUAGCAGUACAUGAGGUUUCACCCGAAAAUCUGCCAUCUUCUUCAUUUAUGUUUAGAUAAAUAUACUUUGGUUUGAUGUAUGCAUAUGUACCUUUCUUUUGUUGCUGUCAUUUUAGAUGUCAAAUGUUGUAACCUGAUCAAAAUUAUGUAAAAUUUAAGAUAUGAUUUUGUCAGCAAAGUAGUUAAUUAAAUAAUUAGUAUCUAAUGAAUAAUUAAAAAAAUUUAACAAAUAUAUUGAAAGUUGGUUAAAAAUUUAUAAUUUUAAUAAAAAAUCAAAAAAUUUAACUGUGGCACAUAAGUCGUCUGUGAAUUUUGGUCGACCGUUGCAAACCGAGCUAAUCGAUCGACCAUGUGGCCCUGCAAGCCAUGUCGAAUCAAUCGAUCACUGCAAAUCGAGCCGACGGUCGACUCUGGAUCUCAGGCCGGUCGACUGCAUGGCACGCAAGCCAUGCCGAACCGAUCGAUCGCCUAAGAAUUUCGAUCGAUCGUUGCAAAUCAAGCCGAUCGAUCGACUCUGGAUCCUCAGGCCGAUUGACCGCAUGGCACGCAAGCUGUACCAGACCGAUCGACCGCCAGAGAAUUUCGAUCGAUCGCGACCCACCGAGCUGAUCGGUCGACCUCAGAACAUGAGGUCGGUUGACCGCAAGCAAGGGGAAGUGGUCUUUUGGUCGAUCGACCUAACAUUCUGGGGUUGAUCAGUUGGCUCGGUGGGCAGCGAUCGAUCGAAAUUCUCAGGCGGUCAAUCGGUCCGGCAUAGCUUGCAUGCCACGCGAUCGACCGGCUUGAGGAUCCAAAGUCGAUCGAUCGGCUUGGUUUGUAGCGAUCAAUCUAAAUUCUCAGGUGGUCGAUCGGUUCGGCAAGGCUUGCGUGCCAUGCGAUCGACCAGCCUGAGAUCCAGAGUCGAUCGGUCGGCUCGAUUUGCAGCGAUCGAUCGAAAUUCUCAGGCAGUCGAUCGGUUUGGCACAACUUGCGUGCCACAUGGUCGAUCGGCCUAAGGUUUCGAGCUCGAUCGGUCGGCUCGAUUUGCAGCAGUCGAUUGGAAUUCUCAGGUAGUCAGUUCGGUUCAGUAUGACUUGCAUGCCACAUCAUCGACCGACCUGUGAUUUCGGACUCGAUCGGUCGACUCGAUUUGCAACGGUUGAUCGAAUUUCUCAGAUGGUCGAUCGAUUCGGCACGACUUGCGUGCCACAAUAUAAUUUUUAAUAAUUUUUUAAUAUUUUUAUUAAAUUAUUAAGAGCAUUUUAAUUUAAAAAUCUAAUGCACUCAUUGAUGUAAUAUAAUAAAAUAUUCCAUAACUUUUAUAUCCAUACGUCCUACAAAUAUGAAAAAAUAAAAAUAUAUACGUCAUAUUCCACAAGAUGGUUUUCGCAUCUUUCUUUCAGGUUGCACUCGAGACCCAUAGGUAGAGCCUCACUCGAUCCUUCAGUAUGAUGCUCGUUUGGAUCCUCGAUCGGACCAUCGUGCUCCUCGAUAUGAUGCUUGCCCGAACCCUGAGUCAGUCCCUCCUGUGCUCUGUAUGAUACUCCAUCGAAUCCUCACUCAGUCUGUCAUACUUGGUCGCUGCAUACUCAAAAUGUGUUGCAAUCUCCUCUGUGGACUGAAAUUGGAUCAUAUCGUCAUGCAUAUACACGGACAAGGGCAUAUAUGAACUGAACGAUGGAAGAUCCGAAAUCGAAAAUGAUGAUGAACAAUAUUAUCUGGUACCUCCUCUAUGUAAUGCAGGUGCUCCUGAUGAUGAGGGUUGCAUGAAAGGUGAAGGAGUGGACUCUACAGUGCCAUGGCCAUGAUCAUGGAUAUCGAUGGAGAUACGAGCAUGCUGUCGAACGGUGUGGAGGUCUGAAGCACAAAUAUCCUAGAUGAGCUAUCCAGAUGUAGCUAACGAGUCUGGACGAGCCAAAUGAUGAAUCCUCGCCAGACUAUCACUCUGACACAAACAACACACUUAGCAGUAGGCAAAUAAAUAUAUGUUAGUCAUAGAAAAUUACAGAUAAAAUAUGAAACCUUAUCAGAUAGUCAAUCAUCGCUCCACCAAUGCAAAUGAAUCGACGUAUAAUGCGACGAUACCACUCCAUAUAGUCAUCAUAAUAGUCCAUCAUACCGUUGGCCGCUGGACCGUCUACAAUAUAAUCCUGCCGACUCUGCCAGAUUGCAACCCACUGCUAAUGAAUUCUUCUCCAGUCAUGAUCGGUGCACCCUCAAAGGUCGAUAUGAUAAAGUCUGAAAUCUAUAUCACAAACCUCCAGAAUAGUCUGUCAUAAUCCGAACUGGUGUAUCACUCUAUCUGGAUAGUGCUACUCAACGAUAAAGAAAUAUAGAAGUGUCACCCGACACCGUCAUAUAUGCUGCCCACUAAAACAAUAAUCUGGUAGACCAGCUAGGACCAGAGGAGUAUAUGGCUGCCAUACGAUCUUUUCAUCCACAGAAUUAAGUAUAAGUAGUAUGAACAUAGUCGUUCCAAGAAAUUAUCUAAAUAAUGUAAAUCAGUUAUGUUUAUACCUGGUCAAAUCUGAGACGAUCAAAAUGAAGCCGAUAACUCAGUAAAACAUGGGUAGAAAUCUUCGUCACCUCAAAAAUAUCUCUCCACCUACAUAAUGAAAUUAUAAUGGUACAUACAAGUGUAUUUCAAAAACUUGAAGUUUGAGGAUUAUAAUGGCACAUACAAUUAUAUACCUCAUGGCUAAACGGCCAGCUGGUAAUACAUCUCCACCUGCCAAAUCCAUAAUAGGAUUUAUAGAAGGCUGAAGUGACCGACGAGGAGCUAUAGAUGGAAACCUAUCCCAAGCCCAUACCUGGAGUAAAAUAAAAGGUCCUGCAAUAUCAUGUGCAUCUAUCCUAUUUGCCCUACAAAGCUCUCUAUACAACCAUGCUAAGCCCACACUACCCGAGUUAUAGUGUCUUGCAGCCUCAAAAUUGACAAGUAGUGGCAAAAACAUUAUAUGCAUCAUAUUAUUUGAUUUAUUUGCAUGCAAAUACUCCCCCAUCAACUAUAGAAUAUAUGUCCUAGCAUAACGCUGUAUGGCUAUAAUGUCUGCAUUCAGUGGUAGCUCGAAAAACUGUUGUCCCAACCAUGCAAGAUUCAAUCGACAACCCUUUAGUUUAUCAGUAGGUGGGACAACACCUAGCAAAUCAAAGCAUACCUGACGUCAGUCCUGACAUGUGCUACCUAUCACUAGAAGACCAUCAACUGGUACAUCCAAUUGAAUAUUGACGUCCUCCAGUGUGAUAGUGCACUCACUAGGUGGUAGAUGAAAUAUAUGAAUUUCUGGAUGCCACCGCUCUACGAAUGCGGUGAUCAAAUGCCAAUCUAGCGAGAUGAAUCCCACCCGGUUAAGCCGGUAAAAAUCUGUCUGCUGCAAAAGCGAAACUAUCCGUAUGUCCAGUGGGGUCGAUCGAGUAAAGGCUAGCUCUCACCUUCGACAUCGAAGAAAAGAAUGCUCUGUAAACAUGAAAAAAAGUUAAUUCAGAUCUUUGAAUCUUUAAAUAUAUUUAAUAUAAAUACAUACUUGUCCAUCCCAAAUGGUGGAAGACCGAUGAGAAGUUUGAGCAUAUAAGACCGUCUGAUCUACCGGCCUUGGCUCUAUGUGUACAAUACUAUAGAACAUAUUUGUAAAAAGAAAUAUUUGUUACUGAAUCAAAUAAACACAUAUUUGAUAUUCCAUCAAAGAAACACAUAUUUGAAACAAGUUAGAACAAAAGUAGUACCACAUUACAAUAGAUAAUAACACAAAAUUUUUGUCUGGUAAUAAUACAAGUCAGAAUACCAAAGUUCAUUGUCUGGUUGUCGGACAUGUCCGUCUGCUAUGUCCAACUUCGCCACAAUUUCGGCACCUAGUUCUGUUCCCGAUUUCCAUCCAAUCCAUUUCAUUCCUUAAUCUAGAAGAUCGUGGUCUUUCCUUUUGUCGCAAUCAUUCUUUCUGUGGUAUAAUGGUGAUGUUAGUUGUUUGUUGCGCUCAAUAAUCUGCUUGCGGGAUGGGUUGAAAUUGAUGGCUGUAAAUACGAUGAUACUCCUCUAGUGUGUAACACCGAUCAACAUAUCACCAAAAAUUAAUUGACACAUGUGCACAGGCAGCCAUCACAUGAGAAUACGGUAAAUGAUAACAUUGUCAUUUCUGACAUAUAUAUGUACGCUCAGAUAACCAUACUAUCUGCAAACAUAUUAACUUAUUAGAUCAAAAAACUAAUUUUUAUUUGGAAUACGUAAUAACUUAAACAUAUUUAUUCUACUAAAAUCUACCAUCACCUGAGUAUUGUUGUCUUUAUUGUUAUACGGUCCACGGAAUGCUGUUUGGACUUGAAAUACUCCACUUGCACUAUCGAACUUUGUGACAUUAUGAGAUGUUGCUUUUGAUUGGUUGGCAAUCACACAAGUUGUAGCAAAUGAAAUAAAUCUUUCACCUCUAGUUAAUGCUUCAUCUGUCUGGACACGUCGACCAUCAAAAUAUGAUACAAGUCAAAAAAAUAUCAGCUAGACCAAUGAACUUAUCGGUAGAAAGCAUGCAUUUUUCAGUACACCAUUAAAAUAUUUAGAUAAAUUAGUGGUCAUCAUUCCAAAUCUUCGACCAUCAUUAUGUGCACGAGAUCAUUUCUCCACAAGAAUGUCAUUCAACCAUUGAAUAGCUUCCGAAUUCACCUUUUCAAUCUUCAUAAAAAAUUUAUUGAACUUUCUAAGUUGUGUUUGCAUUCCGAUUAUUUUCACCAAAUCUCUGAGUCUGGAGUUCCGGAAUCGAGUAUUGAAGUUACUCGCUAUGUGGUGCAAACAAUAAACAUGAUGUGCAUCUAGAGGGUGCCAGCCAGGAUGUUUGUUCUGUAAAGCCGAUAAUAUACCUGAAUGCUGAUCUGAAAUAAGACAUAUACCAUGACAUGAUGUAAUACAAUAUCUAUGACAAGCCAAGAACCAGCCCCAUGUAUUAGUAGACUCCUCGUCCACUAUAGCAAAGGCAACUAGAAAAAUUUGAUUAUUCCCAUCAACAGCUAUUGCAAUCAUUAGCUUCUCUCGAUAUUUUUCAUACAUAAAUGUAGUAUCGAUACUGAUAACCGAUCUACAGUGUUUGAAGCCUUCAAUUGAUGGUGCAAAUGCCCAAAAAGCAUGAUCAAAUGCAGCCAAUGGAGGAUAACUGGUGGAAGUGCUGAUGAACUUCACCCAAGAGCCAGGAUUAAAUUUUUGUACAGCACACAACCAUUUUGGCAAUACAUUAUAAGAUUUAUCCCAGUCUCUAUAUAUCAAUGCCAUUGCCUUUUGCUUUGCCUCCUAUAAUUUUCUAUAACUGCACGUAUAGUUGAAUCUAUUUUUAAUAAUUGCAUCGAUACCGGCAAUAGAAAUUGUGAGCAUUUCUUUUACAAUAUCCCAAAUUUUAUUGGCUAUAAAAUUCAAAUCAAGAUCAGAAUGAUCCUGAGAAAGCAUAGCCGAAACACAUGUAUGUGGACCGAUAUACCUUGUGAUUUCAAAGUAAUCGUAUCGCUUAACAGCUCGGAGUAUCCAAUUAUAUCCUGACUCUCUAUUUUUAUAUUUUUCCACCCAAAGCUUUGGCUCUGACUCGACAACUCUAAAUUCAUAAUGUCUCUUAAUAUGAUACUGUUUUACUGCAGUUUGGAGUUCCGUCUUAUUUGUAAAAUAAAGUCCUUUUGACAAUUCGGCACCUUUUUUCCAGCUGGUGCACCGUGCCUCCAAUCCAGAAGAUAUUGAUACAUUAGCUGCCGUCCAAUCAAUUGAUCUAAAUAUUCUAAAAGGAGCUUCAAAUAUCCCUAAACUUGGGUGCUCUUCUACAGGUCCGCACUCUAUAUUAGUAAAAGUGCCAGCUUCCUGAGGAUGGAAGUCCAUCUCAUCUCCACUCUGUAUGUCAUCUUCCUUAAAUAAUCAAUUAUCUAUGUGCACCAUAUCAUCGACAGGUGUAUAAAUUGAUGAUUCUCUGAUAGUGACACUUACCACUUCAGGAUCUACUACAGGGAAUUGAUCCUCUGCAUGUUUGAAACUUUGAGUCUCUGGUACAUGGUCAGUGCCCUGAGCUAUUCUAGAUAGAUCGAUCUGCUCAGUAUCCUGAGUUGUUCUAGAUGGACUGAUCUGUUGAAUGUUCUGAGUUAUUCUUAUAUCUCUAUCAGUUACUUCAUAAUCAUACUGUUCAGCUUCAAUAGGCUGCACUUCUAAAUACAACUCUGCACUCGAUAAACAUGGGCGCGAACUAACCGUUGAAAAAAUUACUUCGAUAUCCUCAUCUCCAGUAAUCGGAAUAGGUUCAUAUUUUAAUAAUAUCGACUGUACAACAUGUGGAUUUCUAUAUAUUAUUGUGAAUCUAUUCUUGCUUUUGUCUACAUGAAAGAGUAUGCAUAAUUUAUUCUCUAACUCCUCAAAUCUAAUUUCAGAUGUUAUUCUAACUGCCCUUUGAGGACGACCAAUGUAUUCAAUGCCAUUUGGUCCAUAAAUUAUAGAAUUAUUUAUGUAGCAUAAGACCAUGAUAUUUCUUUCCAUCACUACAUGCAUAACAAAUAUAACAAUUUUAGCAUGCUCUACAUAAAAUCACCAAUUAAAUGCAAAAUAAAGCAAACCAUAGCUCAAAGUCAGCAAUUAAAAUGAAAUUUUUAAUAAUAAUUCACUUAAAUAAUAUUAUAAAAUUUUACAUACUUACAAAAUUUUUUAAUUAUCAAUUUUAAUUUUUUCACUUAUAACAAUUCAAAAAAUUAUAAUAUUAUAAAAUUUUACAUACUUUUAAAAUAUUUAUAAUUAAUAAUUUUAUUUUUCACUUAUGACAAUUCAAAAAAUUAUAAUACUAUACAAUUUUAUGUACUUAAAAAAUAUUUUAUAACUAUUAAUUUUACUUUUUUCACUUAUAAAAUUUUAAAAAAUUAUAAUAUUAUAUAAUUUUACAUACUUACAAAAUUUUUUAAUUAUAAAUUUUAGUUUUCUCACUUAUAAUAAUUCAAAAAAUUAUAAUAUUAUAAAAUUUUACAUACUUAAAAAAAUUAAAAUUAUUAAUUUUAUUUUUUUACUUAUAACAAUUCAAAAAAUUAUAAUAUUAUAAAAUUUUAUAUGCUUAAAAAAUAUUUAUAAUUACUAUUUUUUUUCACUUAUAACAAUUCAAAAAAUUAAACAAUGACAUCAAAAAANNNNNNNNNNNNNNNNNNNNACCGUAGAGGGGGGCAGCGACCGAGGGGAACGAUGGAGUGAGGUGGCGGGCAGGGGGGACCGUGGAAAGGGACGGCGGUCGGGGGGAAUGGUGGAGUGAGGUGGCAGGCAGAGGGACUGUGGAAUGGGGGAGGGGCCCAGAGAAGUCCUGGGUUGUCGGAGGGGAGGGAAGCAUCAGGGGGUAGGAGAGGGAGGGUCCGACGGUCAUGAUCCGAGCUGACAGCUCUAUUGGAGAGAGGGGACCACGAUCGGAGGGCAGGGAGGUGGGGACCGACGUUGGGGCCAGGGAAAAAAAAAUUUAGGGACGAGAACAUAGGGCAAGGAGGUGGGAAUAGGAACAUGACCCCAUGUCAUGAUUUUAAAAAAAAAAUUGAAUUCAUGCAUUGAAGACACGAAAUCAAACUUCAAUUUUCAUGUCUCAACGCCACAUGGAGCAUCAAAAUAUAUAUAUGUAGACCGCGUAGCCAAUAAAUUCAUGAGUUCAACCCACGAAUUAUCCAUAUGUAUGCAUAUUUCGUGGGUUGAACCCAAGAAUUUAUUUGACGCGGCCCACCAACGGUCGUUUUGUAAAAUCUUUUUCAACCGCCAUAUUUUUAAAAUUUUUUAUUAAACAUAUAUUAUUUCAAAAAAAAUCCAAUUUUGCAGUAUCAGGUGGUUCGUUAUGCAACAAAACUUUUUAAUUCCAUGAUAACAUGCUCCACUUAAUGCCCGACGGUCAUGGGGAUGCGUCUCCUUAAUCAACUUUAAAGGAUGAAACCAUAUCAAAUAACCUUCACAUUAAUCAUGGUUUCAUGACUGGGACGUAAACUGGUCUCACCCCGACUUUGACAGGCACAUGAGAAACAUAACUGUAGAGCAAAGCAAAUCUAGUUGUUUGGUAGUAGGUUUUACUGAACUGGCUUCCAACAGAAUCCAAAAUGAGCAAGUUCGGUUAAAAUACCUGCUUGAUUGUUUGAAUGAAACCUACCGGAGAAAAUACGAGCAAAUACAUGAGUUCUAUGAAAACCUUGCCUUUGUUUUUUUUUACCAAAAAACCCUUCAUUUUUUAUGAAAAAUAUGCUUUACAGAGUAAGAUUUUAUAGUUAUCAUUUUUCAAACAGGUAAAUGUUUUGACGGUGGCAUCCAACUUGAGAGAGCAAAUUAAAUGAGCGAAACCUCGGCAAGCCAUUACAAGUACCUUCUCAACAAAAGAUAAUCUUGCAAUAAAACGAACACCUUUGUAGGCCAAAUUUCAAACAGUACUUAUAUGGAUUGUAGGAACUAUAGACAUAAUAGCCAGGAAACCACAAAAUUAGAGAUAACAUGGAGACAGAGAAGUGCAGGACAGUGCAGUCAAGGCAUACCAGGGUUCUCGAGCUUGGGUGCAAAGCACAGGUUUACCAGCUCGGCCUUGCUCGAUAUUUUCUGCACCAAGUAAUAAAUGGAUCUCCACAAAGUAACUGCCGAUACAAAAAUAGCAAUAAUCUUUGAACAUAAGUUACAAAAUAAUAAAUAUAUACCAUUCUUAACACACCAUUUAAUUAAAAGGUUGCCUCUAUAUACAGGCAGAAGCAAAAUUCAGUGGUCACUUCCAAUCAAGCAUGUCAAGAAGCCACAAUACUUCAUGCUCUUUGCUUGCAGCAUCACAGAAGUCUAUCUCAAUGCCAAACACAUCAAUGGCAUUCUCAUUACCAUUGGCCACAAACAGCAAGGAUACCCAAGCUCUAAUUCCAGAUAUGAAUGGAUGUCCGGGUGAAAAAUUGAGAUAGGCAUAGGCAAGUGCUCUGAAAGCACUGCCAUCAACAUAAUCAAAGACAGAAUCUCUUAUGAUGCAUGCAAUCUGAUUGGUAUCCUUGCGACCCACAAGAACCGACACAGUGAUGGUACUCCCCAAAGUAAUAGUGAACCUUGGCUCCGCUUGCACUACCAUCUUGUAAUCAGGGCCGUUGAGGUGCACCUUGAGGAUAUCAGAUAUGCCAGGAGGUGGGUUCCUUAUUCCUGUCCGGAGCAUAGAGCCUGAGAUGGCUUCAGAGAAGAUCAGCUUCUGUUCAGACCAAAGGUCGAUGUAGAAUUCUAAAUCAUUGAAGGAUAACCUUGGUGGGAGAAGAGGCUGGGGGCGCUGGGGUCUGGAGAAGGUUUUGAAAAGCUUGUAGUAGCCAAGGGCAGGAAGAGGUCUUCUGCAGAUAGAAGGCCAUCUCUUGGCACAAGCGCACUUCCAAAAGUAGUCCUCCUUAGCAAUAUCUCUCCACCGACAGCAUACCAGCAUGCACGAGGCCAGGUCUUUACCAUCAAGUAGAGGAAAGACAGCCUUUAAAACUUCACCAUGCAACCAAUCUGUGGCCAUUCUGGACUGCUUAAAGACAAUUGAGCAGAAAAGAAUCCAAAAGUCACAAUAAAUCCAGAGGGACGUCAAAGGUUUCCUAACUUUAUGAUUGUGGAACUGAAUAGGCAAUGCAGGAUUAAAAAUUUCCCUGCAAAGUAAACAUGCUCUAUUUAUAAAUACUACAAUGCAAGCAAUUUUUCCCUUGAGUAUCAAUGGUAUGAAUUCGAUUUCAAGUGGCUUACAGAUUCAGAUCAACAUAGUCAUUCAACCAGGAUGAAAAAAAGGCACUCGUUCAUUCAAGCAGGACGAAAAAGAAGGAAGAAAUUUCUGUGUAUGUAUUAUGGCAAGGCAAUUAAUUGAAACUGAUAUUGUAAAUGCAGAAUUAAUAUAUGCUUGGAAUGGUUCAGACAAAUUAAUCAUGUGCAGUGAAGUUUGGAGAUGAUCUAACUAGGAGAAUAGGCGCCAGUGGAAUCAAGGGUAUGUUAAUCAGAUUGGUAGAAUCGAGGAAACCAAGUGAAAGAUAUGUUACAUAGAAUCAGUAUAGAUCAGUGCCAUUGAGACCAUAUUGGAAUGAAAUAGCAUACAGCAAAUGGAAGGAUGAUUUUUUAUCAUAGUCAUGGUCUGGACAAGAUACCCACAUAGGAGUACUAACUGAAAACAAUAAAGCAGGCAAGACACAUGAAACCCGCAGAUGUACCUAGAUAUUCUGAACAUAAUGCAUAUGUCCAAAAGGUCAACAACUAACGAAUAUUUCAAACAAAGUCUUCUAGCUCAGCAUCUUCGUUCAUGUCUAAAGCUACCUCAAUUCAUUGGUUGCAACAAUCAAAUCACCCAUAUAGUUGACAGCUUGAUUGAGAAAAGACAGUACAGUUUUGCUGUCUAAUCAUUUCAGUCGUAAGAUGCAGCACCAAAAAAAAACAAGACCGACCUAUCACCCAUUAUUCACUAAUUAGAUCACCACGAUAGAACCAAAUGUACAAAUAGUAGAAAUUAGACAUAGAGUCUGAUGUGGAGGUAUGAUGCAUUACUCAAAGUAAUAUUCCAGAUGUUGGUGCAAAAUGUUAAUUCUUGUUUGUACAGAAGAAAAUGAAGGAUAUAAGAAGAAUUUCAACUUGGAGAAAAUGAAGCUAGGCCACUUACACUCAACUGAAUCAAUUUAUAUUAAAUUCCAAGAUCGUAAGUCCAUAUAAUACUUGGCUGCAUCAUUGAAACUACACUGGAAAAUAAAAUAUGAGAAUUGGUCAGCAACUUAGCUAUAGCAAUGACUCGAUAAUAAGUACAUAAUAGAAAAUGAAGUAUUCACACUUGGAAGUGAAAAAAAAAUCUCAAACAGCACUAAAUUUAUAUCUCACUAAAACAGAUGAGAGUACUAGAAAUGAGUUAUAAGUUAAGGCAUGCUUUUCAGCAUCAAAUCCCAAAAACUGAAAUACUUUGGGGUCAUGAUUUUCUGAAAAAAGGGCGGCCCAUUAUGGGGGUCUAAGGAGGGUUGGAUGUACGUAGCCUUACCCUCAUAUGCAGAGAUGCUAUUACUGUUAAAAGACCUUCGACCUCUAGGUCAUAUUGGAGGUCAGAUGUCUGAAGGGUCAUGACUUUCUACUAUUUUAAAUUAUAACAGUAUAUUAGGCAACAAAGGUUUGGGAUCUGGACGGUUACUAAAAGCUGCAAUAUCCACUUCAGUUGUGACAUAUAUUUUAGCUGGGAUUUCUUAAUAAUAAGUGGAAGUCAUGGUACAAAAUGACUGCAGAAAUGGCAGUAAUUAAGUUGCCACAUUCUGUAAAGCAUAAAAACAUAAUCCCCCAGCUGGUUCACCUCAUGACAGCCUUAUCUAUGAGCAAACUUUCAAGGAUGUGCAAGAUCUAAAAACAAAUACAUAAUGAUUAAUAUUCUAAGCACCAAGGAUUAAUAGGCAACAAUAUUGUCAAAGUUCUCAGAUGCAGCUAUCUCAAAUAGCUACAACAUUGCUAAGAACUUCAUUCUCAAGGCUGCCUUACCCAGCUUCGAAUGUAACAAGAAAUAUUUGCCCCAAAAGGCACUAGAGUUGACACCAGAUGGCACAGAAACUUUACCAAUCAGUAGUCCAGCUAGCACUAGUUUUGUUGUCUGUGACCAACACCAGUAAAUUGGUUUUACAUUUGCAUCUCAUCCCAUUCUUUCAAUUAUUUCCUACCAUCAUUAUACUUUAUCCUUAGUUUGCUAUGGUGUCCCAGACAAGAAAAUUUUUAAUCAAUUAAAAGAAUGGAAAUUGAUUUGGAUUAAGAAAAAGUCAAAAAGACAAGCAAAGGUUUCUUCAUGCAUUUGACAAAGUUGACUCACAAUGUCCAUAUUAGAAUUUUAUAACAGUAAAAUCCUUCAUAUUGAAGGAAUUGGUGUCUACAGAGGUGGCAAGAGCAUAUGCCUACGCAUGUCUCAACACUAGCAUGCCUAUAAUACAUCAAGAGUGCUGAUAAAGUCAUAUGAAAUUAAUGGCUGAUGCAUUCAUCAGUGCAUUGACAAUACUGAAUCAACAUGAAUCAACUAUUUCCAGCUAACAGUCUAUCUGGAUUGAAUGGAAUUGUAUCCAAUAACUAUGUUCAUGACAUUGUGUCCUACUGUACAGACUACAGAGGAACAUCACCGUGUGCUCCUUGACCCCAGCAUUCAGCAUCCCUAGAGGACACCUCAGAUGUAAUAUGAAAUGUAGCUUAAAGAAGAGUGCCUUCCUCAUCCACCUCAUUUUGAUGCAUCCAGCACCCAUACUAGUGUAGCCUAGUCAUGUUGCUUUGCCUCCAUCUCCCUAACGACCACUAGUUCCUGGGUAAUCCGAGAGCAACUCCUAUACCACACAAGUGCAGUAUACACAGCAAUCAUAACAAAUAUUGCUAUUGUUUCUGCUUCCCAGUCCAAAAAGUCGUAAUCAUAGACCCCAUUCUUACAUGGAACCAAGCAUGAAUAACUUGCAGUAAACAGACUGAAAAAGAAAUACGUAAAUUGGAAUGCUGGAGGUUGUUGAAGAGAGUUGAAGGACUACUAGAAAUGACUGGAGUGCUAAAAACUCAUUGAGUGGAUGAACCAAGGGCUGAAAUAGAAGAACAGAAUGUCAGAGCAUAUAUUUAUAACCAAGAGAUACAAAUGUGAAAACCUUGAAUUGUCUGAUAUCUAAGAGACCAUAUAUGUCCACCCACAGAUUUUUUUUUUUUUUUAAUAACUGAAAGUUAUAACUGAAGAUCAGUUUAUGUGACUAUGGAUUUCCAUUUUCCAGUGUUCUAAACUGAUCACCAAUAAUGAUUAGAAAUGAUGCAAAUAAGGAAAUUAAGUAACAAUAAAUAUACAUGUUUCUUGGGAAAGCUCACUUUUCUUCCCACAGACUACCCUAGAAUACGACGUGGCACAUUAAAAUUCGAGAGGCACCAAACCAUUCAAACACAUCAAAGACAUUAAAUCUUAGCAUUAACACCUCACAUAUAUUGAAACCUUUCGUUCCCUUGACUCCAUUGGUGCUAAGGGGAUACGGAUACGCGCAUAAAAACAGAUCACAACUUUUAACUACCGACAAAAGCUUAAAAAUCAUUCAUCCAAGUUAGCAUCAGAAUUCAGAACAAACCUUCUCGAUGCCGUAGUUUAAUAUUGGAAAACAUUGCCAUAAAAUUCAAAAGCACAAAAUCCAAGUCCCUAAAUCCUUAAGCUUCAUAAACUUACAAAGGAUGAUAAGCAACUAAGCACACGUAAAAAACUUCCUCUUCUAAUUUCAGCCAUCGAGCAAGAGAGACGCAUUAACCUCAAAGAUGUCAAAAAAAACGCCAUAUCCGAUAACCAAUGUCUAGUCAUAACCUACACCUCAAAACCUCACCCAGAUCACAACUUUAGCUAUCAAAAAGCAUUUUAUAGCGAACCAUGCAGAAACGCCAAUAACUCAAAUGCAUAAAUAUAUUUAGGUAUUCACAUAAAAGAGCACACUGCCUGAAAAUCCCCCCCCCCCCCCCCGAAACCUGAGAGCAUUGAGGAAUAUCAAUCAAUCACAACAAUUCAGUAACAAUUCAGCAAACAAUAGCCAUAUUAAUUUCGAAAUUAACAAAACAACUACCAUUUGCUGGAUUUUCAGCAGUCAGAGAUCAUACAAUGAUCGUUAUCGGUUAGGGUUAGGGUUAGAGAUGAAGGGUUCGGGAGAAGACCGAGAAGAGGAGGUGGAAGGGCCCUCGUCGGAGAAACAAAGCCAGAAAAAGAAGGGGCGGGGGAGGGGGUAGACGCAUACGAUCGGAGCACGGAGAUGAGAUCGGAGGCGCCGGCUAGCCGACUGAGAUCGCAUGGGCGAGUGAGAGAACGGUUCGCCAGAGGGAUGAUCGGAGCUCCUUCGCCGGCAACCUGACCGCCGGAGCACAGUACACGUUCUUGAGGAAGGAGAAGAAUGGGAGAGCGACUUGAGGAAGGAGAAGAAUGGGAGAGCGAAGGGAAGGAGCGGCGGGGCGGUGGAUGAGGCCGAGAGGUCAGAGAAGCCGGGGUGAAAUUUCCUAAGGAUGACUUGACCGAAUGUGGCACCUGAAAGGGGCACCGACGCGGUUAAAAACUGGCUCCGGAUCAAACAUGGCACGAGGCAUAUGUAAAUCUGCGGGUUUACCCUAUUUGUUUGUUUUUAACUGAAGCCAGCUAAUAAAAUUCCAAGCUGUCCCAAGUUUCCAAUAUGACAAUAGCACAAUGUUAAGAUGUCGCUGGAUAUCUCAUCCGAUCCUAGGAAACCUUCGGUACAAAGGUGGAGCCAUCAGUACUAGGCUUCACAUAAUCAUGGUGUGGAGAAUGACAAAUAACCCGCGGAGAAGGAUUCCUCUGUGUGGGACAAACUCGUGACACACUAGCACAGAAUGUUGAAACACUAGCAUUGCGAUUUUUCCACGGCUGCCAUAAGAUUGAAGCAAAAAGAGACUCCCCCUCCACCCCAGAGGAAGAAAAAGGAUACCGUUCCAGCCAAGUUCCAUUCAAUAUUUGAAUUGUUCUCUAACAAGCCUUGCAUGCUUACAGGUGAAAAAUAGAUGUUCUAUAAUCUGAAAAUCUUCCUGCGGGUAGAUGUUCUUUCCUUUGAAAAUCUUCCCACAUAUCCGGACUAAAGCAUUACGGUGCCAGGUAUAUUGAAUAACAAAGUCAUUUGCUUUCAGAUCAGGCGUGUAAGCUUCAAACAAUCCACAUUCUGCGAUUAUUUGGUGUUCGUUGAUGCUGACUUACGAAAAUGUAGUCUUCGUUACAAAGUAGCAUAUAUCCUUUUUUUUCUUUUCCUUUCUUUUAGUAGAAAGUAGCAUGUCUUUGAACAUGUCAUCGAACCGUGGCCAGAAGGGCCCUAACAUAAUCACCGCAUCGUUGCUAAACCUUACCCAUUAACUCACUAACCUACGCAUCAUAUUUACAUGCGACCAUCCGGUGGUACCAACAAAGCAUUGUGAUAAGCAUGGUCUCCCCCAAGAAUAGAAUUCCCAGACCGGCAGGGAAAACCCCCUCAAGAAUCACUCUGUAAGUAGAGGUAUUUGUUUGCACUGCAGCUUGUAAUAACUACACCAACACCUUCCAAUGUUUCUCCAUCAUUUUGUUUCAUGUUCAUUUCUUUCCCGUAUCUAUUAUGCUUCCCGGCCUGCAGGUCAGUAUUACUCAGGUUUCACUUGCAUAUAAAUCAAAAGAAAAAUCUAACACACAAGAAAAUUUCACCUGUUACUUAGGUUGCAGUUACCAAACAAUAACAGCAAUCUGUAACUGCUUGUCUUCCCAACGUAAAUAAUCUUCCACCAUCUGGAAACAAUUCUGGAACAGAAACUGAAUUUGAACAAACAUUACUCACACAUGGUGCAACAAUGCCUUCAUGGCAGUGCACCAUGUUAAUAUGGCAGGCUAAACUCUAUAAAAGAUACGCAUCAAGGAUGAUUGAACAUCCAGAACAGCUUUAGAAGAAAAUAGUUAUAUUUAUACAAUGAUCCAUUGAGAAUAAAGCGCACUAUUGAUUAGCUUACAAAAAAUGGAAACAACACAGGCAUGCUUUCACGAUGAACUGAUUAAAUAUCAAAGCUAGCCUCAAUCAGAUAUACUUCCUAUCCCAGACAUGUGUCUGUUGAAUUCAGAUUUCGUGACUCCCCACUUCUGGUUCAUGGCUACAGGUAUAAAAUCAAUCCCCAUUCUCUCUCACCACCACCACCACAAAAAAAAUAAUAACAAUAAUAACUGCAUGAACAAAGAAAGUAUUCUGAACAUGCCUUGACUUAAUUUUCAAACAUGUAUAUCUCUGAUGCAGUAAAUGUUGAGCUCUGUACCAAGGAGAAUGCACUCCCAAGAGUUCAUCCUACACGAAAAGAAUGAAAUCAAUUAGAAACAAAAGCAUGAAAACAUUUUACAAGCAUCGAUAUCAAGUGCAGGUUGCCAGUGCACUUGACCUUCCAUGUUGGUUCAUUCAUUUAUCGCUGAGAAUUAGACCAAAAGGUUUCUACUCAUCCUCCAGUGCACAGUGCAAAAACUCCAAUUGGUGCAUCAUUCAGCAAAUCACAAAUAAAGCAGUUCAAAAGAGAAGCCAACAAAAAACAUUGCAAGCCCCACAUAUAUGAAUUUUAUGAGAUUUAGAAACUUAAGCAGGGUUGCUUGGGCAUGCGGCAUGCCCCUUCCUACUGUAUUUGUACAGGUAAGGACGACUGUGAAGAUAUGGGCAAUAAGGCCAUUCAAAGAAAAACAAAAACUGCAGCCACAAUAUAAAGAUGAGCAGAAUCAAAAAAAGGAACUUCAACACAAAAGUUGGAAACAAAAAAAGCUACACUUGCAAGGAAACCACUGCACAGUGAAGGAAAGACUAGAGAGAUGACAGCGGCCAAUCAUCAAAAUGUAACUCAGCUUGUCAUAUAUUCUUAGAUAAAAUGCCUCAGACUAUCAUGUUUGCUCAAAAACAAUAAGACUAUCAGACCACUCAAAGCUUAAAUUUAUAUAUUUUACCGAAGGAGGGACUUGAGCCUUCUCCACCCUAAUUCUUUUUUUUAAAAAAAAAAAAAUUUGUUCGAAGAGAAAUAUUCCCAAUGCAUGUUAGCAUAAAUACUAGAAGGAGCAAGGUUUUAAGUUUCAGUCUAAAUGGUUCAGUUUCAGCUGAAACCUACCCAAAAUUGACUGAAAUAUUUGGUUUUGCUCAGUUUCAGCUGGUUUUGGUUGGUUUCUCUCGUUUCACCUAGAUUUGCUGAUUUCGACCAAAAUUGAUCAAAACUGCUUUUCCUUGAAAAAAGAUGUUAAAUGUCUUUUAAAAAAAAAAAAACAGCAAUAAAGGUUUCUUGAAAGCUUAACACCAUUAAAUAGACUGGCUUAUUAUAUAAAUUAUGUGCGCCUGUUUCUAAGUGGGAAAAAGAGAACUUUUAGGAUCAAACAUGUUGGCAUUAGAGCAUCAAUGGUAAUGAUCUAGCCAUGUUUAGUUUGUUGGUAAUGCACAUUGAACAAAUAUGAUCUAGUAAAUUUGCAUACACAAAAGGUAUAAAGCCAUUAAAAAAUGGAAAGAGAACAUAUUUACAUGAUGAUCAACUAGAUUAAACUUUAAGCAAUAAUCCCCUGUGCAUGAGCCCAGUUAAGUUUUCACAUGUGGAAGCUACCAUUGCAAAACAAUUAUGUCCAGUCCAAGAGACAAUAGUAAGAGAGGUUCUCUAGAUAUUGAAGAUGCUAGAGCAAAAUGGAUGCAAAGUGAUGACUAAAAUAUACCAAGGCUUACUCAAUAUAUCAAGUGUCUUAUACAUCAAAGGACAGUUGACAAUAUAUAAAAGACUGAAAGGAAAAGAUUGGAUUUUGAUAAUAAAGUAAUUAUAUCAAAUAAAAAAAAUGAUGUAGAUAACCUAUUUUCUCUUUUGUUCUAUUUAUUGAUUUUAUUUUGAUUCUUUUGACCGAAACCAAGACCCCAUGCUAGGGACCAAACUGGAAGUGAAAUGGGGUUCAAAACUUGGAAAAUAACCAUGUCAAUAGCUUAAUUAUAUCUUUCUUCCUUUAAGUAAUCUUACCUUUUUUCCAAUCUCUACUUACUAAAAUUGCUCAAUUUCAAUAAUUUUCUACAAUCCUUCAUUUCUAAAUAUUCAUUUACAUCCUGAUAUACUACGUUUUCUAAAUUCACUGGGUACAUUCUUUGACCGACAAACAAACAGCAACCUUAUAUUCGAAAAGCCACGAUCAUAUCAAUGCCUUUAUCGCUAGGUUUUUGAUGAUGUCCUAUUGCAUAUUUACUUCAUACAUCAAUGGAUCUUUAUGUGCCCCUGCUAUGCUCAUUUUAGUACAUGUAAAAAUACUAUUUAUGAGCUAUCCUCCAAUUCUUUGUUUUGCUAAAAUCCAAAAUGCCCAUGCACUAAACCCAUUGUUGAUUGCAGCCAGACAAGCGACAAUGAUCUCUGUUGGACAUAUGUUCCCCAAAAAAAACUCUAAUGAAAAAAAAAAAUAAACUAGUAAAAUUCCUAUUCCACCAAAGGCAAUGAUGCACAAAAAGUAAUAUUUUUAGAACAUCAAUGAAACUAUCCCAACCACCCGGUUCAGGACGUACCGAGCCACACCGACGGUAAACUGAUAUGGUUCUGGUCCUCACAUCAAGAAACUGAUGAUGGAGGGGGAGAGAGAUAAGGAAAGAGAGAUAGAGAUGAGGAAAGGGAGGGAGAGGUAGAGUGGUGGACGGCCUGCAAAGGUCGAUAGAGGGCCACAGAGGGCUUUUGUACUUUGGAAAAAUUAAGUGAGAUCGGCAAGCGAGUUGCCCAGUUCACUUAAAUUCUUCCAAAUAAAAAAGGGGCCCCUAUGGGGUUCCUGUUUCAAAUGAAAUAGGGGUACUAAAGGUUGGAGCCCUUCCUUUGCCCCUCCAUGCCCCUCUUCAGCCCUUUGCAGUCUCUGCAGGCUAUCCUUCACCCUCCCUCCCUCCCUCUCUAUCUCUCUCUCUCUCCCGUUCUCCCUCUCCCUCUCCCUCAUGCUUUUUGUAGUGUUGGUAUGCACUCGACACGAAACGGCACGAAAGCAUAUCGAACCAUGCCAUUGGGCAACCAAUAUAGGCCCCAAUACCGGCACACCGAUCCUUGAUUUUUUACGACCAUGGUUUGUCGUCUAUUGAGAGAGAAAUAUGCCCGGCUCCCCUACCUUAUUGUCAAUAUAUGAAUUGCAUCAACCCCUUUUGCAAAAAAUGAAACAAUUCAAGAGUGAACAUAUUAUUUACUAUUUAUUUCAUCACUAUUUGUCAUAUCAAAAUAGGCUGAGGCACUUAUAGCAAGGAAUUAGAUGAGGUGAGGAUUUUAGGCCAUAGAAAUUAAAAUGUGAAAUCCUCCAAUUCCAGCUACUCAAGGCUAGAAUACAAGAUUUCUGCAUUAGUUUGGGCUCGAGACUUAUUAUACUAAAAAAGGAAAACUAGCAUGGGCUCAAUCUUCUCUCAUGGGGGUAAUCUCUUCCCUUAAUUUUAGUUUAUUUAAUACGAAAUUAAUUGGAUGGAUGUUGUCUCUUGUUUGAAUUUAAUAGAAAACAAAGUGAGAGAGGCGAAGCAUCUCAAGGUUUUGCUCAUACAUGCCCAAGAUAUCGACUACAAAUGGCAAUUUCUAACUUAGACAUGCCAACUUGCGUGAACCUCCUCAAUAUAAACAAUUGUGGGCUUUUACAGUCAGGUAGUUAGAACAAGCCAAAACAAAUCCAAUUUUAAAUAGGUAUCGAUCAGUUUAACCUUACAUAUGAUAGGUCAUAUGGAUUGGACAAGCCCUAAAACCUUAGACCCAAGCCCCAAAAAAUGUGGUGAUAAUUCAAUGGAUCAAUGAUCAACAAGUCCCCCACUCAACACCCCCGCCGCCCCCCACCANNNNNNNNNNNNNNNNNNNNCCCCCCCCACACACACAACAAAAAAAAAAACGAAGAAGAAGAAACAAUAAAAGCUUGGUUUGGGUGAUAGGAAGGCCAUGCAGCUAGCAGACAAGGAAAGAAUACAAGAUCUAAAAAGGAAAAUAGAGUGGAUAUCCAUGAUUUAUUGGACUUGCUUUUUCACCUUAACUUCCUCUCUCCCACUUUGUUUGGAGAGCUGACCCUAAAUUCCCUCUUUUAGCCCUAUCUUAUUUUUUAAUUUAAAGUGAAUGAUUAGCAAGCAAAGCCUUUACUGGGUUUGUAGCUUGAAUAUAGGUUUAUAUAAAAUACAUAAAAUGAAUAUCCUAGUAACAAGAUUCACCAUUUUUUUUUUUUUGAAAAUUCAUGAAUUAUUCAUGUUCAGCAUCGCUGACAAAUUAUUAUGUGAAGAACUUGUCCAUUCAUGAACAUUUCAUAUAUACAUUGUUAAAUUCAUCAAAUGCAUGUGUAGUUCAUGUAGUAUUAAAUAGUUCAUGCAUUCUGGAGUGGAAAAAUGGUCCACAGCCAUGCUUCAAACUUCGAAAUGCUAAGGCAGGCCAUGGGCAUAAAGGACCAAAAUGGUAGCAUUGCAGUGUCAGGACUUGGGAUUCGAGGAUUCAUUUGAUAUUAGAAUUUUGUUUUUAUCAAAAAGUAAAUACAAAAUCAAACCUUUCGCAUUGUCCCUUAUCUUCGAGCCCUCUUCUGCUUCAAACUUCUUCUAGUUGUUUGCUUCUUCUCAUCCUUUCAUUUCCCUCCUACUAUUCUCUCACUCUCUAAAACAUACUUCCCCCCUCAAUUUUUCUUCCUCUUUAGUUCCCCUCUCUCUUCCAAACUUCUUGCAUUUUUUUUUUCAAAUUUAACAGAUUUUUUCCAAACACAAUUUAUUAACCUUGUCAAGUUAUUCCUGAAUGCAAAACUUGUGACUAUGCUAGAGAUGGUUUAAUUCUUUUCAAUGUGAUUACAAAUGGAGCAGGUAUGGGUUGAGGGUCUUUUGACCUACCUCAAUUUGACCGUUCUAUCGCAUCAUAGAAUUCACUCACCACCUACCCCUACCCCCUUGUAUCCUUUCUUCAUAUUCCUCCCUCUAUUUGUGGGCACUCUCAUCUUUAAUACAUACAACCCUUCAAGCAGAGAAAUAAAGAAGUGCUAGGAGUGAAAGGGUGGACAUGUUUACAUACAUAGUAGGAAAUGAUUUGUGAACAACCAGGAGAUCACAACCAUCCCUUUGGGGAAGCUACUAGGUCGGGUCUGGAUACCUCUGAACCAACUUGAGCCCCCUUGGGAGAAUGCAGACAGUGUCUCUACAUUUUAACUCAAAUCCUACCCAUCCAAGAAUUGGUCAAAUAUUGAGUUCAAGUGUAGCCGUCUCAGAAAGAUAGGGAUCAGUUCAACUAAGGAUUGAGUCCAGGUUCAGUUGCAUUGGGCACAUAUUGGAACCGGGGCUAAGUCUAGAUUGAAUUUGGUAAAGAUUGGGUUGAAGUUCAGAUUGCAAGCAGACAGCAUCAUCUUGAAGGCUUAAUUCCCUUCAUGCUCUCAAAAUUACACCACUGCAAGUGGAUCCUUGUCAUCCAUCCAGAAUAAUGGGAUACGCUAGUUCUUUAAAUCAUAAAUCCUAGGAACUGUCUCUCCUUUAAUAAUUUGCACCAUGAUACAUAUUGACCAAAGACUUUUAUCUUCAUGACAGGUCAUUCAGAAAGCCCCCUCAUGUAUAGAAGUUGAAUCUAGAAUAACAAAGUAAUAAUCAUAACUAUAUCAAAUAAGUAAGCAUUUUCUAUUGAUGAUGCUGAUUCCCCCUCUAUUAAAGAUGUUAAUAGUUUGGAUCCUGCCACAUAUGAUUAUCCAAAGAAGCCCUAUAUCCAAUAUGGAACAAUUGGGUUCCAAUUGCUAUGUUGCCAGCGGCAUAAGGUCCCUCUUUAUGUUAGACUCCAUAGAAAGAAAAAUAAUCAUAGCUUCAAAAUAGACAUCAAAAGAAAAUGUUCCACUCUUGACUAAUUUGAUUUUGAAUUCUGAAACUAUAACAAGACACCAAAAUGAUCAUGUACUUUUUUGGCAACACCCAGCCAGCUCCCAUAGAGCCAGUGUCGUCUAAAUUCAAGGCUUCAACAAAGUCAUUCGAGUUCUAUCUGAAGCAUCGAUAGCAUGACUAAAGUUCAAUAAGAUAUGUGGUGAUAAUAAUGUCUUGAAGAGUGCUCUUAUGUUAUCAAACACAACUUCUUGUCAUUUACCUAUGGGCUUAACUUAAACCAAAACAAAAGGCCUUCAUCCAUCAAUCUUUUCUGCUCUCAAGAGAAGCAUGCAACUAACUUAUGUUAGCUUUAAGCAGUAACUAAAAGGUCAAAGAUUAAUUAUUUUUAGUCAUAGUCAAUAAAAUCAUAAUUUACACCACUGACCCUAGAUACAUCUCAUCGGGAGGGCUUUGGGGUAUUUAUGAUGGGGUUCAAGAUGCUCUAAAAUGAAAUCAGGUGAACAAAUUUCAGUCCUUUCUCUUAUGGAAUUUUAUAAACCAAAAGUGAUUGGUUGCGCUCAACAUGACUCUCCCAUCAGUUUCUGCCUUUUCCUUCAACAUUUUGAAUACUAGUUCCUCUAUAUCAUUCAUUUUCUUCUUCCUAGGUCAAAGAAGUCCUGCAUCAAAUCUGAGAACUAAAUCUUAUGAUUAACAUUUCAUUUUGCACAGAAACAAAUACAGAUUAAUCUGAAUCUUAUGAUUUAGAUCAAGAAUCAAAUGAGCUCCUUUAAUCUUCAUAUUAAAUUAAAACUUACCUUAUCCUUACAAACCCUCAGUUUGUUUCCUAGUACCAGACCUUAACCUUUAUAAUCAACUAUGCUCUAAACAUAAACUGGAACAUGCAAUUGGAGAUUAUUCCAAACAUUUAUAGAUCCUAAAAUUGUAUACCUGUAACCGAUCUUACCAUCUGAUGUAAUCAUACCAACCGAGAGACAAUUAAAUAGGUGACAAAUAAAAAAAAAAAUAGCUGCAAGGAAAGAAGAGGAAAAAGGAGAAAAGAAUAGAGCAAGAGGGAAAGAAGGUGAACACCAAGAUUAAACAAACCAAUAUAAGCCUUUUAGUCAAAUUUUACACAUGAUCGGUUGUUGACAUGUAUAAACAAUAGAUAGAUCAAAAAAACUAAUUGAAAAUAAAAAGAAAAGAGGACAGUUAUGCUCGCAAAUAUAGCAUAAAUUCAGACAUGGAAUGCAGAAUUUCUUUAAGAGAAAAAAAACAUGAUGAUUGACGAGUAAGAGAGGCAGGACAAGCAAAAGAAAAAAAAAAGGAGCGAAGCAUGUCAAGUGCAGCAAAAGACAUUUAACUUCUUAAAACCAUCAAAAGACAAUUCCAGCUAUAAUAUAAAUUCAGACAUGGAUGCAGAAUUUCUUUUAAGAAAAAAGUAUGAUGAUUGACGAGUAGGAGGAGAAGAAAAGAGAAAAGGAGUACAUGGGAAAAAACACAUAAAAUGCAGCUAAAAACAUUCAACUUCUUACAUCCAUCAAAAAAAAUAAAAAGUCCAACUGGUCCAGCCCCAUUUCCUUUCCUUUUGAACAACUUAAAUCUUAUUCUGAAAACCCAAAAAAUCUCAUAACAGGUCACUUAACCUAGCAACAUCCAAUCAUUCCAAAGUCUAAAAACAAAGCAAAUCUAACAUCACAAAAAAAUAAAUGAAAUCACAUCCCUCAAACCACAACAUAUGCAUCUGAUCUCAAUUGAAAGAUCCAAAUUCUGAUUUCACUUUAAUGUGCUAUUGCAUCCAACCAGCUUCUCUAUGCACCUUUCACAUAUGGGACAUCCUUCGUUGAGCACUAUCUCAGCUCAACCAGCAGGUGCUGCACCUCAAUUAUGUUUCAAUACUACUAUUACAUUUCGGCUAUGUUCCUCUCUCCCUAAUUAAUCAAUCUAUUAUAUGCUGUGUAGGUGAUCCACAUUCAAAUUCCACAUUCUUGGUGCAUUAUCUAACCUUCAAAGUUUGCAUGCAAGUGUUCAUGAGGGUGGAUGGUGGCAUUCAUGGGAUCAGCAACAUUGUAGCGACAAAAUGCAGCACCACAGACUAUCUAAUGAUACUCAUUCAUAACGUGUUCAUAGAAAGAAACAUAGUAUAAAGUGGACCUGAGGUGGCCUAAAACAACCACCCACCAUUUUUAUAAAGACAUCCUCAAAGACCACAUCACCUUUCCUCAAAAGAAAAAUAUAUCUCUUCUUUCUGUCUCCUUAAACCAAUUUUCUUUCUUUAUUUCCAAACUGGAUCGCGAGUAGCAGGAAUAGAAAAGGCAAAAUAUUGCAAAAUAUUCUAGGUCACUAAGGAUAUCAAUGUGGCUAGUUUAAGUCAUACAACUGCAUAUCAGAAGCAUUCUAAACCAGCAUGAACAAUUACCUCUAAAAGGCAUCUAAUCUAAUCCAAGCAAAUGCCACAAGCAUGUCAAAAGUACCUGGACAAAAGAAACAUUUAUUGAAAAUUUUACUUAAUUAAUCUAAAAUUAAACUGAUUAGGAAGAAAAGAACAAACACUGCUACCAAACACAGUCGCUAAUAGCAUAGUGCACAAAAGACAAGGGCUGACUAAUGAAUCAUAAGACACUUAGCUAACCAGCAUUUAGCCAGGUUCAAAAUAUUGCAACCAGCAACAAGGCAAUGUACUAUCCAAAAAACCAUUUAAAUCCGAACCGAGUUUGACAUCUUACAUUAAAGUUUGCUAACCUGAAGUAGCAAUGCAAUUUGGAACCGACUUCUUACCUCACCCUUGGACCUUCAAAUUGGGCAGGGGAUCUACUAGAGAACCUUAAUCGUGUAUAUUAAAAUAGCUGGAUAACAUUUCCUUUAACAAGCAGAUAUGGUCACAUAUAGCAUCAAGAAGUUGCAAUUAUAGUUCAAUAAAUCGUUUACGUGAUUUUGCUAUCAUCCUGGUACUUGACAUUGAUCUCACCAAAAAAAAAAAACACAGAGAAAGAAAAUAGAAAUAAACGGCAACAAGAUAAAACACCGAUAUCCAGAAGCUGUACCUCCAACUAUUCUCAAUCCAAAUCCUCUUGUCGGGUCGACCCAGUGUUCCCAUGGCUACCAGAAUUUGCACCAGUUCCACCAGAGCUGCCACCAACAUCAUUCCCACCACCUCCAGCAUUGCUAGCCUCAGCUUGCGACCCAAAACCCCUCAAUGGCCAAGGCAGCGAGAUCCUAAACCUCCUCUCUACCGUCCUUGGACUCUGAGUGCUCCCAUCCCCCGAUGCCCUAGCCGCUGACCCACCGGCGCCACCAGGAUCAUCAGCUCCCACAGGGAGCCCACCCUGAACCGGCGCCCCCCUCCGGUUCUCAUAGUCCGGAUCGUCUGUCGGCAGCUCGUACCUGCACACAGGGCAAGAGUUGUGCAGCUCAAGCCAUGGCAGGAUGCAGUCCUUAUGGUAGAUGUGCUUGCACGGCAUCUGCUUCGCCUCCUCCCCGAUCUCAAAGGUAUCCUUGCACACCGCGCACUGAGCCUCGUCAGAGGCUAGGAGUUCCACAGUGAUCUUGAUGUCCGACAGGGAGGCAACGGCGGACUUGGACGCCGGCGGGGUGCCGUAGCGGUUGGGGUCGUUCUCGGCGAGCUGCUGUAUCAGCUGCUCGAGGCCGGGGCCGAUGAAGUAGUCGCCGAGGUUGCCACCUAAGCCGGGGCCGCCCUCGAGGACGAUCUGGAUGUUCGCGCCGCCGGAAACGAGCUGCUGGAUGUGGUUCUGGAGGAAAGCCAGCGGAUUGAAGGGCUCCGGGCCGCCUCCACCUCCGGGGGCAGAGGAGCGGAAGGAGUCGGGGUCGAAGAGGCCAGCGAGGUCGCUAGGGUUGCGAAGGUCGAAGCUGGCCGGGGGCGAGGAGGAGGAGGACAAAAGGAAAGAGAAGGGGGAGGGGGAGAGGAAGAACGGGUCGGAGGAUCGGAAGGAGAAGAAGGAAUGAGGGCUAGGGUUAGGGUCGGGGAGGUCGAACUCCUCAAGGAAGCCGCCAUGGCAGAUGGGGCAGGCGAUCUCGGCGUCGGGGGAUGGGGUGAGGGUGACGGUGCGGUCGCACUGGUGGCAGAAGUAACGCUGAGGGACGGCGGCGCCGCCCGGGGCUCCGGCGGACGACAUGGCCAAAGAUGGAGAGGG